UCCAUCAUUUUCAUUAGUAGAGCGCAUCAUUUAAGCCAAGCAAGCUGUGGUCAAUACAAAUCCACCAUGAAGACCUUUCUCAUCCUUGCCCUCCCUGCUAUCGUGGCGACCACCGCCACAACUGCAGUUAGAGUUCCAGUGCCACAAUUGCAGCCACAAAAUCCAUCUCAGCAACAGCCACAAGAGCAAGUUCCAUUGGUACAACAACAACAAUUUCUAGGGCAGCAACAACCAUUUCCACCACAACAACCAUAUCCACAGCCGCAACCAUUUCCAUCACAACAACCAUAUCUGCAGCUGCAACCAUUUCCGCAGCCGCAACUACCAUAUUCGCAGCCACAACCAUUUCGACCACAACAACCAUAUCCACAACCGCAACCACAGUAUUCGCAACCACAACAACCAAUUUCACAGCAGCAGCAGCAGCAGCAACAACAACAACAACAACAACAACAACAACAAAAGCAAAUCCUUCAACAAAUUUUGCAACAACAACUGAUUCCAUGCAUGGAUGUUGUAUUGCAGCAACACAACAUAGCGCAUGGAAGAUCACAAGUUUUGCAACAAAGUACUUACCAGCUGUUGCAAGAAUUGUGUUGUCAGCACCUAUGGCAGAUCCCUGAGCAGUCGCAGUGUCAGGCCAUCCAAAAUGUUGUUCAUGCUAUUAUUCUGCAUCAACAACAAAAACAACAACAACAACCAUCGAGCCAGGUGUCCUUCCAACAGCCUCUGCAACAAUAUCCAUUAGGCCAGGGCUCCUUCCGGCCAUCUCAGCAAAACCCACAGGACCAGGGCUCUGUCCAGCCUCAACAACUGCCCCAGUUCGAGGAAAUAAGGAACCUAGCGCUACAGAUGCUACCUGCAAUGUGCAAUGUCUACAUCCCUCCAUAUUGCACAAUCGCGCCAUUUGGCAUCUUCGGUACUAACUGAGAAGAAAAUAACUCUAGUACUAGAUAUAUGAAACACCGUUUUCUCAGUCCAUGGUUUGGUCAUUGUAGCGUCGAAAAAAUAAUGUGACAUGCACUAUCAUAUAAGAAUCCGAACUAUACUAGUUCAAACUUGGGAAUAAAAGACAAACACAUGUCUUGUCUACAUAUUUAUGUUGCAUCUAUUUAUAUAUUAAAAGUAAUAUAAGGUGAACCAGGAGCAAGGUAAAUAUGCUAGAAAAUUGCACGUUAAUUAGAAAUUACUUGCCCUCGAUCUGGUAAAUCUUAACAAAUAGAAUUAUCUUGACCGUUAGAUUUAUAUAACAUAUAUAAUGCUCUGGGCCUCCAACGACUGUACGUGACACAUCUGAACGAACAUAUGGUAAAGAAAAUAUAUUUGGUAAAUGGUGGGCCUGUUUAAAAAGAGAACUCACGUACAUGCACCAACUAAGAAAAACACAUACAUGUAAACGGGAAAAGGAUGAGAUUUUCUCACGUACGUGCUCCCUGGCUCCACCCCGUUGAAAAAAUAUACAUCUGGAGGCCACUUUGUUUCCUCAUCAAAAAAACUUACGUUAAAAAGAUUGCAUGCAUCCCAGGGAAAAUAGUCAAGAAGAAGUCGGACUUUUCCUUACAAAAACAAGGAACGUGUUAAGUUGACUUCAAAGAAAAAAGGAACAUGUUAAGUUAAAAAAAAACAAGAAACCUGUUAAGUUAGAAAAAAACAAGGAACGUGUUGUCCAAGGAAAGAUAUGUGUCAAAUCUUACAAAAAAAAAGAAUACACACACGUACGUUCAUGCACUUGGAAAAUAGAAAAAAAGGAACAUCACGUAUGUAUACACUUCGGAAACUCAUUACAUGACCAUGUCUGAUAUACUCCUCUAAUGCUUAAUAUUAGUGCCUAAUAAUUUAUAUUUAAAAUUUAAUUUACUGAUCAAAUAUCCCCACUGUUUAAAUUUUAAUUUGGCACAUUGUUUGGCUAUAGUAUGAACCUGAAUUUCCUCUUAUUAUUAUAUAUCAUGGUAAUAAUCCAAAGGCGACUAAUCUGCACCGGCGCACCGGCGCAAUCAAUUCGGCUGGACACAGCGCGGCCGUUUGAUUAGAUUGCAUUUAACCAUCAGAUCUGGAAUCGUUUUCUUUCCAAUUAAACGGAUUCAACCAAACAGCAGAGGGGAAAACAAAGCAGCGCCGCCGCCAACACUAGCCAUGGACGACCGAUGUAGCAAAACCUUGAAGAACCGCCGCCGGUCGCCACCCUCGCCUCUGGUCGCUGCCCUCGCCGUCGGUCACCGCCGGUCGCCGCCCUCGCCGCCUGCGUUUCUCAUCGGCUUCAUGCAUGCAACAACAUGCACUCGUGGUUGCAGGCUUGCAUCUCCGGCUCCGGGGACAUGGCCGCAUCUCCGGUAGCGCCGGCCGCCGGCCGCAGCACCUGUCGUUGUGGUCGCGCUGUACCUCGCCGUGUGCCCUCCCGAGGCUCUUGCUGGUUCCAACAAAAAACGAUACCUGUUGUAGCAAAAAAGUAUCGCUUCCAGCAAAAAAGCUUACCGCUACAGCCCGCCAUCGUCAUUGUAGCAAAAAUGUUAACCCGAUGUAGCUUCUGUGGUUGCCGACUGCAGCAAAAAAUGACAUGGCUGUAGCAAAACACAAAAGAAAAACACUGGCCGGCCGCUGUGUAUGGUGGUAACAAACCCUAUAGCCGGUGGUAGCGAAAAACUUCAUAGUGUGCUGCAAAAAAAUGUUGUCACCCGUCGUCGAGGUUGCAUCAUCUUCAUGAAUUAUGCCGCAAAAAAACGUUGUCGCCGGUAGUAGCAAAUGAAGCCGCCGGUAGUAGCAAAACAAGACACUGGUUCCAGCCAAAAAAAAAAUCAGCGACAGAACCUUUGGUUGGUUCCAACAAAAAAACUUGUCGGUUGUAACAUCCCUCGCCGCCGGAUGUAGCAUCUCCCGGGGCUGGUUGCAACACUCCAUAAAAAAAGUUGUCUAUGAGCGCAUCCAUGGUGACUGCUGCACCGUCAGCAAUGAGGGGAAGAGGAGGCAAUGAAAAUCAUUCGAGUCAUAGCUCCACAGGACGCGGCUGCAGCAUGGGGAGUCCAAAAAUCUGUCACAAGCAACAUGCGCCGCGCCAUCCUCCUGCGCAGGAGAGAGAAGAAAAAGGAAUAAGAGGAAGAAGAAAGGAAACAGGAGAAAGAAAAAAGAAAGGAUUGGUGGUUGGCUCAGGCAAUUAGUCAAGCGAGGGGCACGCGGGGCCGCAGGACACAGCGCAAUCGAACGAAGCGCGCGCGUCCGGGCGAAGACUCGGCCGGACUGCCGUCUGGAAACGUUUCCCUAAUCCAAAGGCUUUAUCUGAAUGACAAGUCGUCUGGGUUACCGGCUAACUAGAAAAAAGAUAAAUAUGCUAGAGAAUUCCAUAAUAAUUAGAAAUAUCUAGCCUUUAAUUAUGUAAACCAGAAAAUCACAACCGUUGGAUUUACUUUAAAGGUAAAUUUCUAUAAAUUCCCACCAUUGCCAGUAUGUAGAAACAUGUGCUGCUUCAAUUCUCCCAUAAUCACCAAUCAAUCAACAACACAAAACAUACCUCAGUUAAAAAAACUGAACAAAAAAAAGAAAAAAAGAAGAAAGGACAAGAUACACGCAUGUACACGACAGCCUUGGCUUGAAACACAUCAGUAGAUCAAGUGUCCGCCUCCCUUACACGUACGUCCCAUGAGGUUUACUAGCCUACCGCCGCCGCAUCAUGCCAUCCUCUCCUUUCAGCUCCCAUGCUCUCCAGCACCCUCAUUGCGGCGCCACUACUCGCCUAGGGAUAUUGCUGCUCAGACCGUGGAGCUUAACCACAUCAGCAUCAGCACGUAUGGGCCUCAUUAUACUGCAGCACGUAUUGCGCCCCCUUAAGUCCAGGUCUGUUUGCUGGCACAUAUGCUUUGGAAAUAGGCCACUAUGUUUGUACUUCAAAAUUGUUUCUGUAUUCUUGAGUGGUACAUCCUUUUAAGCGCCAGUUUUUUAUGUUAAUUCAUGCUGACAACACUUAACCUAGCCUUUCAUGUUCACGUACUAAAUACAGGAGCAAGUAAAAACAACAGACCACCUAAUUGCUCUGCAUGUACUACAUAGGAAAAUUUGUCAUGUUCUACGAUCGCACCAUCCCACCCUUCUCUCUUGGUAUGGGCGCCAAUUGAGGGAUUGAUAAAACUGAAACGAAGACGUCACAGGGCUGGAAGUACCGCUAGCCUGGUUUGCACUGCAACCUACCCAACGCCAUCAGAAACUAGCAACUGAGUCAGGUGUUGAUCGAUUCUCUCAAAUUGCUCUCAUGUAAGUACUACCCCUUGCAUGUGCGUACAUACCUUUGUUGCAUUCUCAAACAGAUAGAACAUGUUUGAUCGGUGCAUGGCUAUUUUUCAUCACAUGACAUCCAGAUAACAAGCAUGAAAGGACUACAUUGGAGAUCAAAAAAUAUUGGUUCCUGGCUAGAGUACCACUACCUAUGGACUUGUCUCCAUAGAAUUUGUUCCCAAGAUGUUAUUUUAAUUAAUCUCUUUAGCUUUCUUCCAUUGCAAACGGUGAUGUGCAUCAUGGUAUAUACGUGACCAUCUUGCACAUGUAUACACAAGAGGCUCAGAUGGAGGUGCUGGAUUCUGGACGAGGGAAUAUGAAGCAGGAGUGAGCGAAGAGUAAAUAAUGGUGGGAGUACCGAUUGGUGUUAUGAAGAAAAAUGCCAUCCAAAGAUUGAUUAGUGUCAUGGAAGAUUAAUUUCUGAAUGCGAAUAUAUAUGUUACAUUGGUUUGGAUCUUUUUGAGAUAAUUCCACCUAAAUUAGGUUCUUUCUUAUUUCAUAUGUAUACCUUAUUUCAGUAAAAGUUCACAACGAACUUAGUAGGACAAAUAUAAUUUUGUUUGUUCUUUCUGUUGUCCGCCACCAAAGCUCAAUUUGAACUCUCUAGAAAUGGACAAUGAUUUAUGCAUUCUAUAUCUUCUUGAUUGAUUAGCCAUGACAAGGAAAUAAAAGGAUUGACUGAUAUAGCAUAACUUUGGAACGAUUAGAGGUUACUACAAAUAAGAGUAGUGUCUGUUGGAAUUUUGCUAGUAGGCCUUUGGCCCAAAGCCCAACUAAAAUUCUGAAAUUCUCUUGGCUCAUUUAUGCACACAUGUGAGUUGAGUGAGUGAGACUAAAGUUUAGUCCCACCCUGGAAGUUGAGAGAGAGUUGCACCUCUUUAUAAGGUGAGCUCUUCUACCACUUGUAUGAGCAUGAGAAGAGGAGACCUACACGCGCGCUCCUCCUCCACGCUCGCCACGCCUCGUCGCGCCGCGCCGUGCCGCGGGUUGCGGGAUUGAGCCGAGCCGAGGACGUUUUCUAUAUUUUUGCUGCUCGGGAAAAAUUAAUGAGUCAUUAAUUAAUAAUUAAUGGACACAUUAAUUACUGAACCGUUUCCGAUUUUUUUGGAUCGUGACGACUCGGACGUGGGGUUUACUCCCAGGACCUACCCGGCCCGCACUAUAUAGUCAGGAAGACGUCUACCCUAGCCGCCGCCGCUUCGUAUGGUUUCUCACCAUCGUUACAGAUCAUUGCGCCGCCAAGCAAGUUUUCUCCAUCCCUCCUUUCGGCGUGCACCGGGAGAAGGGACAGCAGACCUCCGGAACCCCGCCUCUCGUGAUCCUAUACGGGAGAGGGGCGAUCAGGUUUUUGGGGAGCGCACUCGCAUGACUGCUGGCAGCGACGACUUCGCAAACGACGACUUCUUCCCCGACCUCGGCAACCUCAUCCUCGACGACAUGGGCGACAACGUCAACGCCGGCGGUGCUACACCCACUGCACCGUAUGUUAUUCUCUCCUUCUUGUUCGAGAUCAUGGUAGAAUUCAUGUUUCUAGUAUAUGUGCCCUAGAUGUGAUCUGUUCAUCUACUAUGGUAGUUCGCAUGAUUAGUUUAAUCUCUGUUAUUGCUGUCAUGAUCUAUUUCCUAUUUAUUCGGAUUAAAUCUCGUAGUAAUUUUCUCAUUUUUCCAACAAUCCAAAAACCUGAUUAUAGGAAAUUUACUCCGAGUGGUUUUGCUGCGCAUCUGAAAGCCGCUUGCCUUUAAGGGGGCGCAAUAUAAGAGGUGGCGCACCAGAGCAGUCUACUGGUUUCAGAUCAUGGGCUGCUAUGACGCCACCAAGGGCAAGCCUGAGGGCGAUCUUAAUCCAGCACAGCUGGAAGCUUUCAAGAAGAUCAAUACCCUCUUUAAAGGCACGCUUCUGAGUGUUCUUGAUGACUCCAUUGUAGAUUCGUAUAUGUCGUUUGACAAUGGCAAGAACAUGUGGGCUACGCUCGAGGCCAAGUUUGGUGCCUCGGACGCCGGCAGCGAGUUGUACGUCAUGGAGCAAUUCUAUGACUCCAAGAUGACUGAUGGGCGCCCUGUUGUACAGCAGGCUCAUGAGAUACAGUUGCUCGCAAAAGAACUUGAGUACUUCAAGUGUGUGUUGGCGAACAAAUUUGUUGCCGGAGGCAUCAUUGCCAAGCUUCCACCUUCGUGGAACAAUUUUGCUACUUCCCUGAAACACAAGAGACAGGAGUUUUUCGUUGCGGAUCUCAUUGGUACUCUUGAUGUUGAAGAGAAGGCGAGAGCAAAGGAUACACGUGCUUGAGUUGCUAAGGGAGGUUCUAGUGCCCACAUGGUACAGAAGAAGAACUUCCAGCCCAACAAGUUCAAAAACAACAAGAACAAAACUUAGGGCAAAGGCAAGUUCGAUACAAAGAACAAGCCAUCACAUUCUACCAACUUCAAGAAGAACUCUCAUAAGAAGGGGAAGGGACUUUGCCAUGUCUAUGGUGAUCCUAAUCACUGGGCUCCGAAGUGUCCCAACCGCUUUGAGGAGCGCGAACAUGAGAAGAGCGGCAAGUCUGCUAAUGUUGUCAUCGGUGAUACUGAUAUGAAGGAAUCAGGGUACGGUAUUUUUCCUACCAUCCUUUCAGUAUUCCAAACCCCUGACUGGUUAAUUGACACCGGUGCCAAUGUACAUGUUUGUGCUGAUGCCUCCAUGUUUUCUUCUUACCAGGCCACUGGGACUUCUCCUAUGCUGAUGGGGAACGGGUCACAUGCCAUCGUUCGAGGUGUUGGUACGGUCGAUCUGAAGUUUACUUCGGGGAAGACCGUGCGUCUGAAGAACGUUCAUCAUGUGCCGUCCAUCAAUAAAAAUCUCGUUAGCGGUUCCCGUUUAUGUCGAGAUGGUUUUAAGUUGGUUUUCGAAUCCAAUAAAGUUAUAAUUUCUAAGUAUGGACAAUUUGUUGGAAAAGGCUAUGAGAGCGGAGGCUUGUUUCGCCUGUCUUUGUCAGAUAUUUGCACUAAAGUUAUUAAUAAUGUUUGCCACAACAAUGAGUCUGAUAUUUGGCAUUCACGACUUUGUCACAUUAACUUUGGUUGCAUGACGCGGCUAGCCAAUAUGAAUUUAAUUCCGAAAAUCUCUACUGUCAAAGGAUCUAAGUGCCAAGUAUGUGUGCAAGGUAAGCAACCUCGCAAGUCCCAUAAGACUGCAGAGGCAACAGACUUGGCGCCACUAGAGCUUAUACAUUCUGAUAUUUGUGAGAUGAAUGACGUGUUGACAAAAGGUGGAAAGAGAUACCUCAUGACGUUGAUUGAUGACUCCACUAGAUAUUGUUAUGUGUAUCUUAUGAAAUCAAAAGAUGAGGCUUUGGCUUUCUUCAAAAACUAUAGAGCUGAGGCAGAGAACCAACUUGAUCGAAAAAUUAAACGGCUUAGGUCCGAUCAUGGUGGAGAGUAUUUUUCCAAUGAAUUUGAUCUAUUUUGUGCGGAACAUGGUAUAAUCCAUGAGAGGAUGCCUCCCUACUCACCCCAGUCAGAUGGGGUAGCCGAAAGAAAGAACCAAACUCUAACUGAUAUGGUUAACACCAUGUUAGACACUUCGGGUCUAUCCAAGGAAUGGUGGGGGGAGGCGCUAAUGACUGCGUGUCAUGUCCUAAACCGAGUUCCCACAAAGCAUAAGACCAUGACUCCAUUUGAGGAAUGUUAAAGGAAAAGGUUGAAACUCUCUUACCUACGUACUUGGGGUUGUUUGGCGAAAGUCAAUAUACCAAUUCCCAAGAAGCGCAAGCUUGGACCAAAAAUCGUGGGUUGUGUUCUUCUUGGCUAUGCUUUUCAUAGCAUCGGCUAUAGAUUUUUGAUAAUAAAAUCUGAGGUAUCCGACAUGCAUGUUGGUACGAUUAUGGAGUCGAAUGAUGCAACUUUUUUUGAGGACAUAUUUCCUAUGAAGGAUAUGUCGAGUUCAUCAAAUCAGGAGACACCUACUCCAUCUAGUGAGGAAUUCAUUGUAAUUCCUGAACCCACCAUUGCGAUGGAACACAUUGAGAAUCCUGUUGAGGGUGACAAUGGAACUCUUGUGAGGAGUAAGAGACAUAGGACUACAAAGUCCUUUGGUGAUGAUUUCAUUGUGUACCUCGUGGAUGACACACCCAGGACUAUUUCAGAAGCCUGUGCAUCUCUUGAUGCUGACUACUGGAAGGAAGCUGUACGUAGCGAGAUGGAUUCCAUCUUAGGUAACGGAACCUGGGAGAUCACUGACCGUCCUUAUGGGUGAAAACCUGUAGGAUGUAAGUGGGUGUUCAAGAAGAAGCUUAGACCUGAUGGUACGAUUGAAAUGUACAAGGCACGGCUUGUGGCCAAGGGUUAUACCCUGAAAGAAGGUGUAGACUUCUUUGAUACUUACUCACCCGUGGCUAGACUGACCACAAUUGGGUGCUACUAUCACUUGUUGCCUCACAUGGUCUUCUCGUUCAUCAAAUGGACGUUAAGAACGCUUUCCUCAAUGGAGAGUUGAAGGAGGAAAUUUACAUGGAUCAGCCAGAUGGUUUUGUAGUACCUGGUUAGUAAGGAAAGGUGUGCAAGUUAUUAAAGUAUUUAUAUGGCCUUAAACAAGCUCCUAAAGAGUGGCAUGAGUAGUUUGAAAGAACAUUAACUGCUACCGGCUUUGUAGUAAACGAUGGUGACAAGUGCGUGUACUAUCGCUAUGGUGGGGGCGAAGGAGUUAUUCUUUGUUUGUAUGUCGACGACAUAUUGAUCUUUCGAACCAAACUUGAUUUAAUCAAGGAGGUUAAGGAUUUCUUAUCUCGCUGUUUUGAGAUGAAGGAUCUAGGAGUAGCUGAUGUUAUCUUAAACAUCAAGCUGUUGAGAGAUGAGAAUGGUGGGAUCACACUGCUUCAGUCACACUAUGUGGAAAAGGUCUUGAAUCGUUUUGGGUAUAGCGACUGCACACCUUCUCCAACCCCAUAUGAUGCUAGCAUGUUGCAUCGAAAGAAUCGACGGAUUGCUAGAGAUCAACUGAGGUAUUCUCAUAUUAUUGGCUCGCUUAUGUAUUUGGCGAGUGCCACGAGGCCAAACAUCUCGUUUGCUGUUAGCAAGCUGAGUCGGUUUGUGUCAAAACCAGGAGAUGAUCAUUGGCAUGCACUUGAGAGAGUUAUGUGCUAUUUGAAAGGCACCGCGAGCUAUGGGAUUCACUACACCGGGUAUCCAAGAGUACUGGAGGGUUAUAGUGACUCAAACUGGAUAUCUGAUGCUAAUGAGAUUAAGGCCACAAGUGGUUAUGUUUUUACACUUGGUGGUGGCGCUGUUUCUUGGAAGUCCUGCAAGCAGACCAUCUUAAUGAGGUCAACUAUGGAAGCAGAACUCACAACAUUAGAAACUGCCACUGUUCAAGCAGUGUGGCUUCAUGAGCUCUUGAUGGACUUUCCUAUGAUUGAAGAACCAAUACCCCCUAUCCCAAUGAACUGUGAUAAUCAAACUAUGAUCGUCAAGAUAAAUAGUUCUAAGGACAAUAUGAAGUCCUCAAGGCAUGUGAAGAGGAGACUGAAAUCUGUCAGAAAAUUGAGGAACUCCGGAGUUAUUACGUUGGAUUAUAUCCAAACGUCAAAAAAAUUGGCAGAUCCCUUCACAAAGGGUCUAUCACGUAAUGUGAUAGAUAAUGCAUCGAUGGAGAUGGGUCUGAGACCCACCGCAUGAGUUGUCCAUAGUGGUAACCCACUCUUUGUGAUCGGAUAUCCCGUGAAGUAUAAGUGGGAGACAAGCUGUUGGUCAGCUGGGAGGAGAGUAUCCCUAUAUUACCUGUCCCACUCCAUGAAGAUGCAAUACUCUCCUAAUCUGCAUGGCAGGUUGAUACUUAUCUUAAUGUGUUCCAAGUGGCUUAUUCGGGUAAGCAGAGAUGUUGUCCUGCAGAACAUCUUCUGAGGAACACACCUAUAUGAAUUUGACUGUUAACGUCGCAGUCUGUGAGAAUUGGGUGUUCUCUAAUAAAUUCAUGAAAAGGCCCUGGAGUAUGACGUAUACGCUCCACCCGCAGGGAAGCCUUGCGGCAGCCCAGUAUCGGUCAAGAAUUUGUGUGAAACUAGUUGCGCAGAAAAUUUGUAGUUCAAGGCAUAGUCCACUAUUCAAGUUGUGAUCUAGUGUAGCAUAAAUCUCUAAGUGGAAGUUCAACUUCACAGUCUCCACUAAGCCCCGGUAUAUAAACAAUGUUUUGGAACUAAAUGAUGAGAUGUGCCAAUGAGACUUUGUGGGGGAUUGUUGGAAUUUUGCUAGUAGGCCUUUGGCCCAAAGCCCAACUAAAAUUCUGAAAUUGUCUUGGCCCAUUCAUGCACACAUGUGAGUGGAGUGAGUGAGACUAAAGUUUAGUCCCACCCCGGAAGUUGAGAGAGAGCACCUCUUUAUAAGGUGAGCUCUUCUACCACUUGUAUGAGCAUGAGAAUAGGAGACCUACACACGCGCUCCUCCUCCUCGCUCGCCACGCCACCCCUCGUCACGACGCGCCGCGGGUUGCGGGAUUGAGCCGAGCCGAGGACAGAGCUAUGCACAUUGUCUAUUUUUUGCUACCCGAAAAAAUUAAUGAGUCAUUAAUUAAUAAUUAAUGGACACGUUAAUUACUAAACCGUUUUCGAUUCUUUUGGAUCAUGAAGACUCGGACAUGGGGUUUACUCCCACGACCUACCGGGCCCGCAUUAUAUAGUCCGGCAGACGUCUACCCUAGCUGCCGCCGCUUCAUAUGGUUUCUUACCACCGUUCCAGAUCAUUGCGCCGCCAAGCAAGUCUUCUCCAUCCGUCCCUUCGGCGUGCAUCGGGAGAAGGGACAACAGGCCUCCGGAACCCCGCCUCUCGUGAUCCUGUACGGGAGAGGGGCGAUCAGGUUUUUGGGGAGCGCACUCGCGCGACUGCUGGCAGCGACGACUUCGCGAAUGACGACUUUUUCCCUGACCUCGGCAACCUCAUCCUCGACGACAUGGGCGACAACGUCAACGCCGGCGGUGCUGCACCCGCUGCACCUUAUGUUAUUCUAUCCUUCUUGUUCGAGAUCAUGGUAGAAUUCACGUUUCUAGUAUAUGCCCUAGAUGUGAUCUGUUCAUCUACUAUGCUAGUUCGCAUGAUUAGUUUAAUAUCUGCUAUUGCUGUCAUGAUCUAUUUCCUAUUUAUUCGGAUUAAAUCUCGUAGUAAUUUGCUCAUUUUUCCAAUAGUACCAUCUAAUAGAUGAUGUAAAUCUCCUCUAGUUUGACGUUGUUGAGCUAAUUUACAAAAAAAACCUCAUCAUUAUUGGACGUCCUUAACAGCUCAAGAACAAGUUGGGGUCGAACUAAUGGAUUUUACACUUUUACAUUAAAGGUUUAGCUAAAGCUAGCAGGUGUUUUUAAACCUGAAUUUUUUUCCUCCUGAAUUUCUUUGUAUUUUCUUAUUGACACUAUUUAUACAAUCAUCUGACAAAGAUUAGCUAAAGCUGUUUGUAGAUACGUUGAAACCUGAAAAGCUUCUUUGGUUAUCCUUUUAAUAGUUCUACGUUUAUUUUCUCAUAGGUCAUAAUUCUUAUGUAAUACCAAGAUGCAUUGUGGUAGUGUACAUGUGUUAAAUUCAGGUUGUUAUUCACAAUUUGCGACAAAAUUUAGCUCACGCUACAUUCAAAUAUGUUGAAAUGUGAAAGCUUUUUUUUCUUCUCCUUUCUACACCUUGCAUCGGAUUGCAUCCCUUUAGUUAUCCAACAUUUUGUACAACAUGUAGAGAUUAGGAAGUUCAUCAUAGUUUGUUUAUUUCGGUGCUAAUAAAUGUAUGAAAUCUGCAUUUCCAAGCUACUAGGACAAGUAAAAAAUAAUAAUUUUACUAUAGGAUUCAAAAACAGCAGUUCUGAAGUGCACUUUAUUUAUUUUUGAAAGUGAUCACAUUUUGUUUCAUUUUUCUAUAGACAAAUCUACUAAUACAUACUCACGAUAAAACUAUAAAAGUUCUAGUCCGCACAUUGGGCGGGCCACCCGGCUAGUUAGUCUAAAGAUAACAAAAUGAGUCUGGAAUUUGAAUUAAAUUGAAGUAUUUUCUUGGACUUUCAAAUUGAGUUUUAUUAAAGUAGUAAGGACUAUCCACAUCCUUGGCUUGCCCCUGAUCAAUUAUUUCCAGAGAAGCAUUCAAUUCAUCAAUCAAUUACAUUGAUUUUAGUGGCUGGUACUUCUCCUCAACAUCAGUAUAUUCACCGUGGCCACUCCAAAUCGGCAAGAAUGAGGUACCAGUGCUCUGGAGCAGUGCAAGCUAAUUGCUUCUCAUCUGAAGGGGUGCGGCCGCAGGAGAGGUAUUUCUGGUGGGCCAAGGGACUAAGAAGCGACUGUGGCAGCGGUAUAGACGCCCGCAAAGCCCCAUAAUUUGUUUUUGGUUUACAGGAAAAAUGCACAUCCAUACCAGCCUGGGGAAUAUAGGACCGUAUUGGAUGGAAAACCAUGUCCGGAUGGUUGCGAGCGGUUUAAGGGUUAGCUUUUGUAACGCCCGGUUAGUUAUGCUAUAGCAAUUCCCUGCUAAUGAUGUCACGUUACCACGAUUACUGUUGUUAACCUCACAAUGAUUCAAUCCCCUUCAAAUUGAAAUUUAAAAUAAAGGCAAACAUCAAAAGUUUUCAAAUAUUAAAACUAAAAUCUUUGAGAGGUGACAAAUAAUGCAUAAGUAAUUAUGGUGGAGAAACCACACUUUAAUCAAAUGUUUAAAUACUCUAAAAUGAAAAAAAACAGUUGCUUAAACUAUUAUUUAAAUGCUUUUAAAAUAGUAAAAAUCUUCUAACUAAAUUAUUUGGGUACCAAACUUUUGGUGGCAGUGGUAUAUUUAGUACAACUAAUUUAGAUGCUAAUUAUAUAAAAAGGAAAAGCAAAAGGGGGCAACCCCUCGCUGGGCCUCGGCCUAGCUGCCACUAGGCUAGCUAGGCUGGCCCCGCCGCCUCCCUUAACCCCCCCCCCCCACUCCCCAUCGAACCCAAGCCCGAUCGCCCCACUUCCCCCANNNNNNNNNNNNNNNNNNNNNNNNNNNNNNNNNNNNNNNNNNNNNNNNNNNNNNNNNNNNNNNNNNNNNNNNNNNNNNNNNNNNNNNNNNNNNNNNNNNNNNNNNNNNNNNNNNNNNNNNNNNNNNNNNNNNNNNNNNNNNNNNNNNNNNNNNNNNNNNNNNNNNNNNNNNNNNNNNNNNNNNNNNNNNNNNNNNNNNNNNNNNNNNNNNNNNNNNNNNNNNNNNNNNNNNNNNNNNNNNNNNNNNNNNNNNNNNNNNNNNNNNNNNNNNNNUUGAUCCCAUCUGGAUCGGGGAGGGUAAUGCCCCAAUCGACCCCGUUGCCGUCGCGGGAUUGCCCGCCGACGUCGCCAGGCCUCCUCCCCGCCACCCGUCUCCGGCUCGCCUCCCCUCUCGCUCCUCUUCCCCGACCCGAUCUGGAUCGUGAACGAGCAAUGAGCUCGAAGCCCCCUUCACCGGCGCCAUCACCGUGCGCCACCACCACCGCCUGAAGACCUCACCGUCGCCGAACCUUGCGUCGCCUCCUCGUAUCCCUCCCCUACUCGCGUCCUCAAGCCAGGCCGAGCCCCUUCUCGGCAACGCCGUGAGACGCCCCCGUCUCCCUCCUCUUUCCACUGCGUUCACCGCGCCGCCCGCCGUGCCCCUCGCCGUGCGCACGCCCACCACCGCACCAGCCCCCGCUCCGCGCACGACCCUACCCGCGUCCGCGCCAUGAUCCCCUUUUCCACCCUACCUUCCUGCGCUCGCCGCGGUCCUGAUGCUCCCCCGCGCCCUCUUUUGGGGGCGCCGACUGCCCCUGUCCCACUGCUCGCCGCCGUGCCUCGCCAUCGCUCUACUGCUAAGUUAUUGCUGCGCUGCGGCCGUCGCCUCUUCCCGCUGCUCCGCCAGCGCCGAAGCUCCCGAUUGGCUCCACCACUUCUCACGUUAAACCGCCGGCCUAAAUGGCCUAACCCCCGGCUAAUGAACCCCCACUAUCCCACUGACACCGGGACCCACAUUCCCUAAUUAACCAUUUAAUAAAUUAAAACUCUUAAAUUAACAUUAGUGUAUGACAUGUGCGUCCCCUAUUAAUUUAUAAUUUUACUGCUAGUUUUAUUAGUUUCUGUUUUUUCUGCAUAUUUCUUUUGUAUUUGAACAGGCUUUAUAUAAUAAUAUUUAGCGUCUCAUACACAUAUAAAUGUAAUUAUAGCAUAUACAUACAAAUAGUCUCAUCAAAUCAUGUCAUCACCAUAAUCAUCAUCCAUCACAAAGUGAUCUCUCGUCAUCAUCUCGAAAAUAGCAAUACAAGUCUCGAUUACUUGCAACUACAUCGUCAUCCAUCUAAACAAUGAUAUACGCGAGAAGCGCUAUCACUAUGAGUGAGAGCGGAACUAUGCAGUACAUGAGUUUGUAUCCCUCUCUCACAUUAGCGUGAACCUAAACUAACUACUGGCUGUUGCUCGGAAACCGGAAACCGGUACACCUGGGCCUGACACUCCGGCCACUCGUCGUAUACUCCUGGCGUAGCACUUCUUCGCCAUCGAUGAUCUAUAAACCUACAUCGUCAGAUGAGUCGAUGAUAUGCAACAUAUAUAGUUGAGCAACAGAAAGAGACAGACUUGGCAAAAAUAGAAGCAACAUAUCAUAAGCAUAAAUAACAAAGUUCAUCGUACGCAAAAUGCCCUAACUAGAGUGAUCUUCGCUAGUCGAGGAGGACGGUUUAAUUACAUCACAAAUAAUUUUUCGUCGUGCAUAACUCAAAGUUCCGUCAUACAGAAAGUAUGAACUAAAUGGACACAUUGUCAUAUUUCAAAAAUCACUCCCACAUGUCGUGCCAUCCAUCCAAGUCAAGGAGAUAGUGCCCGAGCUUAGUGAAAGGCUUUAGGUCGAGACGCUGAGCGGCUAUGCGUGUUCGGACGUCUUCCCACGACAUUUGUCCUUCUUCAUAGAACAUCCCUGUUUUUUCGACGACCUCCUUCAUCACUGGAAGAAAAAGGGCCUGUUGUCCCGGUUCUGGAACCGGGACUAAAGGGUCGGUACUAAUGCCCUGUCCCUUUAGUCCCGGUUCAAUCCAGAACCAGGACAGUUGGGCCUCCACGUGGCCUGUGCGCGGAGCCUAGGCGGGAGACCCUUUGGUCCAAUAAGCAUCCACGCAUCAGCAUUUAUGUGGUUGGGGUUUUUGUUUUUUUUGAAGGGGGGGGCAUUGGGGGUUUUGGGGGGUUAAUUUUGGUGUUUCAUAUAUUGUGUUAGCUAGCUAUAAUUAAUAGAGAGAAUUGUCCUCUCUUAUGUCCGUGCUUGCUCGACGCUACGUACUAUACAUACGUAUAGAGAGGACUAGACACGGUAGCUAGCUAGUAAGCAAACGAAGGAAAUAGAAGAUCGUCAUGAACAUAUAUGCAUACAGAGAGAAGUAAUAUCGACCACCUCUCCUUCUCCGAGAGAUUGGUCGAACAACAAGUUCUCAUAUAUCUAUCCGACACUACCGGCUACAUAUAUACAAUAAUUAUCUCUUACAAAUAUAAUCAUACGGAUUCAGGGUCCACAUAGUAUUCUCUGUCUUCAAGGAUCACGUGGUCAAGAAAGAAUGCCGCCAAUUCCUCUUGAAUUGCUCGCAUGCGAGCUGGUGCUAGGAGUUCAUCCCGCUUCCGAAACAUCUAAUUUAAAGAAGGGGGUUAAUACAUAUAUACAUAUAUAUAUAUAUAUAUAUAUAUAUAUAUAUAUAUAUAUAUAUAUAUGAAUGAAUGAAACUCAACACGAAUGAUGGUAAUAAAAUAAAAUUGUGAAUGUUGUUAUUUACGUACUUCAUAUUGUUCGUCAGUGUAGCCCCGCUCAUAGGUCGUGUGGCGGAUGGACUCGCAAACGUAGUAUCCACAGAAAUCAUUCCUUUGUUCCUGCCACAACCACUUUAUAAGAAAUAGAGGUCAAUCAAACUGAUAAGCAAGAAUGCCAAAUGGUAUUGAUGAAACUUGUCAGGACCCCGAUUCCAAGCCACAUCGAUCUAGCCGGUAACACCUCAUAUCACUUUGCGGCCUCACGCACGAUAUUCCACGGGUGUCGCCUUACCAUGGCCCGGGACCGUUUGCGCCUUUUGGCUCACGUAUAUGAUAGUGUUGCUAGCAUCCAUAUGACAGAGAACCCGGGCCGACAUGGCUAGUCGUGAACCCAAAGUGGCACAGACCUAUGGAGACAGGCAUACAUGAAUCACAUCGAGCAUGUCGGUCAUCAGUGUGUGAUUCCGGGCUGUAGCACUGGGCUAACAGGACUCCGGGGAACCCGGGCUGUAGCAGGCUAGGCAGGACUCCGGAAGUCACCGCGUGACAUUUACCCGAAGGGACAGACAUAGGAACGAAGUGAAUCACAUGCCGGCAAGUCAAGUGUCCUGAGCAGUAGUACUGGGCUAGCAGGACUCCGGUGAACCGGGCUGUAGCGGACUACUAUGGCUCGAGGAACACUAGACUACAUUUCCCCAUAAGAAAGGCUGCCAAGGAUAAACAACUAGAUUGUCGGAUCCCACUCAUACCAAGCAUUUCAAUCAUACACACAAUAUGCCCGAUAUGAGUACAUACAACAUGGCAUCACAACAAAACUCUACAACUCAAGUACUUUAUUUAAAGGCUCUAGAGAGCCAUACAUAACAUGUUCAUACAGAUAGGGGUCACAUGACCCGACACUCAAGUCAUACAAUCAUACAAGCACAUGCGGAAGCAACCGGUCUGAGUACAGACACUAGAAAGAAAGAAGGCUCCUCGAGGCCUGUCUAUCUACAUAGGGCCCUCCAUGGCCAGGAUCACCACCUGGGUGGCUAGUCACUCGUCGAUGUCAAGGUCUACAUAGAACCCAUCGAAGGGGGCUGUGUUGUCGUCUGAAAACAGUAAUUAAGCAAACAUGAGUACAAAGGUACUCAGCAAGUCUUACAAAAGAACCUACUAUACAUGCUUAUUCUCAAGAAGGUGGUGGGGAUAUUGCAGCAAGCCAGUUUUCACUCUUGGCUAAACUAUCCUACAGAACUUCUCUAGUAAAAUAGUUUUCGCACACGAGUCCACUACUCACCAACACAAUACUCCACCGGGGAUCCUCCCUCGUCAUCCUAUGAGAGGGCCAUCCUCGGUACUCACACUUAUCUUGACUAUUUUAGUAGUAUCCAUUUAAUUGUCUAUGAACUGUAUAGGCAACCAAGUAGUCCUUUACCGCGGACGCGGCUAUUCGAAUAGUUUUAUACCCUGCAGGGGUGUACUUCGUCAUACAUGCUUUCACCACUUAUCGUCGUUUACACGACAUGUACUCGGCAACCUUCAAGCGAAAGCCCAGCGAGGGUGUCGGCCACGGCCUACCUAAACACUUAAGUCUCUAGUCCAGGUUUAUCGCCUAUCUAGGUUCCAUCCGCAGGGAGUCCGGGCGAGGUUUCCACAUACGGCCCCGAACGAUGUGAACAGGGUCCCGAGACGCCAAACGGGCGCCCGGCAUACCCGGCCAUGGUGUAUCUACCGCAACAUAGCCCACCCUUAGGGUCAGCGCUACGCACGGCCGCCAACACAUAACCUACAAACACCAGAAACUAUUUGCAACUCCUAGACAGAGUACAAGGGUGAUUAAGAAGCCGAGAGGGUCAAUUAAGGAUCCCAAUGCAUGGUAGUAGCUGAAUCUUAAAUCACACAUACCGAUCUCAGUUCUUAGGGACGGUCUCAAUGAAACAACCCACCAUGUACUCCUACAUGGCCUCUCAUCGAUACCUUUACCAAAACAUGUUCAACACAUUCCUCAUAUUACCGACAUAAUCAUAUCACCCUAGCCCAUCACCCAGAUGAACCAGACCUGACACAACUAUAAGCAUAGCAGGCAUAGCAAGGUAGGAAUCACAUACAUGGCUCAAUCAACUCCUACACAUGCUAGUGGGUUUCAUCUAGUUACUGUGGCAAUGACAGGUCAUGCAGAGGAUAAGGGUUCAACUAUCGUAGCACACAGCAGUUUGAAUCACAUUGUCUUAAUGCAGUAAACAAGAGCAGAGGCAAGAACAUGGGUUGUAUCGGAAUGAUCAAUGGGUUGCUUGACUGAUGGAGUGGUAGUGGGAUACUGCCCUUCAGUUGGAUACUCAUGAAUAUCCUCGGAGGCAGAACCUACCACGAAGAACACAUCGGAACACAAUCAACACAUGAUGAUAUGCAACAAUAUGAUGCAUGCUAUGACAUGGCAAUAUGAAUGUGUCUUGGCCUAAUGCAAGCUAAAAUAGAAAGGGAUGAACUCAUUUGAAUCAAAGAUUCAAAUAUUAGCUCAUUAAACAUGGCCUUAGUAGUGCAUUUCCUUAUUCUGCUUAAACAGCAAGGUAAACUUGUUUUUUCAUGCUUGAAACCAUUACAGAUGGAUAUAUUGAAUUUUUCUGAUAAUUUUUCAUAUAUAAAUUAUUUCAUUUGGAGUUACGGUUGAAUUUCUAUGAUUUUUAGAAGUUUCAAACAUUUUCUGGAAUUUCUUGAAUAAAAAUAAAUCCAGAAAAUGCAUUACUGCGUCAGCAUUGCAUCAUGCUGACCUCCGCAGGUCAAAGGCACCAGCCUAGGUCAAACCUGACUGGUGGGCCCCUUCUGUCAGUCUCUCAGUUAAAUAACAGGAUUAGAUUAACACUAAUUAGCUGUCAGUGGGGCCUGGGCCCACAUGUCACUGACUGAUUAAAAUAAAAUUAGUUAAAACUAAUCCUAGAUUAGUUAGCAAACCGGCCCCACCUGUCAUAGACUUAGGGGGGGUCUACCUGGGCCCACCCAGGGUCAAACUGGGUCAAACUCGCCGGCGCAGCUCGGAAAACGCCUACAGGGCACGAGCGAGGCCGUUCUUGGGCUCAUUGGAGAGCUCUUGCAGUCGCGCAUCUAGUGGCGGUGGUGGCCGGAGACGACGACGGCGAGCUCCAAGGCGGCGGCCGGAGUUCGGCCAUGUGCGGGGUGUCGGCUGUGGCGUGCAAACGUGGAAACUGAGGCACUAGCGAGGCACUACGCGAUGCGGCAAGCACGUUGCAUAGCACGGGAUAAUCAAAUGGUUGCCGGAGCGGCACCGGUGACAAGCUCGAGCGGAGACGAGCUUCGGCCAUGGUGGAACUAUGGCCUAGAGGGUGCAAACGCGUGGAAAAGAAGAGGGGAAAGGUGGCGGAGCUCACAGGGAGGUCGAUGAGCAGCUCAGUGGGCUCGGGGGCGACAGAAGUGAGGCGAAUCGAUGAGCAGCGUCCGGCGGGUACCGAGGUUGAAGACGAUCCGAUGGCGGCGAUGCAGGGCCUCCGGCGAUGCGUGGCUCGGUGGGAAGGGCGAGGGGGUGACGGAGGGCGCGACUACGGCGGUGAGACGGCGACGGGUGCGUCGGCCAUCGCGGGAGAGGGAGAGGGAGAUGAGUGGGAGAGUGAGAGAGGAUGAGAGGGGGACGUGGGGGUCGCGUGGCAUUCCCUGGACGUCUCCCGGCAUCGGCGGAAGCAGGAGGUGGCCGGCGUGUGGCCGCGGGCGCCGGCCACGCGCUCUGCGUCCUUCUGGCGCGAGGAGGACGACGACUGGCAGCGCCAGUAGGCUGGGCCGAGCCAGGUGGGCUGGCCAGCACAGGUAAGGCUCAGGUGGGCUUCUCCCUCUUUUUUUUAAUUUGUUUCUGUUUUCUAUUUAACUGUAAAUGUUGGGCUUUAUUUAAAAUACUAAAACAUUUCCAAAAAUCCUGAAAAUAAUUGUGGGCUCUGUUUGGAUUAUUUCCAAUAGCAAACAUUUAUUUGCAGAAUUAUUUGAGCAUUUAAAUGCCCAAAUUCAAAUACUUAUGAUUUAAAUCAAUGACCUUCUGUUGACCUAGAAAAGUUGUGCACCAAUUUUGCCAGAGGUUCUAACCCAAGACAAAGAGGGUGAACUUUUUAGAAGGGCAUUUCAGGUUCAUUGAAAAUAAUUUUAGUAAUCCCUAGUUGUUUCCAGGGGGGUGUUGGGGGUUUCUGCCUUCCCCAAUUCAAAUUUAAGAGGAAUUUAAACAUGAUGCACAUUCUAAUGCUUGAACUAGCUAGGGUGUGACAACUCACCCCCACUCAAAAGAAUCUCGUCCCGAGAUUUAGGAUCCUCUGGAAAGAAGGUGGGGUACUCGAGUCGAAGACGAUCCUCCCUUUCCCAAGUGGCUUCUUUCUCGGAAUGGUGUGUCCAUUGAACCUUGAGAAACUUGAUAUUAUGACGUCGAGUGGUACACUCGGCUUGAUCAAGGAUACGAACGGGAUAUUCCCGAUAAGAGAGGUUAUCUUGUAGAUCAAGCAUUUCGUGGUCCACUCCACGGAUAGGAUCCGCGAAGCAACGCCUGAGUUGUGAAACGUGGAAGACAUCAUGAACUCUGGAAAGAUGCGGAGGUAGUUCCAAUUGGUAGGCAACUUCUCCUCGUUUGGCAAGAAUGCGAAAGGGUCCAAUGUAACGAGGAGCCAAUUUGCCUUUGAUACCGAAAUGAUGGGUUCCUUUUAAUGGGGUAACCCGAAGGUAAGCCUUCUCGUCGAUUCAUAAGUCAUAGGCUUAUGUUUACGAUCAUAUUGACUCUUUUGACGAGAUUGGGCUGUUUUCAAUUUCUCACGAAUAACGCGAACCUGCUCUUCCGCUUCCUGAAUCAUAUCCGGGCCAAAGAGUUGUCUUUCCCCGGUUUCUGACCAGUUAAGAGGCGUUCGACAUUUUCGUCCAUAGAGAACUUCGAAAGGAGCUUUGCCCAAGCUAGCUUGAUAACUAUUGUUAUAAGCAAACUAUGCGAAUGGGAAGCAUUUCUCCCAACUCAUUCCGAAUGAGAUAACAGAAGCUCGGAGCAUAUCUUCUAGAAUUUGAUUGACUCGCUCUACUUGACCACUUGAUUGAGGAUGGAAGGCGGUACUAAAAGAGAGACGAGUUCCCAUAGCAUUUUGGAAACUUUCCCAAAAUCGAGAGGUGAAGAGACUCCCACGGUCUGAGUUAAUUUCCAAUGGGACACCAUGGAGAGACACUAUUCGGGAGAUGUAUAAAUCGGCUAGCUGGCUAGCAGUGAUACUCGCACGAACAGGUAGGAAAUGGGCUACUUUGGAAAGACGGUCGAUCACGACGAAGAUGGCAUUAUUCCCUCUCUUGUUCCUGGGAAACCCAGUAAUGAAAUCCAUACUGAUUUUAUCCCAUUUCCAUUCAGGAAUAGCCAAAGGUUGAAGGGUGCCAGCAGGCCGUUGAUGCCCUGCUUUAACACGAUGACAGACGUCGCAGCUAGCAAUGUAUCGAGCGAUUUCUCUCUUCAUCCUAGUACAUCAAAACCUCUGGCGUAGGUCUUGAUACAUUUUAUUGCUACCGGGAUGAAUGGUGAGAGGGGAUUCAUGAGCUUCCUUAAGGAUCAAUUGGCGUAGAUGUUGUUUCUUGGGAACCACCAAACGGUUCUCAAAGAAGACAGCACCCCGCUUAUCCAUGGAAAAACAUUUAGCAACUCCGCUAGCAAUGUUUUCCUUAAUCCGGGAUAUGCCCUUAUCAUACCGCUGGGCAGUUAUGAUCUGAUCCAUAAGGUUAGGUUUCGCCACCAGGGUGGAUAGGAAUCCUCGAGGAACAAUGUGAAGAUUAAGCUUACGGAAUUCCUCAUGGAGAAGUGGUUGACUUUGUUGUAACAUCAGGUUGUUACAAUAGGAUUUACGGCGUAGUGCAGCAGCCAUGACAUUGGCUUUGCCCGGUGUGUAGGUUAUUCCUAAGUCGUAAUCCGAGAUCAACUCAACCCAACGUCUUUGCCUGAGAUUCAAAUCUGGUUGGGUGAAGAUAUAUUUCAAGCUUUGGUGAUCGGUGAAGAUCUCGCAACGAUUAAGUGCAUGGACUACAGCUGCCAGCUCUAGAUCAUGUGUGGGAUAAUUUUCCUCAUGUGGGUGUAAUUGCCGUGAAGCGUAGGCAAUUACCUGACGAUCUUGCAUGAGUAUGCAACCUAGUCCUUGUCGCGAGGCGUCACAAUAGAUAAUAAAGUCCUUGGAUAAAUCAGGUGGUACCAGUACGGGAGCAGAUGUCAGGCGUCUUUUCAGUUCCUAAAAGCUGAACUCGCACUGUGGAGUCUACUCGAACUUUUUAUCUUUCUUGAGGAGUUUAGUUAGAGGUUUAGCAACCUUGGAGAAAUUCUCGACGAAGCGGCGGCAAUAGCUCGCUAAGCCAAGGAAGCUCCAAACUUGCUUGACCGUCUCAGGUGGAGUCUAAUCAAGGACGGCUUGAACUCGCUCGGGAUUGACGGCAAUACCCUUACCAGAGAUUACAUGGCCUAGAUAGGUUACUUCUGGCAACCAAAAUUCACACUUGGAGAAUUUGGCAUAAAGGCGAUGCUCUCGAAGUUUCAUCAAUACCAGCCUUAGAUGUUCGGCAUGUUCCUCUUCAUUCUUGGAGUAGAUUAGUAUGUCAUUGAGGUAUACUACGAUGAAUUUAUCCAAGUACUCCAUGAAAACCGAGUUCAUUAGCCGGGAGAAGGUAGCCGGGGCAUUGGUUAAACCGAAGGACAUAACGGUGUACUCGUAUUGGCCAUAACGAGUAACAAAGGCCGUUUUGGGAAUGUCCCCGUUUCUGAUUUAGAUUUGAUGGUAGCCCAACCUCAAAUCCAUCUUGGAAAAGACUGAGGAUCCAGCAAACUAAUCAUACAGAUCAUUGAUCCUGGGAAGUGGGUAUUUGUUCUUGAUGGUGACCAAGUUGAUAGGUCGGUAAUCCACAACCAUUCGAUCUGUUCCAUCCUUCUUGACGAAGAGGACGGGGCAAGCCCAAGGAGAGGAACUAGGACGGAUGAAACCCUUUUUCAAGGACUCAUCGAGUUGGUUCUCAAGCUCGGCUAGUUCUAAGGGUGCCAUCUUGUAGGGUCUUCUAGAAAUUAGAAUGGUUCCUGGAACAAGGUCUAUCACAAACUCGACAUCCCUGUCAGGUGGAACACCUGGCAGUUCUUCUGGAAAGGCAUCCGGAAAGUCUCGGACUACCGGAACAUCCUCAAGGUCUGGAAGGGGGUUGGCAUUUAGGGAGUAAAGUUGGCACUUGGCCACUCGAGUUAAGACAUUAACUGUCUUGCCCGAUGGGUGAGUAAGUUGAACGGUUCUAGUGGCACAGUCAAUCUUAGCAUAAUGAGCUGACAUCCAGUCCAUACCUAAGAUGAUGUUUAUGUCCGAGGACUUGAGAGCUAUUAAGGAUGCAAGGAAGACAAGUCUAUCGACAAGAAUUUCGUUCCCAUGGCUUACUCUAGAAGUUUGCCAUCUAGAGCCAGGGGUUUGAAUUUCCAUGGUAGAGGGCAUGUCACAGAAUGUCGUGUUGUGCAAUCGAGCAUAGUUCUCGGAUAUGAAUGAAUGAUAUGCUCCAGUAUCGAAAAGAACAGAUGCCGGAUGGCAGUUAACAAGGAGCGUACCAAGGACGACGUUGGGAUCCUCAUGAGCCUCCUCGGCUGAAACAUAGUUGACAUGGCCACGUGCAGUGGUGGCUGGCUUAGCGUAGAAUGUUUUUCCCGCGGGCUUACCACGGCCAACGGACUUUCCAGUUUGAUUGGGGUUGUUGUUCUGGGGACACUCUCGGCUAUAGUGACCCGGCUCUCCACACUUAAAGCAUGUCACCACAUUGGGGCGUGGAGCAGCAUUAGCAGCGGGGCCACCAUAGGGCUUGGGCGGUGCAAAUUGCUGGUUGGGACGUGGUGCCUCAAAGGAUGGCCUCGGGAUGAACCUGGGUGGCAGUGCCGUGCUUGGAAUCCACACCCGGCGCUUCUGAGCUCCAGAGCCGAUGAAGAGCCAAAAUCACGGGAGUGCUUGCGUGAAGUGUCAUAAUCAGUCUGGCCUUUCUCAGCACUGAUGGCUUUAUGGACCAACUUCUAAAAGGAGGUGCACUUGUGCAGACGAAGACCACGGUGAAGCUCAGGGCUAAGUCCCUUGCGGAACCUUGCCUGCUUCUUAGCAUCAGUAGAUACCUCUUCAGGGGCAUAACGUGCCAGAUUCCCAAAUUCACGACUGUAAGCAUCCACAGUCAGUCUUCCUUGGGUGAAGUUGCAGAACUCCUCCCUCUUGCGAUCCAUGAGACCUUCCGGAAUGUGAUGCUCACGGAAAGCCUCACUGAAUUCAGCCCAAGUAGUGAUUUGGCCGACCGGGCGCAUAGCUUCGAAGUUUUCCCACCAAAGGCUAGCAGGGCCUUUGAGGUGAUAGGCAGCAUAAGUAACCUUGUCGGCUUUGGCUACGUUGGCAGAACGUAGCUUGUGGGUGAUGCUGUGAAGCCAGUCAUCCACGUCGAGGGGCUCGACGGAAUGGUUAAACUUUGGUGGGUACAUCUUGAUAAAGUCAUUGAUUGACACCAACUCAUUUCGCGGGUGGCGUGCAGUGUUCUGCUCAAUCCGCUCCAGCAGGCGGUUGGUCUCACGCUUCUUUCUUUCUGCCUCCAGCAUUACUUCGGCCAGAGAAGGCGGGUGAGGCAGAUUUUCACCUCUAGCAGCACUGGCUUCCCCCUGCUCCGGGGCAACAGGGUUGCUGCGAGUAUUGACCAUCCUAGGAGAAAACAAGACAACGGUUUAGACAAGGAUGGCUCAAACUGAGCAAGGAUGUGCAGAAUGUAAUGGAUAACACGGAACACAGAGAUGUUCAUCCGUAUGUCAUGGUAAUAUAAAACUGCCAUAUAUAUACCAACGGUCAUACACAUCACACAUAGUUUAGUACAAGCCCAGGCUACAGUACAACUAUGAUGAAAGACGUUACAUCUCAUCGGAGGCAUUCCAAGCUCCUAUACAUUAUUGUCUACACCUUCGGAAUUGAUUACACGCAAAGUCAUAUUCCAAAAGUCACGCAGGACAGUGGAGAUACAACUACUACAAUACUAGUGGUACUACUACUAACUCAGACAGCUCCGUACUAGUCCUCAUAGAAGUCACCUCCAUAGCCUGGAAGUUCAACGUGACCAUCCGGGAACAGACGGUCCUGAGGAGCCUGUGGACCAUAGGGGCUUGGAUGGGGUCUUGGACCAACAAACGGUGGCCUGCGGGGACCACAGGGUGGGGUGAUGCCUCCCACAUCACGCCAAUCCACCACGUCUGGCAAAGCAGACCUCACAGGAUACAAAUCCCUUGUAUCCAUACAUCCAGCUUGCACCACAGGUGCAAACCGAGUCAAUGUGGCCCAAUGAUCAGCACGGGUAUUAAAAAGCUCCAGCCUCAAGGCCUGAUUCUCUCGGUCCUUAUAUUCGAGCAUCUCGGCAGUGGUACGAGUUAAUGAAUCCUCCUGAGUGGAGUCAGCAUAGAUAGCCUGAAGAUACCCUUGCGCUCCCGGAAGUGAAGCUAGCAUGUAUCGGAAGUCGGUGUUCCGAAGCAGGCCAGUCCGGACUCGCAUGAUUGUCAUCAUGGAAUAGGCAGCAUCCUGCACAGCCAUCUCAACAGUAACCCCGAGUCCAUAGGAACAGUGAAGGGGCUCGGUAGAUCCAGGAUAAGAAGGAAAUAUCUUGACGGUGCAGAAAUACUGGCUUUGAUUAAAGUCUCAGAAUUGCUCUUCGACGGUGUAUUCGGGAUACCAACGGUAACCCGUCUCGAUCAUGACCCGGACUAACAUAGCAGUAUGACCGGGCACGUCGAGCCACCGGGUCAGGCGAACCACUUUGUUUUGAGCACGGUUGGGCAUCUGAAAGCACAACCACAAUGCAAAGACAUCAGAAUUUCUAGGGAAAAUUGGACAGCAUAACAGCUGUAAAUGCUCAGAAAAAGAUUUGAGACAUCCACAACAGUUCGCAAUACCACUCAACAACAUCAUAUCAAGGUUCUGAUCCAAAUAGCAGCAUACUAAAAAUAGUAGAAACUGAACUGGGGCUUGUAACAACAAUCCUAUAAGCUACUACGGAUUAGUAACACGUGAACCUGAUAGAAGAAGAGAGACUAGUCCUUAACCCACAUUGAAUGAAAAGGGAAUGACUCAGAUAAGAGGCAUAGGGUAAAGGAGUAAAAGAGCCUUACGUUCCCUCCCACAAUCAAUUCCCCUACAUAUAACUAAAGCAUUUCCAGACUCGACAUCGACCAGUUUGGCUCAACGAACCUACAGGCAGUCCGGCACUGAUGCCAACGCUGUCAGGACCCCGAUUCCAAGACACAUCGAUCUAGCUGGUAACACCUCAUAUCACUUUGCGGCCUCACGCACGAUAUUCCACGGGUGUCGCCUUACCAUGGCCCGGGACCGUUUGCGCCUUUUGGCUCACGUAUAUGAUAGUGUCGCUAGCAUCCAUAUGAUAGAGAACCCGGGCCGACAUGGCUAGUCGUGAACCCAAAGAGGCACAGACCUAUGGAGACAGGCAUACAUGAAUCACAUCGAGCAUGUCGGUCAUCAGCGAGUGAUUCCGGGCUGUAGCACUGGGCUAACAGGACUCCGGGGAACCCGGGCUGUAGCAGGCUAGGCAGGACUCCGGAAGUCACCGCGUAACAUUUCCCCGAAGGGACAGACAUAGGAAUGAAGUGAAUCACAUGCCGGCAAGUCAAGUGUCCUGAGCUGUAGUGCUGGGCUAGCAGGACUCUGGUGAACCGGGCUGUAGCGGACUACUAUGGCUCAAGGAACACUAGACUACAUUUCCCCAUAAGAAAGGCUGCCAAGGAUAAACAACUAGAUUGCCGGAUCCCACUCAUACCAAGCAUUUCAAUCAUACACGCAAUAUGUCCGAUAUGAGUACAUACAACAUGGCAUCACAACAAAACUCUACAACUCAAGUACUUUAUUUAAAGGCUCUAGAGAGCCAUACAUAACAGGUUCAUACAGAUAGGGGUCACAUGACCCGACACUCAAGUCAUACAAUCAUACAAGCACAUGCGGAAGCAACCGGUCUGAGUACAGACACUAGAAAGAAAGAAGGCUCCUCGAGGCCUGUCUAUCUACAUAGGGCCCUCCAUGGCCAGGAUCACCACCUGGGUGGCUACUUACUCGUCGACGUCAAGGUCUACAUAGAACCCAUCGGAGGGGGCGGUGUUGUCGUCUGAAAACAGUAAUUAAGCAAACAUGAGUACAAAGGUACUCAGCAAGUCUUACAACAGAACCUAGUAUACAUGCUUAUACUCAAGAAGGUGGUGGGGAUAUUGCAGCAAGCCAGCUUUGACUCUUGGCUAAACUAUCCUACGGAACUUCUCUAGUAAAAUAGUUUUCGCACACGAGUCCACUACUCGCCAACACAAUACUCCACAGGGGAUCCUCCCUCGUCAUCCUAUGAGAGGGCCAUCCUCGGUACUCACACUUAUCUUGAGUAUUUUAGUAGUAUCCAUUUACUUGUCUAUGAACUGUAUAGGAAACCAAGUAGUCAUACACGCUAUUCGGAUAGUUUUAUACCCUGCAGGGGUGUACUUCGUCAUACACGCUUUCACCACUUAUCGCCGUUUACAUGACAUGUACUCGGCAACCUUCAAGCGGAAGCCCAGCGAGGGUGUCGGCCACGGCCUACCUAAACACUUAAGUCUCUAGUCCAGGUUUAUCGCCUAUCCAGGUUCCAUCCACAGGGAGUCCGGCCGAGGUUUCCACAUACGGCCCCGAACGAAGUGAACAUGGUUUCGAGACGCCAAACGGGCGCCCGGCAUACCCGGCCACGGUGUAUCUACCGCAACAUAGCCCACCCCUAGGGUCAGCGCUAUGCACGGCCGCCAACACAUAACCUACAAACACCAGAAACUAUUUGCAACUCCUGGACAGAGUACAAGGGUGAUUAAGAAGUCGAGAUGGUCAAUUAAGGAUCCCAAUGCAUGGUAGUAGUGAAUCUUAAAUCGCACAUACAGAUCUCAGUUCUUAGGGACGGUCUCAAUGAAACAACCCACCAUGUACUCCUACAUGGCCUCUCAUCGAUAUCUUUACCAAAACAUGUUCAACACAUUCCUCAUAUUACCGACAUAAUCAUAUCACCCUAGCCCAUCACCCAGAUGAACCAGACCUGACACAACUCUAAGCAUAGCAGGCAUAGCAAGGUAGGAAUUAUAUACAUGGCUCAAUCAACUCCUACACAUGCUAGUGGGUUUCAUCUAGUUACUGUGGCAAUGACAGGUCAUGCAGAGGAUAAGGGUUCAACUACUGUAGCACACAGCAGUUUGAAUCACGUUGUCUUAAUGCAGUAAACAAGAGCACAGGCGAGAACAUGGGUUGUAUCGGAAUGAUCAAUGGGUUGCUUGCUUGAUGGAGUGGUAGUGGAAUACUGCCCUUCAGUGGGAUACUCGUGAAUAUCCUCGGAGCCAGAACCUACCACGAAGAACACAUCGGAACACAAUCAACACAUGACGAUAUGCAACAAUAUGAUGCAUGCUAUGACGUAUCUUGGCCUAAUGCAAGCUAAAAUAGAAAGGGAUGAACUCAUUUGAAUCAAAAAUUCAAAUAUUAGCUCAUUAAACAUGACCUUAGUAGUGCAUUUCCUUAUUCUGCUUAAACAGCAAGGUAAACUUGUUUUGUCAUGCAUGAAACCAUUACAGAUGGAUAGAUUGAAUUUUUCUGAUAAUUUUUCAUAUAUAAAUUAUUUCAUUUGGAGUUACGGUUGAAUCUCUAUGAUUUUUAGAAGUUUUAAACAUUUUCUGGAAAUUACUGAAUAAAAAUAAAUCCAAAAAAUGCAUUACGGCGUCAGCAUUGUGUCAUGCUGACCUCAGCAGGUCAAAGGCGCCAGCCCAGGUCAAACCUGACUGGUGGGCCCCUUCUGUCAGUCUCUCAGUUAAAUAACAGGAUUAGAUUAACACUAAUUAACUGUCAGUGGGGCCUGGGCCCACAUGUCAGUGACUGAUUAAAAUAAAAUUAGUUAAAACUAAUCCUAGAUUAGUUAGCAGACCGGCCCCACCUGUCAUAGACUCAGGGGGGUCUACCUGGGCCCACCCAGGGUCAAACUGGGUCAAACUCGCCGGCGUUGAGCCGCCGGCGAGACCCGAGACAGUGGCGCAGCUCGGAAAACGCCUACAGGGCACGAGCGAGGCCGUUCUUGGGCUCGUUGGAGAGCUCUUGCAGUCGCGCAUCUAGUGCUGGUGGUGGCCGGGCCUACGGUGGCCGGAGACGACGACGGCGAGCUCCAAGGCGGCGGCCGGAGUUCGGCCAUGUGCGGGGUGUGGGCUGCGGCGUGCAAACGUGGAAACUGAGGCGCUAGCGAGGCACUACGUGAUGCGGCAAGCACGUUGCGUAGCACGGGAUGACCAAAUGGUCGCCGGAGCGGCGCUGACGACAAGCUCGAGCGGAGACGAGCUUCGGCCAUGGUGAAACUAUGGCCUAGAGGGUGCAAACGCGUGGAAAAGAAGAGGGGAAAGGUGGCGGAGCUCACAGGGAGGUCGAUGAGCAGCUCAGUGGGCUCGGGGCGACCGGAGUGAGGCGAAUCGACGAGCGGCGUCCGGCGGGUACCGAGGUUGAAGACAAUCCGAUGGCGGCGAUGCAGGGCCUUCGGCGAUGCGUGGCUCGGUGGGGAGGGCGAGGGCGUUACGGCGGAGCUUCUGGACAGGUCAGAGAGGCGAGGUGGUGAUGGAGGGCGCGACUAUGAUGGUGAGACGGCGAUUAAAAAGAAAGAUCUGGUUCACUCGUACGUGAAAAAAGUAGCAAGCGCUCGAUGCCUUCCUUUGCAUCGAUGCCAGACGCGGUGCUGGGAAUCGACAAGAUAACCGCCAAUCUACCACGAUUAAAUUCCUAGCGCCUCCUUCUAGCGCCUCCCACUGAAAAUGCCCUAAAGGUUUUGGAGGGAUUUUUUUACUGUGUCCUACUUCACGAAUCACGAGGCAAAUCAAGUAGCCGGCAUGGCCUGGCCGGUGAGUGCCAUUGCACUUACUUGCCCCAGCAAUUUUCCGCGUGCAUUGUAGAAUUCUUUCUCCGAGUCCUGUGAAUUAAAGAUGGUGCAGACAAAAAUAUAUCCUAUAUGCGUACAUGUGCAUGAUCAGAACAUGUUUUUACGUGCGUCUACUAUAAAUCAUGACCAUUUUUAACACAAAUCAUGACCAUUCAUGAUUAGUGAAUCAUACUGUCUUAACUUAUGUGAAAUCAUGUGGAGUAAUAUAAUAUAAUAUAAUAAAUAGAUAGAUCCAUGUUGUAUUAUUUUUUGUUUACAAAAAAUAUCUGUCAUUACACAUUUUGAUUUAUGCAUUUGUUUACAAAAAAAACAGUAACAUUUCAUGGUGGAAAGUUUGUAUUGUUUCAUACUGAACACCAAUGUUUUCCUGUAAAAGAAAAUAAUGCCUACGCAUAUGCUUUUAUAUUAUUAUUAUUCUUUCAAACUUAUUCAUACAGUAUUUUUGAUUGUGCAACCAUAAUUUUUAUUGUCUCUCUCGUUCCACUACAUGCUCUUACUCAAUGAUUUUUUUAUAACGGGUGUUUUUAUUAACUCAAAAUAUAGUAUCAAGCGGAUACAAAACAUAAUGAGCCACACCUGGUCUCUGCAUAACUAAGAUGCACACAGCCAAAAGCAGAUGUCUGACAAAAAUAAGAUAAGAAAAUCGACAUAUCGACAACAGUGAGUCAUAUAGUCCCGACACUAUGCCCCCGUUGAAGGACGGGGUGGAGCGAUCUGGAGAUUAUGCUGCCCUCCAUGUUGAGUAAAUACCUCCCUGGCCACUUGUUCCAAACGCAUAGACGCCGCCACGAAUAAUGGUCGGUACUCUGUUCAGUGUAGCAUACACCAUGUAGGAAGUGAGUGCUCACUCCUAGUUACUAAAUUAUGUACACACUAGUAGAAAAAGGGCCAUUUGUCCCGGUUCGUAAGGCCCAUUUGUCCCAAUUGGGGAACCGGGACUAAAGGGUCGGUACUAAAGCCCUACACCUUUAGUCCCGGUUCUUACACCAACCGAGACAGAUGGGGCUCCACGUGGCCGCUACAGCUUGCCGUGGCAGGGGGGCCUUUUGUCCCGGUUGGUAGCACCAACCGGGACCAAUAAGCUACCACGCGUCCGCAUUUGAGGGGCUAGGGUUUUUGUUUUUUUUCUGAAGGGGGGGGGGUGGGUUUGUAUGGUUAAUUUUGGGGGGUUUCACAUAUUGUGUUAGGUAGCUAAUUAAUUAAUAGAGAGAAGUGUCCUCACUUAUCUCCGUGCUUGGUCGACGCUACGUACUAUACGUAUAGAGAGGCCCUCAACACGCUAGCCAGUAAGCAAAUGAAGUAAACCAUUAAGUACAGAAGUUCGUCAUGAACAUAUGCAUACAAACAUAAGUGAUAUCGACCUCUCCUUCUCCGAGAGAUAGGUCGAACAACAAGUUUCCGUAUAUCUAUCCGGCGCUACUAGCUACAUAUAUACAAUAUUAAGAUCUCUUACAAUAUAAUCCCCUAAUUAUAUAUGAACUCAGCUUCCAGAUGGUAUUCUCCGGCUUUAUUGAUGGCGUGGUCAAGAAAGAUUCCCUCCAAUUCCUCUUGAAUUGCUUUGAUGCGAUCUUGUGGUAGGAGUUCAUCUCGCAUCUGCCACAUCUAAUUUGAAGAAGGGGGUCAAUCACCAGUAGAAUAACAACCAUUUGUCCUGGUUCAUAAGGUUAAUUUGUCCCGGUUGGGGAACCGAGACUAAAGGGUCUUUACUAAAGCCCUACACCUUUAGUCCUGGUUCUUACACCAACUGGGACAGAUGGGCCUCCAUGUGGCUGCUGCGGCGAGCCCAGGCCGGAGGUCCUUUGGUCCCGGUUAGUGGCACUGAUACGUCUCCAACGUAUCUAUAAUUUUUGAUUGCUCCAUGCUAUUAUGUUAUCUAUUUUGGAUGUUAAUGGCUUUAUUUUACACCUUUAUAUCAUUUUUGGGACUAACCUACUAAUCGGAGGCCCAACCCAAAUUGUUGUUUUCUACCUAUUUUAGGUUUUCGAAGAAAAGGAAUAUCAAACGGAGUCCAAACGGAAUGAAACCUUCGAGAACGUGAUUUUCUCAAUGAACAUGAUUCAGGAGAAUUGGAGUGUGCUCCAAGAAACAAGGGAGGAAGGCACGAGGCAGGGGGCGCGCCUACCCCCUUGGGCGCGCCCUCCACCCUCGUGGGCCCUCCGCUGCUCCACCGACGUACUUCUUCCUCCUAUAUAUAUCCACGUACCCCCAAACAUCCAGGAGCACCACGAAAACCUAAUUCCACCGCUGCAACCUUCUGUACCCGAGAGAUCCCAUCUUGGGGCCUUUUCCGGAGGUCCACCGGAGGGGGCAUCGAUCAUGGAGGGCCUCUACAUCAACUCCAUGGCCUCUCCGGUGAUGUGUGAGUAGUUUACUUCAGACCUAGGGGUCUAUAGUUAUUAGCUAGAUGGCUUCUUCUUCUCUCUUUGGAUCUCAAUACAAAGUUCUCCUCGAUUUUCUUGGAGAUCUAUUUGAUGUAACCUUCUUUUGCGGUGUGUUUGUCGAGAUCCGAUGAAUUGUGGGUUUGUGAUCCAGAUUAUCUAUGAACAAUAUUUGAUUCUCCUAUGAAUUCUAGUAUGUAUGAUUGGUUUAUCUUUGCAAGUCUCUUCGAAUUAUCAGUUUGGUUUGGCCUACUAGAUUGAUUUCUUGCAAUGGGAGAAGUGCUUAGCUUUGGGUUCAAUCUUGCAGUGUUUGAUCCCAGUGACAGAAAGGGAACCGAUACGUAUUGUAUUGUUGCCAUCGAGGAUAAAAAGAUGGGGUUUAUAUCAUAUCGCAUGAGUUUAUCCCUCUACAUCAUGUCAUCUUCCUUAAAGCAUUACUAUGUUCUCUUGAACUUAAUACUCUAGAUGCAUGCUGGAUAGCGGUCCAUGUGUCGAGUAAUAGUAGUAGAUGCAGAAUCGUUUCGGUCUACUUGUCUCGGACGUGAUGCCUAUAUACAUGAUCAUACCUAGAUAUUCUCAUAACUAUGUUCAAUUCUGUACAAUAUGGUGCACGGGGUUACAUCGGCCUGCAAAGACAUUUCUGCGAUGUGAGACAUCCGAAAAGCAACGAAAACGGGAGAUUAUACAUUUAUUGAAGAGGGCAGGUGUGACAGAUACCGUGAGGGCGUCGAGCUCAGCCAAAGACGAUGGACAGCUGAGCACGGCCUGUGUCAGAGCCGGUGCGGGAGCAGGUGCAGGUGCAGGUGCUGGUGCAACGCUAGUCGAGCUGCUCCUGAAGAAGUCAACAAUGGGAAAGUCCGCUGCAUUUUUUCUGCAUUUUGCGUGCUCCAAUUGAAAAUGGCUGGAACCAAGACAGUAGACAUAUCUGCAACCACCUGUUUUCCGGCAGCUACCGCUGUCGCGACUGUCUCAGAUGAUUUCUUCUCAACCGCAAUCUCAACCUUCUUGUCGAUGUUUUAUUCGGUUAACCUCCAUCUUUCCUUUCUCUCCUCCGUGGUCUCACGGUAGUACUUCUUCCACGUGGCCCCGUCUCCGACACCGUGAACGCGUCCAUACGACGACCGAGUCUCCACGGGGAGUCCUUUCAAUAUGUUCAAUGCCCGGUUGAAUGGAGUGUCCCACUUGGGCCUUGCCAAUGCCUCAGACGGCGAGUCGCUUUCGGCCGCAAUCUUAUGCUGCUCUCUCUACAAAAGGAACACGGAUCAUUUACAAAUAUGACUAAACGUGCAGUCGAACUGAUCAGAAACUAAAAUUACCAGCAGUCUCAUGAACUCCGUCGUGAUCGGGUCCGUCUUGAAAACCUUCUUGACUGAGUCCCAAUGGUGUCGUGCCCUGAGGACGUCAUGCUCCUACGGGACGGUGAAGUCCGCCAAGGGGUCUGGGAUGCCAGAUUUUCGCGUUUCGUGUCCUCCUUGGCCCAUAUGGACCUCUUCCUGCCGUAACCACUGCUUCCGAGGUGGUGGCGCCCCAUGUUCCUUUGUGGAAGCCCCUUCAUGUACUUCGACUUUGUUUUGGCAGCUUCGGCCUCGCAAGCCGCCUUGAAUAUUUCAAAGUGUUCUCUAGUGAUUGUCAGAUUAUCCUUUACAAUCUCGGAGUAGGGUUGAUACGUCUCCAACGUAUCUAUUAUUUUUGAUUGCUCCAUGCUAUAUUAUCUACUGUUUUGGACAUUAUUGGGCUUUAUUAUCUACUUUUAUAUUAUUUUUGGGACUAACCUAUUAACCGGAGGCCCAGCCUAGAAUUGUUGUUUUUUGACUGUUUUAGGGUUUCGAAGAAAAGGAAUAUCAAACGGAGUCCAAACGGAAUGAAACCUUCGGGAACGUGAUUUUCUGAAUGAACAAGACCCUGGAGACUUGGACCCUACGUCAAGACACAAAAGAGGAGGACACGAGGUAGGGGGCGCGCCUAACCCCCCCCCCCCCUCGAGGCACGCCCUCCACCCUCGUGGGGCCCCUGUUGCUCCACCGACGUACUCCUUCCUCCUAUAUAUACCUACGUACUUCCAAACGAUCAGAUACGGAGCCAAAACCCUAAUUCCACUGCCGCAACUUUCUGUAUCCACGAGAUCCCAUUUGGUGCCUGUUCCGGAGCUCCGCCGGAGGGGGCAUCGAUCACGGAGGGCUUCUACAUCAACACCAUAGCCUCUCCGAUGAAGUGUGAGUAGUUCACCUCAGACGUACCGGUCCAUAUUUAUUACCUAGAUGGCUUCUUCUCUCUUUUUGGAUCUCAAUACAAUGUUCUCCCCCUCUCUUGUGGAGAACUAUUCGAUGUAAUCUUGUUUUUGCAGUGUGUUUAUUGAGAUUGAUGAAUUGUGGGUUUAUGAUCAAGUCUAUGUAUGAAUAAUAUUUGAAUCUUCUCUAAAUUCUUUUAUGUAUGAUUGUUUAUCUUUGCAAGUCUCUUCGAAUUAUCAGUUUGGUUUGGCCUACUAGAUUGAUCUUUCUUACAAUGGGAGAAGUGCUUAGCUUUGGGUUCAAUCUUGCGGUGUCCUUUCCCAAUGACAGUAGGGGCAGCAAGGCAUGUAUUGUAUUGUUGCCAUCGAGGACAACAAGAUGGGGUUUUCAUCAUAUUGCAUGAGUCUAUCCCUCUACAUCAUGUCAUCUUGCUUAAGGCGUUACUCUGUUUUUAACUUAAUACUCUAGAUGCAUGCUGGAUAGCGGUCGAUGAGUGAAACCUAUGGCCCCCGGGUCUAUCUUUAUCAUAUUAAUCUCCUACUACUUAGUUAUUUCCUUUGCUUUUUCCUUUGCCUUUAUUUUACUUUUGAUCUUUAUCACAAAAAUACCAAACAUAUUAUCUUUAUCAUAUCUAUCAGAUCUCACUCUCGUAAGUGGCUGUGUAGGGAUUGACAACCCCUAUUCGCGUUGGUUGCGAGGAUUUAUUUGUUUUGUGCAAGUACGAGAGACUCGCGCGUAGCCUCCUACUGGAUUGAUACCUUGGUUCUCAAAAACUGAGGGAAAUACUUACACUACUUUGCUGCAUCAUCCUUCCUCUUCGCGGAAAACCAACGUAGUGCUCAAGAGCUGGCAAUAAGGAUUUCUGGCGCCGUUGCCGGGGAGGUCUAAGCAAAAGUCAACAUACCAAGUACCCAUCACAUACCCUUAUCUCCUGCAUUACAUUAUUUUCCAUUUGCCUCUCGUUUUCCUCUCCCCCACUUCACCCUUGCCGUUUUAUUCGCCCUCUCUCUCUCUCUCUAUCCUCCCUCUCUUUCUCUAUUUGCCUCUUUUUUCCCACUUGCUUUCUGUUUGCUUGUGUGUUAGUUGCUUGCUUGUCACGAUGGCUCAAGAUAAUACUAAAUUACGUGACUUCACCAAUACCAACAACAAUGAUUUUAUUAACACUCCGAUUGCUCCUCUUACCGAUGCUGAAUCUUGAGAAAUUAAUACUGCUUUGCUGAAUCUUGUCAUGAAAGAUCUGUUUUUCGGCCUUCCUAGUGAAGAUGCCGCUACCCACCUAAAUAGAUUCGUUGAUUUGUGUGACAUGCAAAAGAAGAAAGGUGUGGAUAAUGAUAUUGUUAAAUUGAAGCUAUUUCCUUUUUCGCUUAGAGAUCGUGCUAAAGCUUGGUUUUCGUCUUUGCCUAAAAAUACUAUUGAUUCAUGGAAUAAGUGCAAAGAUGCUUUUAUCUCUAAGUAUUUUCCUCCUGCUAAGAUCAUCUCUCUUAGAAACGAUAUUAUGAAUUUUAAGCAACUUGAUCAUGAACAUGUUGCACAAGCUUGGGAGAGAAUGAAACUAAUGAUACGUAAUUGCCCUGCCCAUGGUUUAAAUUUGUGGAUGAUUAUACCAAAUUUUUAUGCCGGAUUGAACUUUGCUUCUAGAAAUCUUUUAGAUUAGGCCGCGGGAGGCACUUUUAUGGAAAUCACUUUAGGAGAAGCUACUAAACUCCUAGAUAAUAUUAUGGUUAAUUAUUCUCAACGGCAUACCGAAAGAUCUACUAAUAAAAACGUGCAUGCGAUAGAAGAAAUUAAUGUUUCGAGUGGAAAGAUGGAUGAACUUCUGAAAUUAUUUGCUAAUAAGAGUAUUUCUUCUGAUCCUAAUGAUAUGCCCUUGUCUACUUUGAUUGAGAAUAAUAAUUAAUCUAUGGAUGUGGAUUUUGUUGGUAGGAACAAUUUUGGUAACAACGCGUACAGAGGAAAUUUCAACCCUAGGCCUUAUCCUAGUAAUCUCUCUAAUAAUUAUGGUAAUUCCUACAACAAUUCUUAUGGAAAUUAUAAUAAGAUGCCCUCUGAUUUUGGAUCUAAUAUUAGAGAAUUUAUUACUUUCCAAAAGAAUUUCAAUGCUUUGAUUGAAGAAAAAUUGCUUAAGAUUGAUGAUUUGGCUAGGAACGUUGAUAGAAUUACUCUUGAUGUUGAUUCUUUGAAACUUAGAUCUAUUCCACCUAAGCAUGAUGUCAAUGAGUCUCUCAAAGCCAUGAGAAUUUCCAUUGAUGAGUGCAAAGAAAGAACCACUAGGAUGCGUGUUAAGAAAGAUGCCUUUAUAAGAGCGUGUUCUUCUAAUUCCUAUGAAAAUAAUGAUGAAGAUCAAAAAGUUAUUGAUGUCCUCCCUAUUAAAUCUUUGUUUUGCAAUAUGAAUCUUGAUAAUCAUGGGACUGAAUAUGAUCCACCUUUACCUAGAAGGCGUUCCAAUAAUUCAGAAUUUGUUGAUCUUGAUGCUAAAAUUGAUAAAGGUGGGAUUGAAGAAAUUAAAACCCUAGAUGUUGCUAAACCCACUAUUAUGGAUUUCAAGGAACUUAACUAUGAAAACUGCCCUUUGAUUGAUUGUAUAUCCUUGUUACAAUCCGUGCUAAAUUCUCCUCAUGCUUAUAGUCAAAAUAAAGCAUUUACUAAACAUAUUGUUGAUGCCUUGAUGCAAUCUUAUGAAGAAAAACUUGAAUUGGAAGUUUCUAUCCCUAUAAAGCUUUAUGAUGAGUGGGAACCAACUAUUAAAAUUAAAAUUAAAUAUCAUGAAUGCUAUGCUUUAUGUGAUUUGUGUGCUAGUGUUUCCACGAUUCCAUAGACUUUGUGUGAUUUGUUAGGUUUCCGUGAUUUUGAUGAUUGCUCUUUAAACUUGCACCUUGCGGAUUCCACUAUUAAGAAACCUAUGGGAAGAAUUAAUGAUGUUCUUAUUGUUGCAAAUAGCAAUUAUGUGCCCGUAGAUUUUAUUGUUCUUGACAUAGAUUGCAAUCUUUCAUGUCCUAUUAUUCUUGGUAGACCUUUCCUUAGAACGACUGGUGCAAUUAUUGAUAUGAAGGAAGGAAAUAUUAGAUUCCAAUUUCCAUUAAGGAAAGGCAUGGAACACUUUCCUAGAAAGUAAAUUAAAUUACCUUAUGAAUCUAUUAUGAUAGCCACUUAUGGAUUGCCUACCAAAGAUGGCAAUACCUAGAUCUAUCCUUGCUUGUUAUGCCUAGCUAGGGGCGUUAAACGAUAGCGCUUGUUGGGAGGCAACCCAAUUUUAUUUUUAUUCCUUGAUUUUUUCUCCUGUUUAGUAAUAAAUAAUUUAUAUAGCCUCUGUUUUGGUUCUGUUCUUUGUGUUUAAUUAGUGUUUGUGCCAAGUAGAACCGUUAGGAAGACUUGGGGAAAGUCUUGUUACACUUGCUGUAAAAAACUGAAACUUCAGCGCUCACGAGAACUGCUGCCAUUUUUAUUUGGAAAGUGCUAUGUAGUUAAUUAUUUUUCAGAUGAUUAACAGAUAAAUUCCUCACGUCCAGAAAUUUAUUUUAGAAUUUUUGGGGUUCCAGCUCUUGAGCUAGCUACAGAGUACUACAGGCUGUUCUGUUUUUGAAAGAUUCUGUUUUUCGUGUGUUGUUUGCUUAUUUUGAUGAACCUAUGGCUAGUAAAAUAGUUUAUAUACCAUAGAGAAAUUGGAAUACAGUAGGUAUAACACCAAUAUAAAUAAAUAAUGAGUUCAUUACAGUACCUUGAAGUGGUCUUUUAUUUUCUUUCGCUAACGGAGCUCAUGAGAUUUUCUACUUUAAGUUUUGUGUUGUGAAGUUUUCAAGUUUUGGGUAAAGAUUUGAUGGAUUAUGGAACAAGGAGUGACAAGAGCCUAAGCUUGGGGGUUCCCAUGGCACCCCCAAGAUAAUCUAAGUACACCUAAAAACCAAAGCUUGGGGAUGCGCCGGAAGUCAUCCCCUCUUUCAUCUACUUCUAUCGGUAACUUUACUUGGAGCUAUAUUUUUAUUCGCCACAUGAUAUGUGUUUUGCUUGGAGCGUCUUGUAUUAUUUGAGUCUUUAUUUGUUAGUUUACCACAAUCAUCCUUGCUGUACACACCUUUUGAGAGAGCCAUACAUGAUUUGGAAUUUGUUAGAAUACUCUAUGUGCUUCGCUUAUAUCUUUUGAGUUAUAUAGUUUUGCUCUAGUACUUCACUUAUAUCUUUUAGAGCACGGUGGUGGAUUUGUUUUAUAGAAACAAUUGAUCUCUCAUGCUCCACUUAGAUUAUUUUGAGAUUCUUAAUAGCAUGUUAAUUUGCUUAAAAUCCUAAUAUGCUAGGUAUUCAAAGUUAGUAAAAUUUUCUUAAGAGUGUUUUGAAUACUAAGAGAAGUUUGAUGCUUGAUGAUUGUUUUGAGAUAUGGAGGUAAUAAUAUCAAAGUCGUUCUCGUUGACUAGUUGUGAAAUUGAGAAAUACUUGUGUUGAAGUUUGCAUGUCCCGUAGCACGCACGUAUGGUAAACGUUGUGUAACAAAUUUGAAACAUGAGGUGUUAUUUGAUUGUCUUCCUUGUGAGUGGCGGUCGGGGACGAGCGAUGGUCUUUUCCUACCAAUCGAUCCCCCUAGGAGCAUGCGAAUAGUACCAAGGUUUUUGAUGACUUGUAGAUUUUUGCAGUAAGUAUGUGAGUUCUUUAUGACUAAUGUUGAGUCCAUGAAUUAUACGCACUCUCACCCUUCCAUCCUUGCUAGCCUCUUCGGUACCGUGCAUUGCCCUUUCCCACAUUGAGAGUUGGAGCAAACUUCGCCAGUGCAUCCAAACCCCGUGCUAUGAUACGCUCAUUCACACAUAAACCUCCUUAUAUCUUCCUCAAAACAGCCACCAUACCUACCUAUUAUGGCAUUUCCAUAGCCAUUCCGACAUAUAUUGCCAUGCAACUUUCCACCAUUCCGUUCAUCAUGACACAUUCAUCAUUGUCAUAUUGCGUAGCAUAAUCAUGUAGUUGACAUAGUAUUUGUGGCAAGGCCACCGUUCAUAAUUCAUUCAUACAUGUCACUCUUGGUCCAUUGCAUGUCCCGGUACACCGCCGGAGGCAUUCAUAUAGAGCCAUACUUUGUUCUAGUAUCGAGUAGUAAUUAUUGAGUCGUAAAUAAAUAGAAGUGUGAUGAUCAUCAUUAAUAGAGCAUGGUCCCAAAAAGAAAAAAAAGGAAGGGCCAAAAAAAGGCCAAAUAAAAAAAUAUAAAAAAGGGGGCAAUGCUACUAUCCUUUUUUUCCAAACUUGUGCUUCCAAGUAGCACCGUAAUCUUCAAGAUAGAGAGUCUCUUGAUUUGUCACUUUCAUAUACUAGUGGGAAUUUUUCAUUAUAGAACUUGGCUUGUAUAUUCCAACAAUGGGCGUCCCCAAGUUCCCUAGGUCUUCGUGAGCAAGCAAGUUGGAUGCACACCCACUUAGUUUCUUUUGUUGAGCUUUCAUACAUUUAUAGCUCUAGUGCAUCCGUUGCAUGGCAAUUCCUACUCCUUGCAUUAACAUCAAUCAAUGGGCAUCUCCAUAGCCCAUUGAUUAGCCUCGUUGAUGUGAGACUUUCUCCUUUUUGUCUUCUCCACAUAACCCCACUCAUUAGAUUCUAUUCCACCCAUAGUGUUAUGUCCAUGGCUUGCAAUCAUAUAUUGCGUGAAAGUUUAUAGGUUUGAGAUCACUAAAGUAUGAAACAAUUGCUUGGCUUGUCAUCGGGGUUGUGCAUGAUGAGAGCAUACUUGUGUGACGAAAAUGAAGCAUGACUAAACUAUAUGAUUUUGUAGGGGUGAACUUUCUUUGGCCAUGUUAUUUUGAGAAGACACAAUUGCUCAGUUAGUAUGCUUAAAGUAUUAUUAUUUUAUGUCAAUAUGAACUUUUGUCUUGAAUGUUUCAGAUCCGAAUAUUCAUACCACAAUUAAGAAGAAUUACAUUAAAAUCAUGCCAAGUAGCACUCCACAUCAAAAAUUCUGUUUUUAUCAUUUACCUACUCGAGGACGAGCCGGAAUUAAGCUUGGGGAUGCUUGAUACAUCUCCAACGUAUCUAUAAUUUUUGAUUGCUCCAUGCUAUAUUAUCUACUGUUUUGGACAAUAUUGGGCUUUAUUAUCCACUUGUAUAUUAUUUUUGGGACUAACCUAUUAACCGGAGGCCCAGCCCAGAAUUGUUGUUUUUUGCCUGUUUUAGGGUUUCGAAGAAAAGGAAUAUCAAACGGAGUCCAAACGGAAUGAAACCUUCGGGAACGUGAUUUUCUCAACGAACAAGAUCUAGGAGACUUGGACCCUCCAUCAAGACAUAAAAGAGGAGGCCACGAGGUAGGGGGCGUNNNNNNNNNNNNNNNNNNNNNNNNNNNNNNNNNNNNNNNNNNNNNNNNNNNNNNNNNNNNNNNNNNNNNNNNNNNNNNNNNNNNNNNNNNNNNNNNNNNNNNNNNNNNNNNNNNNNNNNNNNNNNNNNNNNNNNNNNNNNNNNNNNNNNNNNNNNNNNNNNNNNNNNNNNNNNNNNNNNNNNNNNNNNNNNNNNNNNNNNNNNNNNNNNNNNNNNNNNNNNNNNNNNNNNNNNNNNNNNNNNNNNNNNNNNNNNNNNNNNNNNNNNNNNNNNNNNNNNNNNNNNNNNNNNNNNNNNNNNNNNNNNNNNNNNNNNNNNNNNNNNNNNNUGGGCCCCCCUGUUGCUCCACCGACGUACUCCUUCCUCCUAUAUAUACCUACUAUUGGGGAACGUAGCAGAAUUUUAAAAUUUUCUACGCAUACCAAGAUCAAUCUAUGGAGUCAUAUAGCAACGAGGGAGAGAGGAGUGCAUCUACAUACCCUUGUAGAUCGCGCGCGGAAGCGUUCAAGAGAACGGGGUUGAUGGAGUCGUACUCGUCGUGAUCCAAAUCACCGAUGACCAAGUGCCGAAUGGACAGCACCUCCGCGUACAACACACGUACGGUUGGGAAGACGUCUCCUCCUUCUUGAUCCAGCAAGGGGGAAGGAGAGGUUGAUGAAGAUCCAGCAGCACGACGGCGUGGUGGUGGAUGCAGCAGGAUCCCGGCAGGGCUUCGCCAAGCGCAAGCGGGGAGGAGAGGUGUUACGGAAGGAGAGGGAGGCGCCAAGAGCAAGGGUGCGGCUGCCCUCCCUCCCCCCCCUCUUUAUAUAGGGGCCUUGGGGGGGCGCCGGCCCUAGGAGAUGGAUCUCCAAGGGGGGCGAAGGCCAAGGGGUGGCUUCCCCCCCAAGCCAAGUGGGGGGCGCCCCCACCCCUAGGGUUUCCCAACCCUAGGCGCAUGGGAGGCCCAAGGGGGGCGCACCAGCCCACUAGGGGCUGGUUCUGCUCCCAAUUCAGCCCAUGGGGCCCUCCGGGAUGGGUGGCCCCACCCGGUGGACCCCCGGGACCCUUCCGGUGGUCCUGGUACAAUACCGGUGACCCCCGAAACCUUCCCGAUGGCCGAAAUUGUACUUCCUAUAUAUAAAUCUUUACCUCCGAACCAUUCCGGAACUCCUCGUGACGUACGGGAUCUCAUCCGGUACUCCGAACAUAUCCUUGGUUACUACAUACUAAUAUCUCUACAACCCUAGCGUCACCGAACCUUAAGUGUGUAGACCCUACGGGUUCGGGAGACAUGCAGACAUGACAGAGACGCCUCUCCGGUCAAUAACCAACAGCGGGAUCUGGAUACCCAUGUUGGCUCCCACGUGCUCCACGAUGAUCUCAUCGGAUGAACCACGAUGUCGAGGAUUCAAUCAAUCUGUGUAGAAUUCCCUUUGUCAAUCGGUACGUUACUUGCCCGAGACUCGAUCGUCGGUAUCCCAAUACCUCGUUCAAUCUCGUUACCAGCAAGUCACUUUACUCGUGCCGUAAUGCAUGAUCCCAUGAUCAACCACUUGGUCACAAUGAGCUCAUUAUGAUCAUGCAUUACCGAGUGGGCCCAGAGAUACCUCUCCGUCAUACGGAGUGACAAAUCCCAGUCUCGAUUCGUGCCAACCCAACAGACACUUUCGGAGAUACCUGUAAUGUACCUUUAUAGUCACCCAGUUACGUUGUGACGUUUGGCACACCCAAGGCACUCCUACGGUAUCCGGGAGUUGCCCAAUCUCAUGGUCUAAGGAAAUGAUACUUGACAUUCGGAAAAGCUACAGCAAACGAACUACACGAUCUUUGAGCUAUGCUUAGGAUUGGGUCUUGUCCAUCACAUCAUUCUCCUAAUGAUGUGAACCCGUUAUCAAUGACAUCCAAUGUCCAUAGUCAGGAAACCAUGACUAUCUUUUGAUCAACGAGCUAGUCAACUAGAGGCUCACUAGGGACGUGUUGUCGUCUAUGUAUUCACACAUGUAUUACGAUUUCCGGAUAACACAAUUAUAGCAUGAAAAAUAGACAAUUAUCAUGAACAAAGAAAUAUAAUAAUAACCAUUUUAUUAUUGCCUCUAGGGCAUAUUUCCAACAGUCUCCCACUUGCACUAGCGUCAGUAGUCUAGUUACAUUUUGAUGAAUCCAACACCCAUGAAGUUCUGGAGUUGAUCAUGUUUUGCUCUAGGGAGAGGUUUAGUCAAUGGAUCUGCCACAUUCAGGUCCGUAUGUACUUUACAAAUCUCUAUGUAUCCAUUUUGAACACUUUCAUGAAUGGAGUUGAAGUGACGCUUGAUAUGCCUGGUCUUCCUGUGAAAUCUGGGCUCCUUGGCAAGUGCAAUAGCUCCAGUGUUGUCACAGAAUAGAGUCAUCGGGCCCGGUGCAUUGGGUGUGACUCCUAGGUCGGUAAUGAACUCCUUCACCCAGAUUGCUUCUUGUGCUGCCUCCGAGGCUGCCAUGUACUCUGCUUCACAUGUAGAUCCCGCCACAACGCUUUGCUUGCAACUCCACCAGCUUACUGCCCCACCAUUCAAAAUAUACACGUAUCCGGUUUCCGACUUAGAGUCAUCCAGAUCUGUGUCGAAGCUAGCAUCAACGUAACCCUUUACGACGAGCUCUUCGUCACCUCCAUAAACGAGAAACAUAUCCUUAGUCCUUUUUAGGUACUUGAGGAUAUUCUUGACUGCUGUCUAGUGUUCCAUGCCGGGAUUACUUUGGUACCUUCCUACCAAACUUACGGCAAGGUUUUCAUCAGGUCUGGUACACAGCAUAGCAUACAUGAUAGACCCUAUGGCCGAGGCAUAGGGGAUGACACUCAUCUUUUCUCUAUCUUCUGUCGUGGUCGUGCAUUGAGCCUCGCUCAAUCUCGUACCUUGCAAUACAGGCAAGAACCCUUCUUUUACUGAUCCAUUUUGAACUUCUUCAAUAUCUUAUCAAGGUAUGUACUCUGUGAAAGACCAAUGAGGCGUCUCGAUCUAUCUCUAUAGAUCUUGAUGCCUAAUAUAUAAGCAGCUUCUCCAAGAUCCUUCAUUGAAAAACACGUGUUCAAGUAGGCCUUUAUGCUUUCCAAGAAUUCUAUAUCAUUUCCCAUCAACAAUAUGUCAUCCACAUCCAAUAUGAGAAAUGCUACAAAGCUCCCACUCACUUUCUUGUAAAUGCAGACUUCUCCAUAAGUAUGCGUAAACCCAAACGCUUUGAUCAUCUCAUCAAAACGAAUGUUCCAUCUCCGAGAUGCUUGCACCAGCCCAUAAAUCGAAUGUUGGAGCUUGUACACCUUGUCAGCAUUCUUAGGAUCGACAAAACCUUCCGGCUGCAUCAUAUACAAUUCUUCCUUAAGGAAACCAUUAAGGAAUGUUGUUUUGACGUCCAUUUGCCAUAUUCAUAAUCAUAGAAUGCGGCAAUUGCUAACAUCGUAGUCAACCCCUUGAACUUGCCGAUAACCCUUAGCGACAAGCCGAGCUUUAUAGAUGGUCACAUUACCAUCCGCGUCUGUCUUCUUCUUAAAGAUCCAUUUAUUUUCUAUGGCUCGCCGAUCAUCGGGCAAGUCAGUCAAAGUCCAUACUUUGUUUUCAUACAUGGAUCUUAUCUCGGAUUUCAUGGCUUCCAGCCAUUUGUUGGAAUUCAGGCCCGCCAUCGCUUCUUCAUAGUUCGAAGUUCACCGUUGUCUAACAACAUGAUUUCCAAGACAGGGUUGCCGUACCACUCUGGUGCGGGACGUGUCCCCGUGGACCUACGAAGUUCAGUAGCAACUUGAUCUGAAGUUUCAUGAUCAUCAUCAUCAAUUUCCUCUCUAGUCGUUGCAGGCACCUUAGGAACAUUUUCUUGAGCUGCGCCACUUACCGGUUCAAGAGGUAAUAAUACUUCAUCAAGUUCUACUUUCCUCCCACUUAUUUCUUUCGAGAGAAACUCUUUCUCUAGAAAGGACCCAUUCUUGGCAACAAAGAUCUUGCCUUCGGAUCUGAGGUAGAAGGUAUACCCAAUAGUUUCUUUAGGGUAUCCUAUGAAGACGCAUUUUUCCAAUUUGGGUUCGAGCUUUUCAGGUUGAAGUUUCCUUACAUAAGCAUCGCAUCCCCAAACUUUUAGAAAUGACAUCUUAGGUGUCUUCCCAAACCAUAAUUCAUACGGUGUCAUCUCAACGGAUUUCGACGGAGCCCUAUUUAAAGUGAAUGCGGCAGUCUCUAAAGCAUAGCCCCAAAAUGACAGCGGUAAAUCGGUAAGAGACAUCAUAGAUCGCACCAUAUCUAAUAGAGUGCGAUUAUGACAUUCCGACACACCAUUACGCUGAGGUGUUCCAGGCGGCGUGAGUUGUGAAACUAUUCCACAUUUUCUUAAGUGUGUGCCAAAUUCGUGACUCAAGUAUUCUCCCCCACGAUCUGAUCGCAAGAACUUGAUUUGCCUGUCACGUUGAUUCUCAACCUCACUUUGAAAUUCCUUGAACUUUUCAAAGGUCUCAGACUUGUGUUUCAUUAAGUAGACAUACCCAUAUCUACUCAAGUCAUCAGUGAGGGUGAGAACAUAACGAUAGCCACCGCGCCUCAACACUCAUUGGACCGCACACAUCAGUAUGUAUGAUUUCCAAUAAGUUGGUUACUCGCUCCAUUGUUCCUGAGAACGGAGUCUUGGUCAUUUUACCCAUGAGGCAUGGUUCGCACGUGUCAAAUGAUUCGUAAUCAAGAGACUUUAAAAGUCUAUCUGCAUGGAGCUUCUUCAUGCGUUUGACACCUAUGUGACCAAGGCGGCAAUGCCACAAGUAUGUGGGACUAUCAUUAUCAACCUUACAUCUUUUGGUAUUCACACUAUGAAUAUGUGUAACAUUAUGCUCGAGAUUCAUUAAGAAUAAACCAUUCACCAAUGGAGCAUGACCAUAAAACAUAUCUCUCAUAUAAAUAGAACAACCAUUAUUCUCGGAUUUAAAUGAGUAGCCAUCUCAAAUUAACCGAGAUCCUGAUACAAUGUUCAUGCUCAAAGCUGGCAGUAAAUAACAAUUAUUGAGGUUUAAAACUAAUCCCAUAGGCAAAUGUAGAGGCAGCGUGCCGACGGCGAUCACAUCAACCUUGGAACCAUUCCCGACGCACAUCGUCACCUCGUCCUUCGCCAGUCUCCGUUUAAUCCGCAGCUCCUGCUUUGAGUUACAAAUGUGAGCAACUGCACCGGUAUCAAAUACCCAGGAGCUACUACGAGUACUGGUAAGGUACACAUCAAUUACAGGUAUAUCACAUAUACCUUUAGUGUUGCCGGCCUUCUUGUCCGCUAAGUAUUUGGGGCAGUUCCGCUUCCAGUGACUACUUCCCUUGCAAUAAAAACACUCAGUCUCGAGCUUGGAUCCAUUCUUUGGCUUCUUCCCGGAAACUUGCUUAGCGGGCGCGGCAACUCCCUUGCCGUCCUUCUUGAAUUCUUCUUACCCUUGCCUUUCUUGAACUUAGUGGUUUUAUUCACCAUCAACACUUGAUGUUCCUUUUUGAUUUCCACCUCUGCUGAUUUCAGCAUUGAAUAUACCUCAGGAAUGGUCUUUUCCAUCCCCUGCAUAUUGAAGUUGAUCACAAAGCUCUUGUAGCUCGGUGGAAGCGACUGAAGGAUUCUGUCAAUGACCGCGUCAUUCGGGAGGUUAACUCCCAGCUGAGUCAAGCGGUUAUGCAACCCAGACAUUUUGAUUAUGUGCUCACUGACAGAACUAUUUUCCUCCAUCUUAUAGCUGAAGAACUUGUCGGAGACUUCAUAUCUCUCGACCCGGGCAUGAGCUUGAAAAACCAUUUUCAGCUCUUCGAACAUCUCAUAUGCUCCAUGUCUCUCAAAAUGCUUUUGGAGCCCCGGUUCUAAGCUGUAAAGCAUGCCGCACUGAACGAGGGAGUAAUCAUCAGCACGUAACUGCCAAGCGUUGAUAAUGUCUUGGUUCUCUGGGACAGGUGCGUGACCUAACGGUGCUUCUAGGACAUAAUAUUUCUUGGCAGCUACGAGGAUGAUCCUCAGGUUCCGGACCCAGUCCGUAUAGUUGCUGCCAUCGUCUUUCAGCUUGGUUUUCUCUAGGAACGCGUUGAAAUUGAGGACAACGUGGGCCAUUUGAUCUACAAGACAUAUUGUAAAGAUUUUAGACUAAGUUCAUGAUAAUUAAGUUCAUCUAAUCAAAUUAUACAAUGAACUCCCACUCAGAUAGACAUCCCUCCAGUCAUCUAAGUGAAACAUGAUCCAAGUUAACUAGGCUGUGUCGGAUCAUCACGUGAAACGGACUAGUCAACAUCGGUGAACAUCUUCAUGUUGAUCGUAUCUUCUAUACGACUCAUGCUCGACCUUUCGGUCUUCUGUGUUCCGAGGCCAUGUCUGUACAUGCUAGGCUCGUCAACUAAACCUAAGUGUAUUGCGUGUGUAAAUCUGGCUUACACCCGUUGUAUUCGAACGUUAGAAUCUAUCACACUCGAUCAUCACGUGGUGCUUCGAAACAACGAACCUUCGCAACGGUGCACAGUUAGGGGGAACACUUUCUUGAAAUUAUUUCGAGGGAUCAUCUUAUUUAAGCUACCGUCGUUCUAAGCAAAUAAGAUGUAAAACAUGAUAAACAUCACAUGCAAUCAAAUAGUGACAUGAUAUGGCCAAUAUCAUUUGCUCCUUUUGAUCUCCAUCUUUGGGGCUCCAUGAUCAUCGUUGUCACCAGCAUGACACCAUGAUCUCCAUCAUCAUGUCUUCUUGAAGUUGUCUCGUCAUCUAUUACUUCUACUACUAUGGCUAAUGCUUUAGCAAUAAAGUAAAGUAAUUACAUGACGUUUAUGUUGACACGCAGGUCAUAAAAAAAUAAAGACAACUCCUAUGGCUCCUGCCGGUUGUCAUACUCAUCGACAUGCAAGUCGUGAUUCCUAUUACAAGAACAUGAUCAAUCUCAUACAUCACAUAUAUCAUUCAUCACAUCCUUUUGGCCAUAUCACAUCAGACGGCACAUGCUGCAAAAACAAGUUAGACGUCCUCUAAUUGUUGUUGCAAGUUUUUACAUGGCUGCUAUAGGUUUCUAGCAAGAACGUGUCUUACCUACGCCAAAACCACAACGUGAUAUGCCAAUUUCUAUUUACCCUUCAUAAGGACCCUUUUCAUCGAAUCCGAUCUAACUAAAGUGGGAGAGAUAGACACCCGCCAGCCACCUUAUGCAAGUAAUGCAUGUCAAUCGGUGGAACCAGUCUCACGUAAGCGUACGUGUAAGGUCGGUCCGGGCCGCUUCAUCCCACGAUGCCGCCGAAUCAAGAUAAGACUAGUAACGGCAAGCAAAGUGACAAUAUCCACGCCCACAACUGCUUUGUGUUCUACUCGUGCAUAGAAACUACGCAUAGACCUGGCUCAUGAUGCCACUAUUGGGGAAUGUAGCAGAAUUUUAAAAUUUUCUACGCAUCACCAAGAUCAAUCUAUGGAGUUAUCUAGCAAUGAGGAAGAGAGGAGUGCAUCUACAUACCCUUGUAGAUCGCGCGCGGAAGCGUUCAAGAGAACGGGGUUGAUGGAGUCGUACUCGUCGUGAUCCAAAUCACCGAUGACCAAGUGCCGAACGGACAGCACCUCCGCGUUCAACACACGUCCGGUUGGGAAGACGUCUCCUCCUUCUUGAUCCAGCAAGGGGGAAGGAGAGGUUGAUGAAGAUCCAGCAGCACGACGGCGUGGUGGUGGAUGCAACAGGAUCCCGGCAGGGCUUCGCCAAGCGCAAGCGGGGAGGAGAGGUGUUACGGAGGGAGAGAGAGGCGCCAAGAGCAAGGGUGCGGCUGCCUUCCCUCCCCCCUCUUUAUAUAGGGGCCAUGGCGGGCGCCGGCCCUAGGAGAUGGAUCUCCAAGGGGGGCGAAGGCCAAGGGGUGGCUCCCCCCCCCAAGCCAAGUGGGGGGCGCCCCCACCCCUAGGGUUUCCCAACCCUAGGCGCAGGGGAGGCCCAAGGGGGCGCACCAGCCCACUAGGGGCUGGUUCCCCUCCCAAUUCAGCCCAUGGGGCCCUCCGGGAUGGGUGGCCCCACCCGGUGGACCCCCGGGACCCUUCCGGUGGUCCCGAUACAAUACCGGUUACCCCCGAAACCUUCCCGAUGGCCGAAACUGUACUUCCUAUAUAUAAAUCUUUACCUCCAAACCAUUUCAGAACUCCUCGUGACGCCCGGGAUCUCAUCCGGGACUCCGAACAACUUUCGGCUUACUACAUACUAAUAUCUAUACAACCCUAGCGUCACCGAACCUUAAGUGUGUAGACCCUACGGGUUUCGGAGACAUGCAGACAUGACUGAGACGCCUCUCCAGUCAAUAACCAACAGCGGGAUCUGGAUACCCAUGUUGGCUCCCACAUGCUCCACGAUGAUCUCAUCGGAUGAACCACGAUGUCGAGCAUUCAAUCAAUCUGUAUACAAUUCCCUUUAUCAAUCAGUACGUUACUUGCCCGAGACUCGAUCGUCAGUAUCCCAAUACCUUGUUCAAUCUCGUUACCGGCAAGUCACUUUACUCAUACCAUAAUGCAUGAUCCCGUGAUCAACCACUUGGUCACAUUGAGCUCAUUAUGAUGAUGCAUUACCGAGUGGGCCCAGAGAUACCUCUUCAUCACGCGGAGUGACAAAUCCCAGUCUCGAUUCAUGCCAACCCAAUAGACACUUUCGGAGAUACCUGUAAUGUACCUUUAUAGUCACCCAGUUACGUUGUGACGUUUGGCACACCCAAGGCACUCCUACGGUAUCCGGGAGUUUCACAAUCUCAUGGUCUAAGGAAAUGAUACUUGACAUUCGGAAAAGCUACAGCAGAUGAACUACACGACCUUUGAGCUAUGCUUAGGAUUGGGUCUUGUCCAUCACAUCAUUCUCCUAAUGAUGUGAUCCCAUUAUCAAUGACAUCCAAUGUCCAUAGUCAGGAAACCAUGACUAUCUUUUGAUCAACAAGCUAGUCAACUAGAGGCUCACUAGGGACGUGUUGUGGUCUAUGUAUUCACACAUGUAUUACGAUUUCCGGAUAACACAAUUAUAGCAUGAACAAUAGACAAUUAUCAUGAACAAAGAAAUAUAAUAAUAACCAUUUUAUUAUUGCCUCUAGGGCAUAUUUCCAACACCUACGUACCCCCAAACGAUCAUAUACGGAGCCAAAACCCUAAUUCCACCGCCGCAACUUUCUGUAUCCACGAGAUCCCAUCUUGGGGCCUGUUCCGGAGCUCCGCCAGAGGGGGCAUCGAUCACGGAGGGCUUCUACAUCAACACCAUAGCCUCUCUGAUGAAGUGUGAGUAGUUCACCUCAGACCUACGGUUCCAUAGUUAUUAGCUAGAUGGCUUCUUCUCUCUUUUUGGAUCUCAAUACAAUGUUCUCCCCAUCUCUUGUGGAGAACUAUUCGAUGUAAUCUUCUUUUUGCGGUGUGUUUGUUGAGACCGAUGAAUUGUGGGUUUAUGAUCAAGUCUAUCUAUGAAUAAUAUUUGAAUCUUCUCUGAAUUGUUUUAUGUAUGAUAGGUUAUCUUUGCAAGUCUCUUCGAAUUAUCAGUUUGGUUUGGCCUACUAGAUUGAUCUUUCUUGCAAUGGGAGAAGUGCUUAGCUUUGGGUUCAAUCUUGCGGUGUCCUUUCCCAGUGACAGUAGGGGCAGCAAGGCACGUAUUAUAUUGUUGCCAUCGAGGACAACAAGAUGGAGUUUUCAUCAUAUUGCAUGAGUCUAUCCCUCUACAUCAUGUCAUCUUGCUUAAGGCGUUAAUCUGUUUUUAACUUAAUACUCUAGAUGCUUGCUGGAUAGCGAUCGAUUAGUGGAGUAAUAGUAGUAGAUGCAGGCAGGAGUCGGUCUACUUGUCUCGGACGUGAUGCCUAUAUACAUGAUCAUACCUAGAUAUUCUCAUAACUAUGCUCAAUUCUGUCAAUUGCUCAACAAUAAUUUGUUCACCCACCGUAGAAUAUUUAUGCUCUCGAGAGAAGCCACUAGUGAAACCUAUGGCCCCGGGUCUAUCUUUAUCAUAUUAAUCUCCUACUACUUAGUUAUUUCCUUUGCUUUUUACUUUGCCUUUAUUUUACUUUGCAUCUUUAUCACAAAAAUACGAAAAAAAUUAUCUUUAUCAUAUCUAUCAAAUCUCACUCUCGUAAGUGGCCGUGUAGGAAUUGACAACCCCUAUUCGCGUUGGUUGCGAGGAUUUAUUUGUUUUGUGCAGGUACGAGGGACUCGCGCGUAGCCUCCUACUGGAUUGAUACCUUGGUUCUCAAAACCUGAGGGAAAUACUUACGCUACUUUGCUGCAUCAUCCCUUCCUCUUCGGGGAAAACCAAGGCAGUGCUCAAGAGGUAGCAAGGGUUCCUUUUUGUCGACGAUCCGAUGUUUCAACCCUGUUUUCCAGGUGGCCAACGCGUCGCUAAACUUGGUGACGGCGUGUUUGUUUAUCUUCUUCAUUGCCAGGUCCUUAUCUGGAUCUUUAUUAUCCUUUUCACUGCGGUCUGGGAACAAGAUUAUCUGGUGCAGUUUCUUAAGGAGGGAGGGCCUCAUAUUAUCUAUCUUCUGUAGUUUCCCAUCGUUGAUCGUGGCAGUUGUCCGUACGAUGCAACCUAUUUGAUUGCCGUAGCACGAUCGCGCUUCCUCGGGCGCUAUUGUCUCAAAAAUACCGCCGUCCAUCUCCGUGACCGCCAGUCUACUACUCAUGAGCUGGUUUGGGCGCUGUGGCCUCUUUGCUUUCGGUUCUAGACCAGCUCCGCUAGUCUCGGCGCCUGUCUCAGUUUCAUCAUCGGUCCGCAUGUCGGUAUCAGUCCCCGAUGCGACACCACAGUUGCUGCAACAUGGGUAAGGGAGACCACGUCAGUGGUGGGGGGUCUGAAAAUCAGAACACACUUUCGCGCGUCGCGGGCCGCCUCUCAGACAGCUACUGGGGAGGCGGUGGAGUACCUGGGUGCGCGGCGAAUCCCCGGGAACUCGGUGACCAACUUCCUUCCCGUGUGGCGCAUGGAGACGACGGCGACCCCGGCGAAGAGCAGCUUAGCCGCGAGCUGCACAGCCUCGUCCACCUCCUAAGUUGGGACCUCCGCGCGAGCGUUGCGGGGCCGCCACUCGGAUGGCUUCUGGAAGGCGGUUGUACAUGGGCACAUGGUGAAUCCCGGCGAGAGCUGGCCAUUGGCGCGCGCAAGUAGACGACGAUGUCCUCGAAGAAGAGCAGCCCGGCCAGCUCGCCUCACUAUCCUUUGAUUAGAAAUGAAAGAUUGGGAAGAAGCAGACUUGAGCCUGCAGGGAAAGGAUAAGGUGACGAUGCAGUCUCCACUCGUUCGGGGCGACACUCGUACUGAAUGUAUGAGAAACGUGACGUGGCAGAGACCCCAAGAUACUCCCUCCAUUUAUUUUUAGUCUGCAUAUAAAGUUUGGUCAAAGUCAAGAUUUGUAAAUUUUAACUAACUUUAUAAUAAAAAAAUAUCAACAUUCACAAUAUGAAAUCAAUAUUACCAGAUGCGUCAUGAAAUGUAUUUCCAUACUAUAUAGUUUUGGUAUUGUAGAUGUUCAUAUUUUUUUAUAUAUAUGGGAAGUAGAGGCACUCUUCUAUAUAAUGAAGUUUAUAAUAUAUGUGCUUAUAUUGUACUAUAAUUGUUUGAAUAACUUAGCAUAUAUUCAGAUGUAUGAUAUCUGUAAUUUAAACGCUUGAAUUUUACAUAUGAAUAUUUAUUAAUAAAUAUGUACCCCUAUAAUAGCUAGGCCGUGCAGUUGCACGGGUAGAUGACUAGUGAUUACAAUCUUGCUUGUGUGCAAGUCAAGCUUAUCUAGUUUACACGUAACAACUUAUAGAACAUUACAAAAUUUAUGCUUGCUAAUAACUUCUAGAACACUACAACACUUGACAUGUAAAAGGAAUUUGAUGAGUCAUGGCCUACUAAAGCAAGUUACAUUACUAGUCUUAUCUAUCUUAACAGACCACACAAGAUUACAAACUAUGUACCGUGACAGCCAUGCUUAUCUAGUUUAUGCGUAACAAUUUGCAGAAAAUUACAAACUUAGUUUCAGAAAGAUAGGCAAUCUAGAUUAGUGUUUGAGCUGUAAAGUGAAUAAGAUGAGUCAUGCAUGUCAUCACACCUUUUUGGUGGUGGAAUGAUAGUGCAACAACAAGGAACUUUAAUGACCAGUCCAAGAAUACACUUGUAAGUAGUGCCACCAAACAGAACAUACCAAAUGAUGAUUUUGAGAAGCAUCCAAGCACUUUCCACACAAACAAAUGCCAAUUGUGAAAGAGAUCAUUCCAUGGCAGCUAUAAAUAGCCCCAUAGCAUGACGAUCAUCCUUCCUCAUCCAUCAUUCUCAUAAGUAGAGCACAUCAUUUAAGCCAAGCAAGUUGUGGUCAAUACAAAUCCACCAUGAAGACCUUUCUCAUCCUUGCCCUCCUUGCUAUCGUGGCGACCACCGCCACAACUGCAGUUAGAGUUCCAGUGCCACAAUUGCAGCCACAAAAUCCAUCUCAGCAACAGCCACAGGAGCAAGUUCCAGUGGUACAACAACAACAAUUUCUAGGGCAGCAACAACCAUUUCCACCACAACAACCAUAUCCACAGCCGCAACCAUUUCCAUCACAACAACCAUAUCUGCAGCUGCAACCAUUUCCGCAGCCGCAACUACCAUAUUCGCAGCCACAACCAUUUCAACCACAACAACCAUAUCCACAACCGCAACCACAGUAUUCGCAACCACAACAACCAAUUUCACAGCAGCAGCAGCAGCAGCAGCAGCAGCAACAACAACAACAACAACAACAACAACAACAACAACCACAACAAAUCCUUCAACAAAUUUUGCAACAACAACUGAUUCCAUGCAUGGAUGUUGUAUUGCAGCAACACAACAUAGCGCAAGGAAGAUCACAAGUUUUGCAACAAAGUACUUACCAGCUGUUGCAAGAAUUGUGUUGUCAGCACCUAUGGCAGAUCCCUGAGCAGUCGCAGUGCCAGGCCAUCCACAAUGUUGUUCAUGCUAUUAUUCUGCAUCAACAACAAAAACAACAACAACAACAACAACAACAACAACCAUCGAGUCAGGUCUCCUUCCAACAGCCUCAGCAACAAUAUCCAUUAGGCCAGGGCUCCUUCCGGCCAUCUCAGCAAAACCCACAGGCCCAGGGCUCUGUCCAGCCUCAACAACUGCCCCAGUUCGAGGAAAUAAGGAACCUAGCGCUACAGACACUACCUGCAAUUUGCAAUGUCUACAUCCCUCCAUAUUGCACCAUCGCGCCAUUUGGCAUCUUCGGUACUAACUGAGAAGAAAAUAACUCUAGUACUAGAUAUAUGAAACACCGUUUUCUCAGUCCAUGGUUUGGUCGUUGUAGCGGUGAAAAAAUAAUGUGGCAUGCACUAUCAUGUAAGAACCCAAACUAUACUAGUUCAAACUUGGGAAUAAAAGACAAACACAGGUCUUGUCUACAUAUUUAUGUCGCAUCUAUUUAUAUAUUAAAAGUAAUAUAAGGUGAACCAGGAGCAAGGUAAAUAUGCUAGAAAAUUGCACGUUAAUUAGAAAUUACUAGCCCUCAAUCCGGUAAAUCUUAACAAAUAGAAUUAUCUUGACCGUUAGAUUUAUGUAACAUAUAUAAUUCUCUGGGCCUCCAACGACUGUACGUGACACAUCUGAACGCACAUAUGUUAAAGAAAAUAUAUUUGGUAAAUGGUGGGCCUCUUUAAAAAGAGAACUCACGUACAUGCACCAACUAAGAAAAACACAUACAUGUAAACGGGAAAAGGGCUCCACCCCGUUGAAAAAAUAUACAUCUGGAGGCCACUUUGUUUCCUCAUAAAAAAAAACUUACGUUAAAAAGAUUGCAUGCAUCCCAGGGAAAAUAGUCAAGAAGAAGUCGGACUCUUCCUUACAAAAACAAGGAACGUGUUAAGUUGACUUCAAAGAAAAAAGGAACAUGUUAAGUUAAAAAAAACAAGAAACCUGUUAAGUUAGAAAAAAACAAGGAACGUGUUGUCCUAGGAAAGAUAUGUGUCAAAUCUUACAAAAAAAAGAAUACACACACGUACGUUCAUGCACUUGGAAAAUAGAAAAAAAAAGGAACAUCACGUAUGUAUACACUUCGGAAACUCAUUACAUGACCAUGUCUGAUAUACUCCUCUAAUGCUUAAUAUUAGUGCCUAAUAAUUUAUAUUUAAAAUUUAAUUUACUGAUCAAAUAUCCCCACUGUUUAAAUUUUAAUUUGGCACAUUGUUUGGCUAUAGUAUGAACCUAAAUUUCCUCUUAUUAUUAUAUAUCAUGAUAAUAAUCCAAAGGCGACUAAUCUGCGCCGGCGCACCGGCGCAAUCAAUUCGGCCCGACACAGCGCGGCCGUUUGAUUAAAUUGCAUUUAACCGUCAGAUCUAGAAUCAUUUUAUUUCCAAUUAAACGGAUUCAACCAAACAGCAGAGGGGAAAACAAAGCAGCACCGCCGCCAACACUAGUCAUGGACGACCGAUGUAGCAAAACCUUGAAGAACCGCCGCCGGUCGCCACCCUCGCCGCUGGUCGCCGCCCUCGCCGCCUGCGUUUCUCAUCGGCUUCAUGCAUGCAACAACAUGCACUCGUGAUUGCAGGCUUGCAGCUCCGGCUCCGGGGGACAUGGCCGCAUCUCCGGUAGCGCCGGCCGCCAGCCGCAGCACCUGUCGUUGUGGUCACGCUGUACCUCGCCGUGUGCCCUCCCAAGGCUCUUGCUGGUUCCAACAAAAAACGAUACCUAUUGUAGCAAAAAAGUUUAUCGCUUCCAGCAAAAAAGCUUACCGCUAUAGCCCGCCAUCAUCAUUGUAGCAAAAAUGUUAACUCGAUGUAGCUUCUGUGGUUGCCGACUGCGGCCAAAAAUGACGUGGUUGUAGCAAAACACAAAAGAAAAACGCCGGCCGUCCGCUGUGUAUGGUGGUAACAAACCCUAUAGCCGGUGGUAGCGAAAAACUUCACUGUUUGCAGCAAAAAAAUGUUGUCGCCCGUCGUCGAGGUUGCAUCAUCUUCAUGAAUUAUGUCGCAAAAAAACGUUGUCGCCGGUAGUAGCAAAUGAAGCCGCCGGUAGUAACAAAACAAGACACUGGUUCCAGCCAAAAAAAUCAGCGACAGAACCUUUUGUUGGUUCCAACAAAAAAACUUGUCGGUUGUAACAUCCCUCGCCGCCGGAUGUAGCAUCUCCCAGGGCUAGUUGCAACACUCCAUAAAAAAAGUUGUCUAUGAGCGCAUCCAUGGCAACUGCUGCACCGUCAGCAACGAGGGGAAGAGGAGGCAAUGAAAAUCGUUCGAGUCGUAGCUCCACUGGACACGGCUGCAGCAUGGGGAGUCCAAAAAUCUGUCACAAGCAAGAUGCGCCUCGCCAUCCUCCUGCGCAGGAGAGAGAAGAAAAAGGAAUAAGAGGAAGAAGAAACGAAACGGGAGAAAGAAAAAAAGAAACGAUUGGUUGUGGGCUCAGGCAAUUAGUCAAAUGAGGGGCACGCGGGGCCGUAGGAUACAGCGCAAUCGAACGAAGUGCGCGCGUCCGGCCGAAGACUCAGCUGGACUGCCGGUCCAGCUGGAAAUGUUUCCCUAAUACAAAGGCUUUUCUGAAUGACAAGUCGUCUGAGUUAUCGGCUAACUAGAAAAAAGAUAAAUAUGCUAGAUAAUUCCAUAAUAAUUAGAAAUAUCUAGCCUUUAAUUAUGUAAAUCAGAAAAUCACAACCGUUGGAUUUACUUUAAAGGUAAAUUUCUCUAAAUUCCCACCAUUGCCAGUAUGUAGAAACAUGUGCUGCUUCAAUUCUCCCUUAAUCACCAAUCAAUCAACAACUGAAAACAUACCUCAGUUAAAAAAACUGAACAAAAAAAAGAAAAAAAGAAGAAAGGACAAGAUACACGCAUGUACACGACAGCCUUGGCUUGAAACACAUCAGUAGAUCAAGUGUCCGCCUCCCUUACACAGAAUAAAUUCUAGGGAAGAAAAUAAUAGUGCAACCUAACCUUAUACGUACUAUUCUAUCCUCACGUCCCAUGAGGUUUACUAGCCUACUGCCGCCGCAUCAUGCCAUCCUCUCCUUUCAGCUCCCUCCUUGCGGCGCCACUACUCGCCUAGGGAUAUUGCUGCUCAGACCGUGGAGCUUAACCUGCUUCUUCUUCAGCAAAUAUGGAACUGCUUUAGGAUCCUUCUGACAUCAGCGCGUAUGGGCCUCAUUAUACUGCAGCUCCUGGACCUCCUACAAUUGGUUGGCUAUGGCCAGUUGAUCGAUGUGCUGAAGUCCAGGUCUGUUUGCUGGCACAUAUGCUUUGGAAAUAGGCCACUAUGUUUGUACUUCGAAAUUGUUUCUGUAUUCUUCAGUGGUACAUCCUUUUAAGCGCCAGUUUUUUAUGUUAAUUCAUGCUGACAACACUUAACCUAGCCUUUCAUGUUCACGUACUAAAUACAGGAGCAAGUAAAAACAACAGACCACCUAAUUGCUCUGCAAGUUCUACAUAGGAAAAUUUGUCAUGUUCUACGAUCGCACCAUCCCACCCUUCUCUCUUGGUAUGGGCGCCAAUUGAGGGAUUGAUAAAACUGAAACGAAGACGUCACAGGGCUGGAAGUACCGCUAGCCUGGUUCGCACUGCAACCUACCCAACGCCAUCAGAAACUAGCAACUGAGUCAGGUGUUGAUCGAUUCUCUCAAAUUGCUCUCAUGUAAGUACUACCCCUUGCAUGUGCGUACAUACCUUUGUUGCAUUCUCAAACAGAUAGAACAUGUAUGAUCGGUGCAUGGCUAUUUUUCAUCACAUGACAUCCAGAUAACAAGCAUGAAAGGACUACAUUGGAGAUCAAAAAAUAUUGGUUCCUGGCUAGAGUACCACUACCUAUGGACUUGUCUCCAUAGAAUUUGUUCCCAAGAUGUUAUUUUAAUUAACCUCUUUAGCUUUCUUCCGUUGCAAACGGUGAUGUGCAUCAUGGUAUAUACGUGACCAUCUUGCACAUGUAUACACAAGAGGCUCAGACGGAGGUGCUGGAUUCUGGACGAGGGAAUAUGAAGCAGGAGUGAGCGAAGAGUAAAUAAUGGUGGGAGUACCGAUUGGUGUUAUGAAGAAAAAUGCCAUCCAAAGAUUGAUUAGUGUCAUGGAAGAUUAAUUUCUGAAUGCGAAUAUAUAUGUUACAUUGGUUUGGAUCUUUUUGAGAUAAUUGCACCUAAAUUAGGUUCUUUCUUAUUUCAUAUGUAUACCUUAUUUCAGUAAAAGUUCACAACGAACUUAGUAGGACAAAUAUAAUUUUGUUUGUUCUUUCUGUUGUCCGCCACCAAAGCUCAGUUUGAACUCUCUAGAAAUGGACAAUGAUUUAUGCAUUCUAUAUCUUCUUGAUUGAUUAGCCAUGACAAGGAAAUAAAAGGAUUGACUGAUAUAGCAUAACUUUGGAACGAUCUGUUCGUAGAGGUUACUACAAAUUAGAGUAGUGUCUGUUGGAAUUUUGCUAGUAGGCCUUUGGCCCAAAGCCCAACUAAAAUUCUGAAAUUCUCUUCGCUCAUUCAUGCACACAUGUGAGUGGAGUGAGUGAGACUAAAGUUUAGAGAGAGUUGCACCUCUUUAUAAGGUGAGCUCUUCUACCACUUGUAUGAGCAUGAGAAGAGGAGACCUAUACACGCGCUCCUCCUCCUCGCUCACCACGUCUCGUCACGCCGCGCCGCGCCGCGGAUUGCGGGAUUGAGCCGAGCCGAGGACGUUGUCUAUAUUUUUGCUGUUUGGGAAAAAUUAAUAAGUCAUUAAUUAAUAAUUAAUGGAUGCGUUAAUUACUGAACCAUUUUCGAUUCUUUUGGAUCGUGACGACUCGGACGUGGGGUUUACUCCCACGAUCUACCCGGCCCACACUAUAUAGUCAGGCAGACGUCUACCCUAGCCGCCGCCACUUCGUAUGGUUUCUCACCACCGUUACAGAUCGUUGCGCCGCCAAGCAAGUUUUCUCCAUUCCUCCUGUCGGCAUGCACUGGGAGAAGGGACAGCAGGCCUCCGGAACCCCGCCUCUCGUGAUCCUGUACGGGAGAGGGGCGAUCAGAUUUUUGGGGAGCGCACUCGCACGACUGCUGGCAGCGACGACUUCGCAAACGACGACUUCUUCCCCGACCUCGGCAACCUCAUCCUCGACUUCUGCACCGUAUGUUAUUCUAUCCUUCUUGUUCGAGAUCGUGGUAGAAUUCAGAUUUCUAGCAUGUUCCCUAGAUGUGAUUUGUUCAUCUACUAUUCUAAUUCGCAUGAUUAGUUUAAUCUUUGCUAUUGCUGUCAUGAUCUAUUUCCUAUUUAUUCGGAUUAAAUCUCGUAGUAAUUUGCUCAUUUUUCCAACAGUGCCAUCUAAUAGAUGAUGUAAAUCUCCUCAAGUUUGACGUUGUUGAGCUAAUUUACAAAAAAAACCUCAUCAUUAUUGGAUGUCCUUAACAGCUCAAGAACAAGUUGGGGUCGAAAUAAUGGAUUUUACACUUUUACAUUAAAGGUUUAGCUAAAGCAAGCAGGUGUUUUUAAACCUGAAUUUUUUUCCUCCUGAAUUUCUUUGUAUUUUCUUAUUGACACUAUUUAUACAAUCAUCUGACAAAGAUUAGCUAAAGCUGUUUGUAGAUACGUUCAAACCUGAAAAGCUUCUUUGGUUAUCCUUUUAAUAGUUCUACGUUUAUUUUCUCAUAGGUCUUAAUUCUUAUGUAAUACCAAGAUGCAUUGUGGUAGUGUACAUGUGUUAAAUUCAGGUUGUUAUUCACAAUUUGCGACAAAAUUUAGCUCACGCUACAUUUAAAUAUGUUGAAAUGUGAAAGCUCUUUUUCUUCUCCUUUCUACACCUUGCAUCGGAUUGCAUCCCUUUAGUUAUCCAACAUUUUGUACAACAUGUAGAGAUUAGGAAGUUCAUCAUAGUUUGUCUAUUUCCGUGCUAAUAAAUGUAUGAAAUCUGCAUUUCCAAGCUACUAGGACAAGUAAAAAAUAAUAAUUUUACUAUAGGAUUCAAAAACAGCAGUUCUGAAGUGCACUUUAUUUAUUUGUGAAAGUGAUCACAUUUUGUUUCAUUUUUCUAUAGACAAAUCUACUAAUACAUACUCACGAUAAAACUAUAAAAGUUCUAGUCCGCACAUUGGGCGGGCCACCCGGCUAGUUAGUCUAAAGAUAACAAAAUGAGUCUGGAAUUUGAAUUAAAUUGAAGUAUUUUCUUGGACUAUCCACAUCCUUGGCUUGCCCCUGAUCAAUUAUUUCCAGAGAAGCAUUCAAUUCAUCAAUCAAUUACAUUGAUUUUAGUGGCUGGUACUUCUCCUCGACAUCAGUAUAUUCACCGUGGCCACUCCAAAUCGGCAAGAAUGAGGUACCAGUGCUCUGGAGCAGUGCAAGCUAAUUGCUUCUCAUGUGAAGGGGUGCGGGCGCGGGAGAGGUAUUUCUGGUGGGCCAAGGGAUAAGAAGCGACCGUGGCAGCGGUACAGACGCCCGCAAAGCCCCAUAAUUUGUUUUUGGUUUACAGGAAAAAUGCACAUCCAUACCGGCCUGGGGAAUAUAGCACUGUAUUGCAUGGAAAACCAUGUCCGGAUGGUUGUGAGCGGUUUGAGGGUUAGCUUUUGUAACGCCCGGUUAGUUAUGCUAUAGCAAUUCCCUGCUAAUGAUGUCACGUCACCACGAUUACUGUUGUUAACCUCACAAUGAUUCAAUCCCGUUCAAAUUCAAAUUUGAAAUAAAGGUAAACAUCAAAAGUUUUCAAACAUUAAAACUAAAAUCUUUGAGAGGUGACAAAUAAUGCAUAAGUAAUUAUGGUGAAGAAACCACACUUUAAUCAAAUGUUUAAAUACUCUAAAAUGAAAAAAAAACAGUGACUUAAACUAUUAUUUAAAUGCUUUUAAAAUAGUAAAAAUCUUCUAACUAAAUUAUUUGGGUACCAAACUUUUGGUGGCAGUGGUAUAUUUAGUAGAACUAAUUUAGAUGCUAAUUAUAUAAUUUACAAAAUUAGAGUAAAUUGAAAAAUAGGAUAAAACGGAAAAAGGAAAGACAAAACAAAUAAAAGCAAAAGGGGGCAACCCCUCGCUGGGCCUCGGCCUAGCUGGCCACUAGACUAGCUAGGCUGGCCCCGCCGCCUCCCUUAACCCCCCACUCCCCAUCGAACCCAAGCCCGAUCGCCCCAUUUCCCACACACCCCCUCGCUAGUCUCCCCACCUCUUGAUCCCAUCUGGAUCGGGGAGGGUAUUGCCCCCAUCAACCCCGUUGCCGUCGCCGGAUCGCCCGCCGACGUCGGCAGGCCUCCUCCCCGUCGCCCGUCUCCGGCUCACCUCCCCUCUCGCUCCUCUUCCCCGACCCGAUCUGGAUCGUGAACGAGCAAUGAGCUCGAAGCCCCCCUUCACCAGCGCCAUCACCGUGCGCCACCACCACCACCUGAAGACCUCACCGUCGCUGAACCUUGCGUCGCCUCCUUGUAUCCCUCCCCUACUCGCAUCCUCAAGCCAGGCCGAGCCCCUUCUCGGCAACGCUGUGAGACGCCCCCGUUUCCCUCCUCUUUCCACCGCGUUCACCGCGCCGCCCGCCGUGCCCCUCGCCGUGCAUGAGCCCACCACCGCACCAGCCCCCGCUCCGCGCACGACCCUACCCGCGCCCGCGCCAUGAUCCCCUUUUCCGCCCUACCUUCACGCGCUCGCCGCGAUCCCCAUGCUCCCCCGCGCCCUCUUUCGGGGGCGCCGACUGCCCCUGUCCCGGUGCUCGCCGCCGUGCCUCGCCACCGCUCUACUGCUACGUUACUACUGCGCUGCGGCCGCCGCCUCUUCCCGCUGCUCCGCUAGCGCCGAAGCUCCCGGUUGGCUCCACCACUGCUCACGUUAAACCGCCGGCCUAAAUGGCCUAACCCUCGGCUAAUGAACCCCCACUAACCCACUGACACCGGGACCCACAUUCCCUAAUUAACCAUUUAAUAAAUUAACAUUAGUGUAUGACAUGUGCGUCCCCUGUUAAUUAAUAAUUUUACUGCUAGUUUUAUUAGUUUCUGUUUUUCUGCAUAUUUCUUUUGUAUUUGAACAGGCUUUAUACAAUAAUAUUUAGCGUAUCAUACACAUACAAAUGUAAUCAUAGCAUAUACAUACAAAUAGUCUCAUCAAAUCAUGUCAUCAUCAUAAUCAUCAUCCAUCACAAAGUGGUCUCUGGUCAUCAUCUCGAAAAUAGCGAUACAAGUCUCGAUUACUUGCAACUACAUCGUCAUCCAUCUAAACAAUGAUAUACACGAGAAGAGCUCUCACUAUGAGUGAGAGCGGAACUAUGCAGUACAUGAGUUUGUAUCCCUCUCUCGCAUUAGCGUGAACCUAAACUAACGACUGGCUGUUGCUCGGAAACCGGAAACCGGUACACCUGGGCCUGACACUCCGGCCACUCAUCGUAUACUCCUGGCGUAGCACUUCUUCGCCAUCGAUGAUCUAUGCACCUGCAUCGUCACAUGAGUCGAUGAUAUGCAACAUAUAUAGUUGAGCAACAGAAAGAGACAGACUUGGCAAAAAUAGAAGCAACAUAUCACAAGUAUAAAUAACAAAGUUAAUGUUUUGCAGGAUUACAACUCAACCCAUUGCAGAUUAGAAAACAAGCCCGUAUGAAUGCACAGGCUGACGACUAGUCUAUCUAUACCUAUACCUAUACCUAUACCUAUACCUACCUAUACUAAUUACAGACUCCCAAGGAAUUCCCACGUUAAUUAGUAAUUAGGAGUCGUUAAUCUUGUGGGACCAAAUUAUUACGACAGUCCACGAUCUCUUUUCUCUCUGUGUAAAAAAAGGUCCACGAUCUCUUUUCUCGGUUGUAAAAGAUAAAGGCAACUCAGGUCCACGAUCUCUUUUCACGGUUGUGAAAGAUAAAGACAACUCCCGUCUUCUUCUAAUCUAUAGUUCUAUACCUCCACGACCCCUUUCUCUCCCCAUUUAAAAGGAACAAGCUGAACCAAUAUCUAAGCAUGCAAUUGGUUCCUGUGCGGUCUUGACCUUCCAUCCGUCCACUGCUCGAUCGGCCCUCCCUCAACUACAAGCUGACAAGCCACCAUCGCCAUCCAGCGGCACGCCACCGUUCAUGCAUGUGUUUUUGCCCUUCAAUCUGAAGGAGAUGCGUUGGCUACUCAAGUAACUCUGUUUGUUUUGUUCAAACCAAUUUCGUUAAUUCGGUUCUUUGAUUAUCUAAUUGACAUGGCCUGUGAGUUUUGUGCUAGUGAUACAGGGCCUGUCUACUAGAUUCUCUCCUUGCAACUUCUAUUGUUGUCUCGAUUUGGUGUGGUCAAGAUCCUUGCCCCACCACAAGCAGCACCUUUGCACCAUCGGGGAAAUCUGUCAUAGCAAACAGAGGUAUGUAACAUGCUUUGGUGUUUUCCUCUUUCGUUUAGAUCACUAGAGUUGCUCAACCACACCAUUCAUUGAUUAGUAGUUGGCCUGAGAAGUUGCUCGGUCACCUGCAGCGUCUGAUCCCCUUCUUGACCCUCUCCUUCUGGUCAUUAUCCACCGGCAGGUCAAUGCAAAACGGAUCGUUCGUUGCCGCCACCUUGCGGAGACCGAUGUUUGGCUGCCCUCCUGCCAUCCUGGCACUCUGGUACCGGUCACUGUGCCGUUGUUCUAGAAGAACUAUGUCACACGAAGCGAGAUAUCUUCUUACUAAUCUGGAACAUAAGUGUUUCUUCUUACUAGGAUUCGCUCACCGGUGCAUUCAUCUCUUUUUGGAAAAUACGGCCUUCAUAUUUCACACGCCUAUACAUGGGUGCUGUCCCAACAAUAAUCCAUCUAAUCCAUGAUGCACAUUCAUGAAGACUGAUGUGACUGAAUUAAUAUAUCAAUCUGGUGCUUCCGGAUCAGCACUUGAAGAAGCAACCCCUUUAGUUCAUAAAUUUAUCAUACGAAAGUCAGGGGAAAAAUCAACUAAGUCAUGUGUGCUUUUCUAAUUAAUUACUAUACACUAAUUCCAUUUUUUUCAGUAGCAGGCUAGGAUACGUGGAUUGUGGCAGCACAGAAGUAAACCGAUGAGCUACAUUGGCCGUUCACCAGUCAUCGGAUCAGAAGCCAUGUCGACCAGAGGGACGGAACAGUUCUAUAUUAGGCGAUGGAUACAUGUGGAAGCAACUAAGCAUAUGUGGAUGCAUGUGAUCGCAUAGGUAAGGCCAUAGCUGUUCAAGCCCUACAGGAUCUUUAUUGCUGGUUUUAAUUAUGAGUUUACAACACCAUCUAUACAUACUACUUAUCCAUUUAUUUCCUUACCUUCUUUGUUUCUUUCUCUCCUUGAUCCCCUGUCAAAAGGGCAUCAACAUCCAUAUGCGCAACGGCACACGCAACAAACUAUGACUUCGGUUGCACGUCCAAUGGCAACCACAGUACAUGAUGAUAUCAUGUUUGCUGCAAGACGAAGUACAAGUUCAUAAUUUGGUCUUUUGCAUGGUCCCUUAGUAAAUUAUAUUUGUCCACAUACACCACAUACAUAAAAACAGGUAGAAGCGGUUGCAUGAUGAAAAUGUCCUCUCAAUAUGCAUGCCUAUGAAUACUAUCACCAGAAAGCCAAGGACUAACAAUUAUUCAGGGGUCAAGAUUGAAGACAGACGUCCAAGAUUGGCAGUCGGCCGGCCUAAGAGGGGCAAAACCGUUGUACAUUAUAUUGUAUGGACCUAGCAAGAUCCUAAAGAUAAGUGAUAAUGGAGAUCAUGGGGGCCACCCUUAUAACCAUAUGUCCAAAUGUUCUUAUUUGUUUAUUUUUCUUUUCUCUUUUCGGAAGAAUCCAUCCUGCCUCUAUGGUCAUCCUGACCACUUCGUAUUGUUAUCUAAUCUCCUCCCUUAAUUAAUAUAAAGAAUUACCGCAGCUGAAUUCACUAAAAAAAGUAUUCAGUUUAUUUUAAUUUAUUCAACUAUUAUGGCAUAUCAAUUGGAUUGCAAGUUCUUGGCGGUUGCAUUUGAAUCAUAUUUGAUGUGCACAAAGGCUUCAGUGUCAAGGUGGUCGGACGAGUAUUUAUGUCCAUUAUAUAUGUGUUAGCUUGAGAUCAUCAGGCACCUGUUAUGCAUCUGUCCAGUUAAAAGGAUGUUCAGACUCAGGCUUGCCCUACCAUAUAUGGCUGUGACACUCUGAACCAAGCAAGUUGGUCAUAUGUGUCGAGCACUAUUAACUCUUUGGAAGAGGAUCCACCAAGUACAGGAAACAAAUCAAAUAUCUUCUUAACCUUAUCACCAGAAAAAUUAGCAAGAGAUGAAUAGUAACAUUUUAAAGAAGAAAGAUAUGUUUGAAAAGGGAUAUAUAUUAUGGCGACGAUUAGAAGAGCCCUUGACGAAUGGUGCCUAGCCUGCGAAAGUUUCUUAUGAAUAUAGUCAACACUCUAUAUCAACUGUUGUAAGAUUUUAGAAAUAUUUUUGGGGACAUAUGAUACAUGUCUAUUAUACAUAUGAUUCAACAGAAGUUUGAUUGAAUACAUAUUUAAAACGUGACUGACUUCUAUAUGGACGGAGUAUUUCACAAAGGACUCACUGCCAACUGUGUGAAUAUUCCAAGAUAGUUAGUGCACAUAAAUGUUCAAAUCCAUAGCCUGCAUAAAUAUACAAAAGCAAUGUGUUAGACCACUACACAUGCUUCUGAAAGGAGGCAAAAAAAUGUAUGCUUGAUUGAUGACCGUUCAUGCAUGAAAUUAAUUUCUGAUUUCUAAUUAUUUUGGUCAUAUAAUGGAAAUAGAGACAUUAUAAAGAUCCAACAGCAUGCUAUCACACACGUGUGAACACAGACACACACAAAUAACAUUUGCCGAGCACUCACAAAUAAAAGGUGUGGCUACUCUUGGGUGUUCUACAGCUGGCUUAAAAAAACACGUAUGAAACAUGAUCCCCAAAAAUCUGAAAUUCGCAACAUAUGAAAAUCCACCCUCAAACAUAUUUCUGGUGUCUCAAUUCUUUUAGUUUCAGAUGGUAUGUCCAGCCAAAGUAGUUGUACACAUACAUUACUAUGUUCUAUUAUUUGAGAUUCUAAGACAACAUUUAGUAACUAGCCCGUGCGAUGCACGGGUUCACGACUAGUAUAUAUAAAGCUUAAUGGUGCCUAAGAAAGCUCGCACAAUUUUACAGUGGCUGUGGAGAUGUGUUGCCAAACUGAGACAUAAGAUUUUCGUUUGGCAUCCAGAGUUGCAGACCGCUUGUGUUAUCCUUAAUCCAUGGCCACUCUAAUUUUUCCGGCUGGGCCUUCCCUGUGGUACGGCAGCAAGGCUUGCGUGUGUAUAUGUUUCCUUUAACUACCACUAGCACAUAUGCCCGUGCGUGCGUUGCAAGGGGAGAGAUAAUGGCGUAUCCACCAAUAUAUCUAGCAGCAUGACCCAACAACAUCCGAAUGAUGUCACCCGACGACGGCAGGAAGGCACACACAGAGGUCUAGUAAAAACUCAACAAUUGUACGGGCAUGGUUAAUUCGCGUGAAUUCAAGGGUGUGAGAUUAGUUAGUGUUGGUCCCACAAUUGAAUUCGGGGGCUGAUUAGUUAGUGUGGGCCCACCCUUGAAUUCACCGGGGGAGACAAAAUAAUUAGGGUGAGGAGAGAUUUACGGGGCUUGGUCCCCAGAUGCGUUGCGGCAGUCAUUAUUCGAGCAUUGCAAUGCUCGCACGUGAGGAGCUCUUUUUCCAAUUGUAUAUUGAGAAGCAUUGCUACAGAUACAAUGUUUUUGAUACGUUUUUGUACGAUGAUCCUGAUCUUAAAGGGCCUUCUAAUUUUUAAAUCUUAAAGGCAUUAUUUGUAAGUUGUCGUGAAAAAAAUCUCGCUAAAAGGGUUAUGUUAGACCAUCUUCAGUACAUUAGAAAUAACGAAUUAUAAUUCCUUGGCAUUUGAACAAACAAUCCCUACUUAUUUACACAUACAAUACUUUUGGUAUGAUUUUGAAAUCUUGAAGGCAUUAUUUGUAAGUUGAAGCAAUUUUGAAAUCUCACUAAAAGGUCUGUUAGACCAUCUAUAGCUUUAGAAAUAACUAAUUAUAAUUUUGCAAAAAAAAGAAAUAACUAAUUAUAAUUCCUUAAGCAUCUGACCGAAACGACCCCGAUUUAUUGUCUGGGUAGUAAUUCCUUUGCAACAUUAUUCUCUCCUUUCUUGAAGGAACUCUUGCCUGGGUAGUAAUUCCUUUGCCCACGUAUUUGCAAGGUUAUUCUCUCCUUCAUUUUUACAGGAGCUCUCCUUCCUUAUACUAAUUGGUCAUUAUCCUCUCCUUCCUUUUUCUUUUUGCCAAACUCUCUUUCCAUAUUUAUGCCGCUAACCACGCCACUCUUUUUCCUUAUUUAUGCCCUUUGAUCACGCCACACAUCUCAUGAAAUCUAAGCCAUAUAUAUCACCCAUCUUUUUUCCUUAUUCCGGUGCUUUCCUCACAAACAGUAGUUCUCUAGGAUGCUUAACGAUUUUGAAACAGAAACAUAUAUAAAUCGGUAGAACGGGUUGUAAAGCAGCGAGGUGGUACUAAUUUAUAAAGAAACAAACCUUUUCUUUUUGUGUAAUGAUGCCUUGGUUCGGCUGGUUGCGUUGGGAAAAGGACCGGCGAAGUGGGCGAACCAAAAACGGAUAAAAUUACGGUGGUAAGAAGCGAUAGCCCUUUUAUUAGUAGGUAUGAGGAUGUCUAGGAUGUCUAGGAUGAGGAUUUACUGCACACAAGUGCGGGGGCACUCAGGUCCUGAUGCCGCCUUUUUAUUUUGGCUUCCGAUUUUCAAACUUCUAUAUCUUUUAAACAAAAAAUUCAAUUUAAGUUACGUUUUCAUAUUCGUGCUUCUCGCGGCCAGCGCUUUCAAAUAAGAUCCAUUUUGCAUACAUUUUGGUGGCUUUUGGAAACGGGCGAAUAGCUCCUAUGCGACGUUGUUGGUGUGUAUUGUCUCUCAUGCGACGUUGUUGGCUGUAAUAGCUCUCAUGCGACAUCUGCGUUGGAAAAAAUAGCUCCCAUGCGACACACCAUUUACGCGGCUAGUUGGCUGUUAGUUAGGCUGAGGUUUGGUUAGGACACUGGGGGUUAUGUGCUCUGACUGGUGGGGUCCACCUAUGGUCACGUAGACAAGAGUCAACCGUCCACGACUCGACCUGGGACUGUGUGACCGUGCUCGACUCACCCGUGCUGGACUGAGUGAGCGGUGCCGCCGUAAGCAUCUUCUCCGACAGCGGUUUCUUCUCCGCGGUGGUGGAGCGCAUUUCUCGGCAGCGGCAGAGCUAUUGCGAGGUGAGCCCGAAACCCUAGUCCCACUCCCCAGAAUUUUGGGGGAUCUGUGGCCUCAUGCUGCCCUCUGUUUCUUGGCGAUUUAGAAUCGGGCUCCAUUGGAUCCGGGGGUUGUUUCUUCUCCGUGGCCCGGUGGUGGAGCGCCUAUCUCUGUAGCGGCUAUUGCGAGUGAGUAUUUUCCAAACACUACUCGCAUUCCACUAAAUUUUGGAUAAAUCUGUGGCCUCAUGCUGCCCCUAUUUCUUGGCGUUUUAGAAUCUCGAUUGGAUAGGAGAUGGAGCGAGGGCUGGAUGAGAUGGAGCGAGGAGACAGUGCUUCAAAUCGGUAAUGCCACACUCUUUUCUUGGCGAUUUAGAAUCGAACUCGAUUUGGUAGUGACUGCCGCCGCUGCCUGCCAUUGACAAAACAGGGGAGGUUCAAGUUCUGCCACCACAUUCACAAUUAUAGUGGAAUUUUUUCCCUGUAAAGCCAAGCUCAGUGAUGGCAGUGUCCAAGACAUUGAUAGAGAUACCACCGUGAGGUUCGAUGUCGAAUUUGCAGAUGUUGAUCCCCAGGAAUUGGAGAGCAUGAAGGAGAAGGCCGUGGGCAAUUUGGUGGAGAGAAUUGGGGAGAAUAUUGUUUGGGGUCCAGAACAAGAGGUAUGUCUGCAACGUUUCGAUAACUAUAAUGGUGAAUAUGUGAGAAUUGAAGAUGGAGAAUCCAUGGUUGCUGAAAUUGAUCAGCAAGAAGGGUGGGCAACUAAACAAGUAACAUUUUAUGCAGAGCUAAUUGAUCUACAAACUCAUUCCAGAGUUGGUUAUGUGCAAUCAAAGAGGGCUGCACAGAUGGAAGAUGAUGAGUGGGUUUCACAAAAGAAGAUGUUGGCAUUGUUGACUGAACCGACUGUAGUAGCUGAAGAUACAGGGAUUGAUGCAGAUGGAGAGGAGGGAACCCAUGGUGCUAGGAAGAUUGUUGUUGACUGGAAUGUAGUAGAGUUGAAUGAAAAAACAGAUUUGGUCAUUACACCAAUAUCUGACAUUGAUAUGGCCGAAAUGUUUGGCAUUCAAGUUGAUGACAAAGAUAAGGAGAAGGAUGACAGUUCUUUGCCUGCUGAAGGAACAUAGGCCCUAGAAAUGCAAAUGAGGAUGAAGAACAGCUGAUGAGAGAGGCUGCAGAUGAUGUGGAUGAUGCAGAUGAUAAUGAGUUGGUUUGUUUGUAUGACAAAGAGAACCCAGUUAUUGAGGUGGGAAAGUUGUGGCCAAGCAUGAAGGAGUUUAGGAUGUCUUUCAGGACCUAUGCAGUGAAAAAGAGUUUGAUGCCAAGACUAUGUGGACUGAUUGAAAGAAAUUUUAUGCUCGGUGCAAAGGUUAUGAUGGUGGUGGCAAUCCUUGCAAAUGGUACUUGUCUGCCAGACUACAACCUGAUUGAAGUACAGUAAGGGUAAAUCAAAUACCACACCAGCAUACAUGUAUGACCACUUCACAGAGAGUUUCAAAGAUGACAUCACAGCUUUGGGUUACAGAGAAGAUUACUCCUAUUUUAGCCAAGACUCCAAACACUACUGCAAAGAGGCUUAAAGUUGACUUGGAGAAGCUGUACCCCAUCCAGCUGCAAUAUACCACAGUGUGGAAAGCAAAACAAAGGGCCAUGAAAUCAUUGUAUGGUGACUGGGCAAAUACAUUUAGGAUGUUGUAUAGUUUUAAAGCAGAGGUGGAGAAGAGGUCACCUGGGAGUGUGGUGGAGAUAGAUACAGAGGUAACAGAGGAUGUCAUGGUUUUAUUCAGCAAGUUUUUUAUGUGUUUGAAGCCAUGCAUAGAUGGAUUCAAAGCAGGUUGUCGUCCAUAUUUGAGCAUAGACUCAUCUUUUUUGACUGGAAAGUGGAAUGGUCAGUUGGCUGCAUGCAAUGCUCUAGAUGGACGCAACUGGAUGUUCCCAAUUGCAAUAGGAAUGUUUCAAUCAGAGACAGAGGCAUCAUGGAUAUGGUUCAUGAUGCAACUGAAAAGAUGUAUAGGGCCAGUUUCUCCUUUAGCCAUCCACACAGAUGCAUGUAAAGGGUUCGAAAAUGCAGUAAAAAAUGUUGUCCCCCAUGCUGAGCAGAGGGAGUGCUUUGGACAUAUGUGGAUGAAUCUGAUAAAAAAAUUAGAGGAGAUGAAUUUGGGCGCAUGUGGCCAGCAGCAAGAUCCUACACCAGACAGACACAUUCCUAUCACCUUGGUAAGAUAUUGGCAUCAUGUAGUGAUAAUGAAUUUGCUUCAUGGUUGAACACCCGCCAUUCUCUGUUGUGGUAUAGAUCAGGUUUUAAUACUGCCAUAAAAUGUGAUAAUAUCAAUAACAACUUGGCAGAAAGUUUUAACAACAAAGUGAAGGAUUUGAAAGACUUGCCUGUGCAUGACAUGGUGGACCAAAUAAGGAUCAUGAUCAUGCGUUUGUGGGAGUUGAGAGGAAAAAUUGCUAAUAUUUUGGAAGGGGACAAGCUUCCAGCAGUGGUACAAUAGGUGGUCAACAGGAGUAGAAAUCUUUCACAUCUAUCUGUUGAGAAAUCUUCCUUGUGGGGUGCUGAAGUUAGAGAUACAAAGAGUGGCAAGAGGCAUGUGGUAAAUACUGAGUUGCAUGAGUGUACUUGCCGAGAGUGGCAACACACUGGAAAACCAUGUGAGCAUGCCAUACUUUUUUUGGCAUCUAAACCCAGGUUAAAUAUGCACCCAUAUUUGCAUGAGUAUUAUUCAGUACAAAAAUUCAAAGCUGCAUAUGCAAGUCCAAUUCCUGCACUGACUGACCAAUCUCAGUGGCCUGAGGUGGAAAUAGAAUUUACCUUGUGUCCCCUGUCACUAGAAGAAAGGCUGGGAGGCCUAAACAGAGCAGAUUCAAAGCUUGGUUUGAGAAAGGUGGUUGUAGUAAGAAGGGGAAAAAAGAAAAGAAAAAGAAUGAUAAGCCCAAAAGGGCUCAAAAAGGUAAGAAAAAUAGGUGCAAGUUGUGUGAGGUACUUGGGCACAGAAUUGGUUCAUCCAAGUGCAUCUAUACUCCUCAGAGGACAAAGUAUGUUCAUGUUACUGUUUUUACAAGUUUUUGAUUUUGUUACUUGUUCUAGUAUCUAACCAAGUCAAAUGCUUUAUUUUUUAGGAGGAAGCGUGCAGAAAAAGCCCCACCUCUUGUUGUUGAACAAUGCUGGCCAGUGAAAAAAGCAAGACUCAAUGGCUAUAUAGAAGGAAGAGCACUAAGCAGAUAAUGUUUGGUGACAAAGAUAUGGAGCUAACUGAAACUGUUACUGCUGAACAUGAGCUAAGUGUUUCUGUUUUGGACGAUGUGAUGCAUACUGAAUCUGUUUUGCAGACGCUAGGGCAAUCUGAAACUGUUGCAGAUGAAGCAACGGUUGUGCUGCCAUGCGAAUCUGCUUUGACAACUGUGUUGCCAUGUUUGGAGGUUGUGCUGCCAAGUGUUGAGUUGCAAACUGAAGUAGUUGAACAAUUUGUGCCAUCUACUCAAUCUGCAGAAGUGCAAACUGAAGAAGUGCAAACUGAAGAAGUGGGACAUGGUCAGGUGAAAAAGUUGAGGGGGCCUAGUGGAGUUUGCAAGGGGCCAAAAAGCAAGAGCAUCAACAUCAACAAACUAUGCGCCGUGGAACCAAACGAUGGAAAAAAGCAGAAGAAAUCGAGUGGUAGAAAGAAGCAAAAGAAAUAGAGUCGAAAUCAUUCAAAUUUGAUGUGAAAACUUAAGUUUGUUGUCAUUUGAUGUGAAAACUUAUGUUCUUUCAUGUGAAAACUUAUGUGCUAUGAUGUUGAUUUGACUUGAAAUAAAAUUCAAAUUUGAACCGACAUUCAAAUUUGAACCUAUCUCCAAAUUUUUUUGAGUUCAUUUGUUUGUUCUGUGAUGUUGCAUCGUUUUAUGUACUACUAUGCACUUUGUGAAGUCCAACUCAUAGUCACUGAAAAUGCUGUACAAACAGGCUCCAAAGUAAGGGAAAACGGCCCCAUUUCUAAGCAAGUUUUUUUCGAUCUUCUCAAAAUCACCCAAAAAAGAUUUUCUUAGCUUAUAUUAUACCUAUAUAGGAUCAAUACAAAGUCUCACCUUUUUUGAAUAAGUAUUCAUAUUAUUUAAUUUAUUUUUGAAAAAACACCCUUUAAUACAAAGUCAGCAAUAAAACAAGUUUAAAAAUUUUAAAUGCAAAAAUAACUUCAGAUCCUCCUUAGUCACUCUAAAAUGAAGCUAAGGUGAUGUUUUUUGAUUUUUUUGCAUUUUCAAAACCUCAAACCCUCUUCUCACUCCUUUGAACUCUAUGCAACCUCAGUCGAGAUAGUCCAAUUUGUGAAGGUUUUUUCAUGCAAAGAUCAUUAGAUCAAGUUUAUCAUUUUAUAUCAUAACUAUGUAACAUAAAAAGGCUAUAUGCGCAGGUUUUUCAUUUUUUAGAUUUUUUUGAAUUAGUUAUACACAUUUGAAUGUUCGGUCAAACCUUUCAAAACCCCGUUGACUGCCUCAAAACCCCAUGUAACCCUAGCGCCAAACGUCCACCGUCGAUCUAACCCUAACGCCAAACUGCGGCCGUCGGAUGGGACUUCUAGAAGGAUUCCGCGGGGGCGAUCCAUGGGCUCCAAUCUGAUUGGCCAUUGUUUUUUCUCUCUGACGAACAGAUAACGUUGAGCGGGGGAGCAUCUAAGUGACCGUUGGGCCGAGUGGAUUGGGCCUGGCAAAGCCUGGCGUGCGUGCACACGGCUGUUGAGAGGGGGGAUGGGCUGCAUGCGAGCGGGUCAAUGACAUGUGGGCCAUCCUUGUCCCAUGCAUGCCAUGCAACGUCGCAGCCUAGCUAUUCUUUGCUCGUGAAAGCCUAGCCAUUUGCAUGCGGGCUUGCAUGCACGCAUCGACGCAGAGUACGGCAAGGGUGCAGCGUAUAGGUACGUCGCAUCUAAGCUAUUUUAACAAAUGCAUGUUUGAACGAGAUGGACGCGUCGGUGGUGCAGCUCCUUUUUCAGUGUCACGCGCGGAUGAACGGGCCUGUUUCCCAUGCGGCAUCACCGCCGAUGCAAGUGCCCGUGCCUCUUUGGAUGCUCUGGCCGCCGUUUUUUGAAUUAAUGCCCGCAAUUACUUAUGCCAUGCGAACGGAGAAGAGAAAAAGAUCGAGAAGGGGCACCGUGUACACAUUGACCAUGGUUGCAAUGCGGCUAUAAAAGGGCACCAUUUCCUCAUCCUCUCACACUCAUCUCUCAAGCCUCCUCCCCUUCUUCUUUUCGAGCCAAAUCCACCACUCGAGCCACCAUGCAGUUCAACGGCCCUACCUACCGUCGCCCUUGCACCGUGCCGGAGAGGCAGUACCCAGCCGGAGUCGUCGUGGAGAACAGCCUGAGGGUGUGGGCCAUCUCUAGGUGGAGGGGCCCUAGAGAGUUGGCUCGCUUCUUCCUCCAAGCUGGCUACCGCCACCUCCCUCCGGGCACUCCGCCCAUGUUCCACCUCCACGAGCAGUACGAUGGCAAUGCCGGCCCCGACGGCUUCGUCAUCGGCCUCUAUGUCACCUUCACCAACCCCUACGACGCUCACCACCUCCCCGGGGAGGUGUUCUGGUGUGGAUGCGAGUUUAUCGCGUUCACGACCUACAACAUCUUCACCAACUUCCACCACAUCUUCCCUCACCACAACGGCAUGCACACCCUCCCCUAUCAGAUGCCGGAGGACGACGAGUGAGGGGCCCAAGGAGGAGGGUCCAAGGAGUGGCAAGGAGGAGGGGCCAAGGAGUUGUUCAAGCGGCGAGUCUUCUAUCUAUCUAGUUUGGGGCUCUAGUUUGUGUUUGUGUUGGUUCGGGCGUGUGUGCCCGUGUCUUUUAUAUAUCUAGUUUUAAUUAUUUUACUUUCAUGUUUUAUGAACUAUAUGUAGUGGGGGGAUGCCCCUCUAUAAGUUUUAUCUAUCUAUGCUACUAGGGUACCCGAUGCCCCUCUAUCUAUCUAUAUGUUUUUUCGGUCCUAAAGUUUCUCCAUUGCAUUUUAUUUAUGUGGCCAUGUGUACUAAAAAACAAUUGAUCUGGUAUCUAAAAUGUACGUUACCAAGAAAUUGACAAUAAAGAUUAUAUACUGUACUACAUAAUCAUACAGUUGGUAUACAAUGCAUUUGAAGACAAUGGGCAAGAAAAAUGCUAAUUAUCUGGUGCUGGUGACAUGCGUAAGUGUUGUCUGAUGUUUAAAUCAUGCUUGCUAUGUCAUUUUUUGCUGCCAAACAUGGCAUUAGCGAGAAAGGUCAUUUGGGCACUGAAUGUAUUAAAGUAUACACCAUAUAUAAAAAUGUCUAGCCAAAAGAUUUGGGUGUACAACUGUACACCAAUGACCAAGUAUGGAUCCGCCCCUGGUUGUAAGGGGAUGCCCCUCUAUGUUGUAAGGAGAUGCUACUAGGGGCACACUAGAUGUCUUCUUUUUUUGAGAGAGGCACAACCUUUUUCGGUUGAAACACACGAGUAAAAACUUUGAAAACACCAUAGCACAAGUAAAAAAAUAUAUUAAGAAAUGGUGCUUGGUUGAAAUAAACUAGAACCAAACAAUUGCAACUUUCUUGGUUCACAAAGACUGCUCAAAUAAUUAUCUCAAAUAGCUUAUGCAUAAAAAUAUCUCAAAUAAUUAUUAGAUGAGUUAUCUCAAAAAAGGUGACUGCAGGAAACUUAAAAUUUGUGAAAUGAUCUAAAGCCGAAAAGAUAUAUCGAUGAAUUAUCUCAAAUAGCUUAUGCAUAAAAAUAUCUCAAAUAAUUAUUAGAUGAGUUAUCUCAAAAAAGGUGACUGCAGGAAACUUAAAAUUUGUGAAAUGAUCUAAAGCCGAAAAGAUAUAUCGAUGUCAAUGACCGUGUGCACUUUUUUUGCACUCCUUUUAUCAAUGGGCCUGGAUAUGUUCUAUUCGGCCCUGCCUAACUUCUAUAUGGGCCUGGCCUUUUCGGGCAACUAUGGACGAACCUUUUUUUUCCUUUUCUCCCUCUACCACUGAAACUGAAACUGAUGACGAACUGAAGAACUAAAAAACGGGGCCGAAACAGAGUGGAGAGGACAUGCUGAAUUCGUACAACGCAACACUUUUAUUCAAAUAUACAUAUCAUUAGGAUUACAAAUGAUGCCCAAUCUAUUCACUUACGACUAAUUAUCAUCACAUAAACAAAUGCGAGAGCAAUUACACAAACAUAAAAAAGUCCGGCCAUCAGCCCCAUCAAAUUGCCCUGCUUCUGCAAUUUGAUGAGUUUCUUCAUCUGCUUGUUUAGCUUCUUCAGCUCUGCCGUCACUACUGCAUCCCCCACAGUAGCCCCAAUGGAAUGGGCACAUCCAGGGGCCCCAGAUCCAGAAGCGCCCGAUCCAAACUUGCCCAACUUCUCCACCUCCAGCGGUAAAUCGAGCUCCCCUGAUGCACCCUCCAGUUGAAUCCGCUCUAUGUACUCAUUUAGCCACUCAAAAUGGGUGCAUUGCUUCAAUUUCUGAAAUUGGAAAGAUGAACCCUAAAUCCCAAAUCCGAUGAAAAAUGGGGAAAAAUUGUGAUAUGAAAUUGGGAUACAAAAACCAAAAUUGGCAUAUUGAGAAGUAAAAUCUCACCUUUCCCUGCUCUGGUUUGCUCUCGCAUUUCACGAAUUCCCGCCCAAGGUUGCCAUUCUUGUCGGUCGUUGUGACUAGCCGCUUCAGGGGUGUGAUACGUGGGCCUGCAGGGCACCUUGUCAUGGGCACUGCGCCAUAGCGCGGCCAUGAGCGGCGGGAGGCUGAAGCGGAGCUCGACAUUGCUAGGUCGCGGCCCGGAACGGCGUUGCUGCGCGUCGUCGCCGGAGAAGAAGAACAACAACGGUCGGGGAGGGGGGGUGGGGGCGGGGGCGAGGAUGGGCCACGGCUCGGGCCACGGCUCGGUGUCCUCUUGUACCAAUGCUGACCUGGAUAAGUUAGUGGGUCCCACGCAGUGGGUCCCGCUCACCUGACCAAUGCUGAGUUGGAUAAGUUAGUGGGUCCCGCGCUGUGGGUCCCGCUCACCUGAUUCGAGUUUUAAACAUGUGUCUUUGGAUUAGACAGCAGUGUCGCAUGGGAGCUAUUUUUUCCUAUGCAGAUGUCGCAUGAGAGCUAUUACAACCAACAACGUCGCAUGAGAGACAAUACACACCAACGAUGUCGCAUAGGAGCUAUUCGCCCUUUGGAAACAUUGCUAAGUUUCAUUGUUUGAAACUUAGUACGAGCGACCGAUAAAAUUUAAUUAUUUUGUGUCUACGACCAACAGGAGAAAUUGCUUAAAAUUACAUCUUUGAAACUGGUCAUUUUUUGAUGCAAAAAUGUAAGUUUCAUCAUUGAAACUUAAGGGCAUGUCCAAUGCUGGAUGCUUAUCCAGGCGCUUAUCGUGUGGAAAAAAAAAAUGCCACGAAGUUAGCUCUCGCUUGUCCAACAGCCAAUGCUAACAACGGGCGCUAACCACGGCUGGAGCUAUAGAUUAGAAAGAAAGAUCUGGUUCACUUGUACGUGAAAAAAGGAGCAAGCGCUCGAUGCCUUGCUUUGCAUCGAUGCCAGACUGAGGUGCUGGGAAUCGACAAGAUAACCGCCAAUCUACCAGGAUUAAAUUCCUAGCGCCUUCUUCUAGCGCCUCCCACUGAAAAUGCCCUAAAGGUUUUUGAGGGAUUUUUUUACUGUGUCCUACUUCACGUAUCACGAGGCAAAUCAAGUAGGCGGCAUGGCCUGGCCGGUGAGUGCCAUUGCACUUACUUGCCCCAGCGAUUUUCCGCCUGCAUUGUAGAAUUCUUUCUCCGAGUCCUGUGAAUUAAAGAUGGUGCAGACAAAAGUAUAUCCUAUAUGCGUACAUGUGCAUGAUCAGAACAUGUUUUUACGUGCGUCUACUAUAAAUCAUGACCAUUUUUAACACAAAUCAUGACCAUUCAUGAUUAGUGAAUCAUACUGUCUUAACUUAUGUGAAAUCAUGUGGAGUAAUAUAAUAUAAUAUAAUAGAUAGAUAGAUCCAUGUUGUAUCAUUACACAUUUUGAUUUAUGCAUUUGUUUACAAAAAAAACAGUAAAAUUUCAUGGUGAAAAGUUUGUAUUGUUUCAUACUGAACACCAAUGUUUUCCCGUAAAAGAAAAUAAUGCCUACGCAUAUGCUUUUAUAUUAUUAUUAUUCUUUCAAACUUAUUCAUAUAGUAUUUUUGAUUGUGCAACCAUAAUUUUUAUUAUCUCUCUUGUUCCACUACAUGCUCUUACUCAAUGAUUUUUUUAUAAUGGGUGUUUUUAUUAACUCAAAAUAUAGCAUCAAGCGGAUACAAAACAUAACGAGCCACGUCCGGUCUCUGCAUAACUAAGAUGCACACAGCCAAAAGCAGAAGUCUGACAAAAAUAAGAUAAGAAAAUCAACAUAUCGACAACAGUGAGUCAUAUAGUUCCGACACUAUGCCUCUGUUGAAGGACGGGGUGGAGCGAUCUGGAGAUUAUGCUUCCCUCCAUUUUGAGUAAAUACCUCCCUGGCCACUUGUUCCAACCGCAUAGACGCCGCCACGAAUAAUGGUUGGUACUCUGUUCGGUGUAGCAUACACCAUGUAGGAAGUGAGUGCUCACUCCUAGUUACUAAAUUAUGUACACACUAGUAGAAAAAGGGCCAUUUGUCCCGGUUCGUAAGGCCCAUUUGUCUCAGUUAGGGAACCGGGACUAAAGGGUCGGUACUAAAGCCCUACACCUUUAGUCCCGGUUCUUACACCAACCGAGACAGAUGGGGCUCCACGUGGCCGCUGCGGCUUGCCAUGGCAGGGGGGCCUUUUGUCCCGGUUGGUAGCACCAACCGGGACCAAUAAGCUACCACGCGUCAGCAUUUGAGGGGCUUGGGUUUUUGUUUUUUUCUGAAGGGGGGGAGGGGGGUUGGGGGUUUUGGGGGGUUUUGUAUGGUUAAUUUUGGGGGGUUUCAUAUAUAGUGUUAGGUAGUAAUUAAUUAAUAGAGAGAAGUGUCCUCUCUUAUCUCCGUGCUUGGUCGACGCUACGUACUAUACGUAUAGAGAGGCCCUCGACACGCUUGCCAGUAAGCAAAUGAAGGAAACCAUUAAGUACAGAAGUUCGUCAUGAACAUAUGCAUACAAACAUAAGUGAUAUCGACCUCUCCUUCUCCGAGAGAUAGGUCGAAGAACAAGUUUCCGUAUAUCUAUCCGGCGCUACUAGCUACAUAUAUACAAUAUUAAGAUCUCUUACAAUAUAAUCCCCUAAUUAUAUAUGAACUCAGCUUCCAGAUGGUAUUCUCCGGCUUUAUUGAUGACGUGGUCAAGAAAGAAUCCCUCCAAUUCCUCUUGAAUUGCUUUGAUGCGAUCUUGUGGUAGGAGUUCAUCCUGCAUCUGCCACAUCUAAUUUGAAGAAGGGGGUCAAUCACUAGUGGAAUAACAGCCAUUUGUCUAGGUUCGUAAGGCUCAUUUGUCCCGGUUGGGGAACCGAGACUAAAGGGUCGUUACUAAAGCCCUACACCUUUAGUCCCGGUUGUCGGUGUCAAAACCGGCGGAUCUCGGGUAGUGGGUCCUGAAUUGUGCGUCUAGGCCGGAUGGUAACAGGAGGCAGGGAACACGAUGUUUUACCCAGGUUCGGGCCCUCUUGAUGGAGGUAAAACCCUACGUCCUGCUUGAUUAAUAUUGAUGAUAUGGGUAGUACAAGAGUAGAUCUACCACGAGAUCAAGGAGGCUAAACCCUAGAAGCUAGCCUAUGGCAUGAUUGUUGUGUAUGGAGUUGAUUGCCUACGGACUACAACCCUCCGGUUUAUAUAGACACCGGAUAGGGUUAGGGUUACAUAGAGUCGUUUACAAUGGUAGGAGAUCUUGAAUAUCCGCAUCACCAAUCUUGCCUUCCACGCCAAGGAAAGUCCCAUCCGGACACAGGACGAAGUCUUAAAUCUUGUAUCUUCAUAGUCCAGGAGUCCGGCUGGACGUAUAGUCCGGCUACCCGAACACCCCCUAAUCCAGGACUCCCUCACCGGUUCUUACACCAACUGGGAGAGAUGGGCCUCCACGUGGCCGCUGCGGCGAGCCCAGGUAGGAGGUCCUUUGGUCCCCGUUAGUGACACUAAUACGUCUCCAACGUAUCUAUAAUUUUUGAUUGCUCCAUGCUAUUAUGUUAUCCAUUUUGGAUGUUAAUGGGCUUUAUUUUACACCUUUAUAUCAUUUUUGGGACUAACCUACUAAUCGGAGGCCUAGCCCAAAUUGCUAUUUUUUGCCUAUUUUAGGUUUUUGAAGAAGAGGAAUAUCAAACGGAGUCCAAACGGAAUGAAACCUUCGGGAACGUGAUUUUCUCAACGAACAUGAUCCAGGAGACUUGGAGUGUGCGCCAAGAAAUAAGGGAGGAAGGCACGAGGCAGGGGGGCGCGCCUACCCCCCUUGAGCAUGCCCUCCACCCUCGUGGGCCCUCCACUGCUCCACCGACGUACUUCUUCCUCCUAUAUAUAUCCACGUACCCCCCAAACAACCAGGAGCACCACGAAAACCUAAUUCCACCACCGCAACCUUCUGUACCCGAGAGAUCCCAUCUUGGGGCCUUUUCCGGAGGGGGCAUCGAUCACGGAGGGCCUCUACAUCAACUGCAUGGCCUCUCCGAUGAUGUGUAAGUAGUUUACUUCAGACCUACGGGUCCAUAGUUAUUAGCUAGAUGGCUUCUUCUCUCUCUCUUUGGAUCUUAAUACAAAGUUCUGCUCGAUUUUCUUGGAGAUCUAUUCGAUGUAAUCUUCUUUUGUGGUGUGUUUGUCGAGAUCCGAUGAAUUGUAGGUUUAUGAUCCAGAUUAUCUAUGGACAAUAUUUGAUUCUCCUCUGAAUUCUUUUAUGUAUGAUUCGUUUAUCUUUGCAAGUCUCUUCGAAUUAUCAGUUUGGUUUGGCCUACUAAAUUGAUCUUUCUUGCAAUGGGAGAAGUGCUUAGCUUUGGGUUCAAUCUUGCGGUGUUCGAUCCCAGUGACUGAAAGGGAAGCGAUAUGUAUUGUAUUGUUGCCAUCGAGGAUAAAAAGAUGGGGUUUAUAUCAUAUUGCAUGAGUUUAUCCCUCUACAUCAUGUCAUCUUCCUUAAAGCAUUACUCUGUUCUCUUGAACUUAAUACUCAAGAUGCAUGCUGGAUAGCGGUCGAUGUGUGGAGUAAUAGUAGUAGAUGCAGAAUCGUUUCGGUCUACUUGUCUGGGACCUGAUGCCUAUAUACAUGAGCAUACCUAUAUAUUCUCAUAACUAUGCUCAAUUCUAUCAAUUGCUCGACAGCAAUUCGUUUACCCACCGUAAUACUUAUGCUCUUGAGAGAAGCCACUACUGAAACCUAUGGCCUCGGGGUCUAUCUUCUAUCAUAUUAAUCCUCCAAUACUUAGUUAUUUAUAUUUCUAUCUAUUUUACUUUCCAUCUUUUAUUUCUCUUUAUCAUAAAAAUACCAAAAAUCUUAUCUUAUCAUAUCUAUCAGAUCUCACUGUUGUAAGUGACCGUGAAGGGAUUGACAACCCCUUUAUCGCGUUGGUUGCGAUGUUCUUAUUUGUUUGUGUAGGUUCGUGGGACUUGAGCGUGAUCUCCUACUGGAUUGAUACCUUGGUUCUCAAAAACUAAGGGAAAUACUUACGCUAAUUUACUUCAUCACUCUUUCCUCUUCAAGGGAAAACCAACGCAAUGCUCAAGAGGUAGUGUCGGUGUCAAAACCGGCGGAUCUCGGGUAGUGGGUCCCGAACUGUGCGUCUAGGCCGGAUGGUAACAGGUGGCAGGGAACACGAUGUUUUACCCAGGUUCGGGCCCUCUUCAUGGAGGUAAAACCCUACGUCCUACUUGAUUAAUAUUGAUGAUAUGGGUAGUACAAGGGUAGAUCUACCACAAGAUCAAGGAGGCUAAACCCUAGAAGCUAGCCUAUGGUAUGAUUGUUGUAUAUGGAGUUGAUUGCCUACGGACUACAACCCUCCGGUUUAUAUAGACACCGGAUAGGGUUAGGGUUACAUAGAGUCGGUUACAAUGGUAGGAGAUCUUGAAUAUCCGCAUCGCCAAGCUUGCCUUCCACACCAAGGAAAGUCCCGUCCGGACACGGAACGAAGUCUUCAAUCUUGUAUCUUCAGAGCCCAGGAGUCCGGCUGAAGGUAUAGUCCGGCUAUCCGAACACCCCCUAAUCCAGGACUCCCUCAGUAGCCCCUGAACCAGGCUUCAAUGACGACGAGUCCAGCGCGCAAAUUGUCUUCGGCAUUGCAAGGCGGGUUCCUCCUCCAAGUCCUUCAUAGAAGAUUGUAAGCACCAAGAGUAGUGUCCGGCUCUGCAAAAUAAGCUUCCACAUAUCGCCAUAGAGAGAAUAAUAUUAACACAAAUCAAAUCUGCUGACGUAUUCCGCAGUGCGUCAUCACACUACAGCCAAGUCCUUCACUCGAAUCGUUUUCACUUUUCCACCUCAGCGUGUUUUGCGAGGCGGUUUCCUUGGCACGUCUUGUCAAAGCAGAGAUCGUGUCCCCCUUGUUUACGGGAUUCUCGUUAAUACGGACGUGGGUAACCCAACCGCGCCACUUAUCACGGCGCUUGGGAGGCAAGCGAGUUUUACUAGGCUGGUGGGGACGCAUAGUCGCAUCCGCCCAUAUAAGGGGAUAAGGAUCCACCUUUUUACCUACGCCUUCUUCCUCCUUUGCCUAGCCAUCUUCUGCGCACCCGAGCUCUAGCGCCCCAGCCCGCGCUUCCUACCUCAACCCUCUCCAACAAUGUUCGGAGCGGGAGGCAAGUGGAUGGUCUCCUCCGUCACGGAGGGCCAUGUCAAAAGGUUAAGGAAGGCCGGAUACUUGUCCAAAGACAUCGCGCACCGGCUUCCUGAGGAGGGGCAGCUUCUCCCCACCCCAAGGCCCCAUGAGAGGGUAGUAUUUCUUCCCCACUGCCUCCGCGGACUGGGUUUUCCUCUCCACCCAUUUGUCCGCGGGCUCAUGUUCUACUAUGGCCUAGAUUUCCACGAUCUGGCCCCGUACUUCAUCCUCAAUAUCUCGGCGUUUAUCAUCGUGUGCGAGGCUUUCCUCUGCAUUCGCCCCCAUUUCGGCCUCUGGCUCACGACCUUCAACGUCAAGCCAAAGGUGGUGCGCGGUAACCAGGCGGAGUGCGGAGGUGCCAUGGCGGGCAAAAUUGCCAACGUCCUAUGGCUCGAGGGCUCCUUUGUGGAGACCUUGAAGGGGUGGCAGUCAGGGUGGUUUUACAUCACCGAGCCACGCGAUCCGAAGUGGAUCGCAGCCCCUGAAUUCCGAUCCGGACCCCCUACGCGGCUCAUGUCCUGGAAGGAGACGAGCUUGUCGUGGGGCGACGAAGGAGAGUUGACCAGACUGCAAAAAUGCAUCCAGUCCCUGGUGAACAAGCAGCUCAAGCUUGUCAACGUAAUCUAGGUCAUGCUCGUCCGCCGGAUUCUUCCGUGUCAAGAACGGGACUUCAAUUUGUGGGAGUUCAACCCGGCGCAACACCGAACUCUGAGAAGGCUCUUCAACACGACGUACGAAGAUGUCUGGAGGGGGCUAACCAAAGGCGCCGAGACUCCCACAUCCGCCUCCGAAGACCGCGGAUUCAGCUCGCAGCGUCCUGCUGGCGAGGUAAGAUAUUUCCAUCUUUUACAGGAUGUUAAGCUUUUUCAUAGUUGACUCUAUGCGGGAUCAAAACUCCCUCACCUUUGACAGGAUUGGCGGGAGAAGUCCGGACAGAUUAAAUGCCCGGCUCCCUUGCCCGAAGACCUAGCCCCUGCUCUCCUAGAGAAGCUGCUGGUUUCGGCACCUUAUGUGGUGCCGGAGAAGAGGGCCAAGAAGAAGAAGGCCACGGGGACUCGAAAGAGUUCCUGGCAUAUGGUGGUGUCGGACUCGUCGUCCGACCAGUCCGAGACGCACUCCUCCCGUGAAGACGAGGAGGAAGAGUGUCGGACUCGUCGUCCGACGAGUCCGAGACGCACUCCUCCCGUGAAGAGGAGUGGCCGGACUACGUCCCCGACGCCGACGAGGACGAAGAGGAGUGGCCAGACAGGGCCAAGCAUCCGGCGAGAUCGUAAGUGUUCGGAUACCAGAGUAACUCGUGAUAUUCCUUUUGUUGCACAGCUUUCCCUAAUGUCGGAUAUAAUCAUGCAGUCCGCCCAAGGAUGGGCUCGACGAGUCGUCGAGCGGCUCCCUGGAUUCAUCGGACGUGAAUUCAGUUCCGCCUACUGCUUCCCCCUGUGCUGCAGAUGACGCCGAAGUGGCGUCGCGACAAGCUCCGGGACGAGAGGAGGUGGUCCAGGAGGAGUCGCGAGGUGACCUCCCGGACUCCAGGAGUGAAGGGGACAAGACCCCCCUGGGAUCCAAGUUCGGCUUUAAGCCGGACACUGAGAUGGAAUCAUCAACAGUUCCGGACUGCGGUAGGCGAACUCCUACCAGGAGGAGCAAGCCUACUGAGCCGGCAUCCUCCGUCCAGCCGGAGGCGCCGGACAAUCUGCUGGAGGAGCUUAAGGGCGCCUCCACCGACGAGGAGCACCGUGCCGUCAUGAGUACGGUGAUCCAGAAGGUUCGGUCCGCCAAAAGCGGACUGACUGAAGCUUGUGCUGGCCUUCUAACAGGCUUCGAGGUAAGUAAAAAUAUGUAAAAAUAUUACCGUAUAGACAGUAGCCCCUGAUGCUCUGUUUGGCGUUUGUAAAGAAAAGCCAAAUAGAGGAUCUAUUAAAUAUCGCAGGAGUCUAACUAAAAAGGAGUCAAUAUAUGUAUGCAGGCUUCGCUGCUGGCCACCGCCGCACUGACUGCGGAGGUGGGUGCCCUGAAGGAGGGCCUCCAGCGGACCGAGCAAGAGCUCGGCCUUGCCAAACGGCAGCUCGAGGAAAAAGAAUGUAAGAGAUACCUUACAGAAAAAGUGCCUAUAAAAAGGCUUGAUUGCAAAAAGAGUAGCAGGAUUGUACUGCUUAUUGUAGGGGCCACGACUGAGGUGGCGACCUUUAAGCAGGUGUUGUCUGAGGCCGAAAAGAAAACGGCCGCGGAGCGCACCGAGCGAGACAGACUUGGGGCUCAGGUCAGCGAGGUGCAGCAAGAGCUUCAGGCUCUCAUGAAAAAACAUGAGAGUUUGAAGCUGGAGUCGAAGGCGCAAGCAUCCGAGCUUGCAACGGCCCUAGAGGCUGCCAAGUCUACCAAGGCCGAUGCCCUAAAGACCCUCCAAGAGUUGGAGGAGAUGAGGAAGAUAGCAACGGGUAAGGCAUUCUUUAUGCAAAGCAGAAAUAUAAAAGUGAACUACCUGUUACUUACCCGAAUCCGAAGCUCUCCAGGGGCAUUCGCAGAUCUUCCCUGCAGCGUAUCCGAUGCCGCCGCAUUAUACCAAGCUGAAGAGGGUAGCUCGACGGAGAAGGUGUUCUGGUUUCAGUAUUCUGAGGCCGGACACCCUGUGCCCUUGAGCAACCAGCUGAAACAGCUGGUUGAGCUCCACAAGGCGGCCAAGCAGGCCAUGAAGGGCUUCAUAGUUCGGCUGUGGCCUGGAGAGGCCCUACCUGGGAGCUAUCUCGGGCUGGUGCGGCGGCUGGUGGAGGCCUGUCCGAGGCUUGAGGUCAUCAAGUGCUCCGUCUGCAUCGAUGGUGCCCGUCGGGCCCUUGCCCGUGCAAAGGUGCACUGGGGUAAGCUGGACGGUGAGAAGCUUGUGAAGGACGGGCUGCCGCCGGGGAAGGAGCAUCGCAAGCCCGAGAACUACUACAAGGAUGUUCUUGCAGGUGCCCGCCUUAUGGCGGAUCAAUGUACCAAGGAUGUGAUAUUUGAAUGAACUCGCUCGUGUUUAUCUUGUGCGCUGAAAACUUGUUCAUAUGUGCUAAGCAAUGCUUAUUGAAUUUAAAAUAUUACUUUCUGUGCGGCCAUUUAUCAAAAAUUGAGAGAUGGCCAGUCGUCGGCUUCUGCCCCCGUGCCACUAGUGCUGGGGUGUUCGGGAUAAACCUGAGCGCUCUUUUUCCCAUAGUUGGGUCCUUCGAGGGAGGCGCUCAGCACAACGAACCAGGCAAUCGGACUAUAAUGCUUGAACACUCUCACUUAGCCAUAGAGCUCUAUAAUUUUAAAUUUCGGUGAAGCCCGUAGUUCGGAAGACCGAGUUCGGGGCGCUAUCCACGCCUUGGCCGGACAAAGCCGGCUCCUCGCUCGAAGCGGCAUAAGCCUUUAGGGACUCGAAAAACCUCUCGAACAGCGAUCGGUCUCUCGCCACAUCAUGACAGUCAGUUUUAGCUUUCUCCACUCAGGUGCUUAACCCAGGUGAACCGGGGCACAAUCGCAGUGGUUCUCCUAGUGCUACCUUAGCCGAUAGAGCGGAACGUAAGGCACCAAAACAUAGGAGCCACGCAAACCCAACUAUUGACCCAAAUCAUGAUUCGGAGCCGAUGCAUAUAGUGCUAUAAGUUCGGGGUGCCGCACUUGUGAAAGUGUACGGACUUCUCACACCAUUAUGAGCGGUACUGAAGCCCCUGGCAUGUUUGCCAUACCAUGGUGUACGGGUGCAAUCAUGUCAUUUAAUAAACAUAAAUGUGAAAAGAAGAUAAUGCAAAAAAUAGACUAGAAGCUAAGCAUUGUUUAUAGAGAGGCUAUUUAUCAAAGCCGAACGAUACAAAUAGUGCGGUAAGCAAAAGAUAUUGGACUAUUCAGUAUGUCCUGACCAGGGGCAGGCCGCGGAAUUGUAUUUAAAACAGGUAUACCGCUCGUAACAGAGACCACCUGGGAGUUCCAUAAUGCGUCAUGGCUUGUCUGCCUCCCUGGAUCUUGCAUCGUUUGUGCGGCAGUCGAAUUGCCGAACAGGUCGUCCGAAGUAUGGAGUCCUGAAAGAAGAAAAAAUUAAAAAAAGAAUCCGGCAGCCCCUAGUACGUAUUAAGCCGUAUUUUGGGCGUGUUGUUAUUGUGCCCCUUCCCCUGUGCCCAUGGUAUUUCAAGGGCGUAGUUAUGUACGUGAGGUACUGGUUUCGCUAUGUUGCGAAAGCUGGGGUUGGGGCCGCAUUGCUACGCUUGCUUAGAGUGUGCCAGGCAGUGUCUGGCUUUUUAAUGGCCGGACUGGAGAAUUGCCUGAGAAGGCUACUUUGUACCUCCGCUGCGAGAGCCGCCGUAUGCUCCUCCAUAUGGAGGGAGCGUUCGGUGUUUCCGUUGAACGUAAUUACUCCUUGAGGGCCUGGCAUCUUGAGCUUGAGAUAUGCGUAGUGCAGCACCGUGUUGAUCUUUGCGAAUGCGGUUCGUCCGAGCAGGGCAUGAUAGCCACUGCGAAACGGUACUAUAUCGAAGAUUAACUCUUCGCUUCGGAAAUUGUCCGGGGAUCGGAAGACCACAUCAAGUGUUACUGAGCAUGUACUGUUGGCUUCUACACCUGGUAUAACGCCUUUAAAGGUCGUUCUUGUGGGCUUAAUCCUUGAGGGAUCUAUGCCCAUUUUCUGCACUGUAUCCUGAUAAAGCAGGUUCAGGCUACUGCCGCCGUCCAUGAGGACUCUUGUGAGAUGAAAUCCGUCGAUGAUCGGGUCGAGAACCAAUGCGGCGAAGCCGCCAUGACGGAUGCUAGUGGGAUGGUCCCUUCGAUCGAAAGUGAUCGGGCAGGAGGGCCAUGGGUUGAACUUUGGGGCGACUGGCUCCAUCGCAUAUACGUCCCGUAGCGCAUGCUUCCGCUCCCGCAUGGGAAUGUGGGUUGCGUAUAUCAUGUUCACCGUCCACACUUGUGGGGGAAAGCCCUUCUGUCCAUUGUUGUUCGGCGGCUUGGGCUCCUCGUCGUCGCUGUGCAGCCCCUUGUCUCUGUUUUCGGCCCUUAACUUGCCUGCCUGCUUGAACACCCAACAAUCCCUGUUAGUGUGAUUGGCUAGCCUUUCGGGGGUGCCAUGUAUCUGGCACAAGCGAUCGAGUAUUCGGUCCAAACUGGACGGGCCCUGAGUAUUCUUUUUGAAUGGCAUUUUCCGCUGACCGGAUUUAUAGCCUUUGAAUCCGGCAUUGACUGCCGUGUCUUCAUUGCUGUCGCUGCUAACGCGGCGUUUUUGCUUAUUCCGAUGUGUCCUACCACUUUUGUCCUUGGUAUCCGAAUUACCAGGGUGCUUUGAUAAGUUGUUACUGCGAGCUAGCCAGCUGUCUUCUCCCGCGCAAAAGCGGGUCAUGAGUGUCGUGAGGGCUGCCAUGGAUUUCGGCUUUUCCUGUCCCAGGUGCCAGGCAAGCCACUCGUCGCAGAUGUUGUGCUUCAAGGCUGCCAGGGCCUCUGCGUCCGGACAGUCGACUAUCUGGUUUUUCUUUGUUAGGAACCGUGUCCAAAAUUGUCUGGCCGAUUCCUCUGGCUGCUGAAUUAUGUGGCUUAAGUCGUCGGCAUCCGGUGGUCACACGUAAGUGCCCUGGAAGUUGUCGAGGAAUGCGGCUUCCAGGUCCUCCCAAGAACCGAUUGAGUCUGCUGGCAAGCUGUUAAGCCAAUGCCGGGCCGGUCCUUUAAGUUUGAGCGGGAGGUAUUUGAUGGCGUGUAGAUCAUCGCCGCGUGCCAUGUGGAUGUGAAGGAGACAAUCCUCGAUCCAUACCGCCGGAUCUGUUGUGCCAUCGUAUGAUUCGAUGUUUAUGGGUUUGUAGCCCUCUGGGAUUUUAUGAUCCAUUACUUCAUUCGUGAAGCAUAGCGGGUGUGUGGCGCCUCUGUAUUGGGCUAUAUCACGACGUAGCUCGGAAGAGCUAUGUCUGUUGUGUUCGGCCCGGCCGGAUUUGUUGUAUCCAGAGUGAAGAUCAUUUUCCCGUGCCUUAGUUGAGAGGUGUCGGGGCAUGGCUUGGGUGGAGGGCCGAGACGCCUCUCUGUCGCGGCCGCGAGGUGGCCGGUCUGCCAUGUCAUGCGCUGGUGAUGUAGGUGCUUCCUCCUCUGAUCGGGGUAGCGGCCUAUGCUUCGGGUAACUCUUGGAGGGGCGUUCGAGUUCAUACUCUUCGGCCGCAAGGACUUCAGUCCAUCUGUCAGCUAGCAAAUCUUGGGCAGCUCUAAGUUGUUGCUGCUUUUUCUUGAGGCUGCUUGCCAUGGCUAAAAGCCUGCGUUUAAAAAGCUCUUGUUCGGCGGGGUCUGAUGGUAUGACGAAUUCGUCGUCAUUGAGGCUUGCCUCGUCUUCGGAGGGAGGCGUAUAGUUAUCAUCCUCGACCUUUCCGUCUGCCGCUCUCUCAUCAGGGCUGGCUUCUCCAUCUUCCUGUGCCGAAUCUUGCUGAGGUGGGUGUUCUUCGGCGCUAUCCGGGGUAGUAUUAUCUCUCAUGUCGGAAUCACCGUUUUUGCUUUGGCGGGAUUUAGAGCGGCGCCGCUGGUGCCGGCGCUUUGGCUGUUUCUUGGGGGCGUCAUCCCCCACUGUUCCAUCGCCAUCUCCAUCUUUUGGAGUAUCCACCAUAUAUAUGUCAUAUGAUAAGGUGGCCUUCCAGCGCCCUACAGGUGCUGGUUCCUGUUCGUCUCCUACAUUGUCGUCCAUGCCGUCGAUGUCUUUGGAGCUGAAGUCAACCAUGUAGGUUAGACCGUCGAUAAUGGCUACAAAGUGGGUGGUGGGUGGGCUUUGAAUUUCCUCAUCGUAUGUAUCCCACCCUCGCUGACCGUAGUCCGGCCAGGGCUCUCCUGAUAAAGAGAGAGACUUAAGAGAAUUCAGGAUGUCGCCAAAAGGCGAAUGCUGAAAGAUGUCUGUAGCGGUGAACUCCAUUAUCGGCACCCAAUCGGAUUCGAUUGGCAGGGGCGCGGGGGGUUCGGAGUCCGGGGAGGAGUCCGGAUCCUCGGAGUCACGGGUCGUGCAGAGUGCGGGGCUAGCGUUCGGCUCGAUCGCUUUCGGGAUCGCAGCCCCCGAGGUGACGUCCAACCGCUCAUCCUCGAUUGGCGCAAUAGGUUCCGAGUUAGGGGUCGGAACCGAUGCGUGUGCGGCCUCCAGGACACUGGCCGGGGGCAGAGCUAGAUCAUGCCCCUCGGGAUAGUGCGGCGUGCUUGGCCGUGGCUCGAGCCCGUCGAAGAUCAAGUCUCCGUGGAUGUCAGCCGUGUAGUUUAAGCUUCCAAACCUGACUUGAUGGCCAGGGGCGUAGCUUUCGAUCUGCUACAGGUGGCCGAGCGAAUUGGCUCAUAGAGCGAUGCCGCCGAAGACGAAGAUCUGUCCGGGGAGAAAAGUCUCACCCUGGACCGCAUCGUUGUUGAUGAUCAAAGGAGCCAUCGGGCCUAAAGGCGACGAGACAGAGGAACUCUCAAUGAAAGCACCAAUGUCAGUGUCAAAACCGGUGGAUCUCGAGUAGUGGGUCCCGAACUGUGCGUCUAGGCCGGAUGGUAAUAGGAGGCAGGGAACACGAUGUUUUAUCCAGGUUCGGGCCCUCUUGAUGGAGGUAAAACCCUACGUCCUGCUUGAUUAAUAUUGAUGAUAUGGGUAGUACAAGAGUAGAUCUACCACGAGAUCAAGGAGGCUAAACCCUAGAAGCUAGCCUAUGGUAUGAUUGUUGUAUAUGGAGUUGAUUGCCUACGGACAACAACCCUCCGGUUUAUAUAGACACCGGAUAGGGUUAGGGUUACAUAGAGUCGGUUACAAUGGUAGGAUAUCUUGAAUAUCCACAUCGCCAAGCUUGCCUUCCACGCCAAGGAAAGUCCCGUCCGGACACGGGAUGAAGUCUUCAAUCUUGUAUCUUCAUAGCCCAGGAGUCCGGCUGAAGGUAUAGUCCGGCUACCUGAACACCCCCUAAUCCAGGACUCCCUCAGGUAGCAAGAUGGAUUUCUGGCGCCAUUGCCGGGGAGAUUCGCGCCAAGUCAAGACAUACCAAGUACCCAUCACAAACCCUUAUCCCUCGCAUUACAUUAUUUUCCAUUUGCCUCUUGUUUUCCUCUCCCCCACUUCACCCUUGCCAUUUUAUGCGCCCUCUCUUUUUCCGUUCCCCUCUUUUCCACUUGCUUUGUCGUUAUGGCUAGUCCUUUAUCUACUCCUUUGUCUCCCGAGAAUGAAGUUCUUAAUUUUAAACAAAGGGAGGGAGAAAAUCUAAAAGAUGCUUGGUACAGAAUUUGCAACACACAAAUUAGAUCUACUAGGAAACAAUCUACUUUUGUUCUUCUUCACGAUUUUUAUGUAGGCAUCACACCUUGGAAUAGAUAUAUUCUUGAUGCCAUUACCGGAGGGAAUUUCUUGGGUAGCCAUACUUUUGAUUCUUAUAAUGCUAUGAUAGAUCUGUUUGGCCCACCACCUCUUUUGGUUAAUGGAACUAUUUUAACUUUGGAACAUGUGAUGCAAUGGCUUGAAAUUAGUGAAAAUAAAGUUGCCACCAUAGAGUUAAUUGAAAAUUUGGAUAGAAAGAUCCAUAACCAAAUUACCCAAUACGGAUCUAAGUUAGGAGUUGCUCUUAAAAGUUUUAAAGAAAAGGGACCUAUGGUUAAUGAAAAGAUAGAAAAGGAUUCCACUAGAAUUGAUAAAAUUGAGGAUAUUAUUACCAACCUUGGGUCUUCCUUUUCUUCUAUUAUAAAUACUCCGCCUAAUGCUAAGAUUGCCAAACUAAUGUAUGUUACAAAAAAUAAGGGUGAAACUUCUAAUAAGGAAAAUGCGGAUCUCAAAUCCAUAAGUGUUCACCCCAAUUUUCUCACUAUCCUUAAGGAACCUUUUGCUACAAAUGAUUUUCUUGAUUUCAUACCUAGGAGUUUGAUAAUUAAUAAAAACAAAGAAACUCCUAAAAGUUAUUGGUGUGUUAUUGAAGAAUCACCUUCCAAAGACGGCAAUACCUAGGUCUAUCUUCGCUUUUAUGCCUAGCUAGGGGCGUUAAACGAUAGCGCUUGUUGGGAGGCAACCCAGUUUUACUUUUAUUCCUUGAUGUUUGCUCCUAUUUAGUAAUAAAUAAUUUAUGUAGCCUAUGUUUUGGUUGUGUUUUUUGUGUUUAAUUUGUGUUUGUGCCAUGUAGAACCAUUGGGUAGACUUGGGGAAAGUCUUUUUGAUCUUGCUGUAAAAAACAGAAACGUUAGCGCUCACGAGAAUCGCUGACAUUUUUAUUUGGAAAGUGAUAUUUAGAUAAUUCUUUUUGCGGAUGAUUAAUAGAUAAAUUCCUCACGUCCAGCAAUUUAUUUUAUAAUUUUUGGGGUUACAGAAGUUCGCGUUAGGUACAGAUUACUACAGACUGUUCUGUUUUUGACAGAUUCUGUUUUUCGUGUAUUGUUUGCUUAUUUUGAUGAAUCUAUGGCUAGUCAAAGAGGUUAUAAACCGUAGAGAAGUUGGAAUACAGUAGGUUUAACACCAAUAUAAAUCAAGAUUGAGUUCAUAACAGUACCUUGAAGUGGUGUUUUGUUUUCUUUCGCUAACGGAGCUCACGAGAUUUUCUGUUUGAGUUUUUUGUUGUGAAGUUUUCAAGUUUUGGGUAAAGAUUUGAUGGAUUAUGGAACAAGGAGUGGCAAGAGCCUAAGCUUGGGGAUUCCCAUGGCACACCAAGGUAAAAUUAAAGGACACCAAAAAGCCUAAGCUUGGGGAUGCCCCGAAAGGCAUCCCCUCUUUCGUCUUCGUCUAUUGGUAACUUUACUUGGAGCUAUAUUUUUAUUCACCACAUGAUAUGUGUUUUGCUUGGAGCGUCUUGUAUGAUUUGAUUAUUUGAUUUUUAGUUUACCAAAAUCAUCCUUGCUGUACACACCUUUUGAGAGAGACUCACAUGAUUGGGAAUUUAUGAGAAUACUCUAUGUGCUUCACUUAUAUCUUUUGAGCUAUAUGGUUUUUGUUCUAGUUCUUCGCUUAUAUAUUUUAGAGAAUGGCGGUGGUUUUAUUUUAUAGAAAUAAUUGUUCUCUCAUGCUUCACUUAUAUUAUUUUGAUAGUCCUUUAGAACAACAUGGCAAUAAUAAAACUGUCAUACAAGUGCAUUGAAUACUAUGAGAAGUUUGAUACUUGAUAAUUGUUUUGAGAUAUGGAGAUGGUGAUAUUAGAGUCAUGCUAGUUGUGUAGUUGUGAAUUUGAGAAAUACUUGUGUUGAAGUUUGUGAUUCCCGUAGCAUGCACGUAUGGUGAACCGUUAUGUGACGAAGUCAGAUCAUGAUUUAUUUGUUGAUUGUCUUCCUUAUGAGUGGCGGUCGGGGAUGAGCAAUGGUCUUUUACUACCAAUCUAUCUCCCUAGGAGCAUGGGCAUAAUACUUUGCUUUGAUAACUUAUAGAUUUUUGCAAUAAGUAUGUGAGUUCUUUCUGAGCAAUGUUGAGUCCAUGGAUCAUACGCACUCUCACCCUUCCACCAUUGCUAGCCUCUCUAAUACCGUGCACUUCUCGCCGAUAUCAUACACCCACCAUAUACCAUCCUCAAAACAGCCACCAUACCUACCUAUUAUCACUAGUGCAGAACCGGGCAAUAGCACCGGUUCGUAAGGCCCUUUAGUGCCGGUUUAGGAACCGGCACUAUUAUUUCGGCACUAAACCCCCCCCCCUUUAGUACCGGUUCAGCACGAACCGGUGCUAAAGGGGUACCACGUGGCACGAGCCAGCUCCGGGGGCCGGGAGCCCUUUAGUACCGGUUGGUAAAACCAACCGGUACUAAAUGGUUGUGGGUUUUUGUUUUAUUUUGUAUUUUUCAAUUAAAUUUGUGUUAUCAAUUUAAAUUAGGAUUGUUUUACGUUAUAAUGAGUUGUAGUCGUCAUCAUCAUCAUCAUCAUCGCAUAUUAAUAAAUAAAUAAACUCUAGCUAGCUAAAAAUCAUCGUGGUCGUCUAAUUACCACUAUUUAAUCAUCAUAGUCAUUACCGCUAGCUAUGUAAUCAUCAUCAACGUUGGCUAGCUUAAAGAGGAAACAUUCACUUUGUAACAGAAGCAAAGAGAUAUCAUCAAGUUCAACAUAAUCAUCACCAACAUCGAAGUUCAGGACACGGAUCCAUGAGACGAGUACUAAUUAAGAGCAUGAAGUAGUAGCUACUGAUCCUGCUUCUCCCUCUCAGGUAGAAUAGCACAGAACAUGUAUAGCUCUCCUGAUUCAUCAUACUGAAGCAUGCAGAUGAAUCUGUCUCCUAAUCUUGGGUUGCGCUUCUCCUUACUGCCCCCUAGUACUUCUCUGCGAUCGUUAACAAUUUUGCUCCAAUCUUUCACUAUUAAGCAUUCUUCGCUUUUAGAAAUCCUGAAUGCACUCAUGUGCAAUGUAGGAAAUCUUGGUCGUAAGCUAACCAUUGACAUGCGACCUUUUGUCUCGAUCCACUAAGGCACAACUGUCAUCGGAAGUCCCUGUUGAACAACAUCGUAUAGUAAUUAAUAUACUAAGCAAUGAAAGUUUAGCUUUAAAAAUAAUGUACGCAAAAGAUGCACUAAUUAAGGACAAAUAUUUAAAAUCUUACCAUCUUUUGAUUAUAGAUGUGACCGUAGUUCAAGGCGAUCACCAUUGGUCGCACGUUUUGAGUACUAACAUUUCUAAGUUUAGAAAAAAAAUUGUCUUGACAGUAUUAAGAUCCUCAAGCCAUGAAACACAAUGACUUAUUUCCUCGCAGUUUAGUUGAGCCCCGAGGUAGUAGUAGGUCCUGUCUACCAAGCGCCGGACAUGUUUGCUUGAACCGAAAUAAGCUGACAAUACACAUCAGUUGUCAACUAUUUUUGAAUAAACUGUACGAAAGACAUAAACGUAUAUAUGCAUGCAUGGUUGAGAAAAACUCACCAAAUGGUAGAACUGGAGGCGUUUGCACAUCGACCCAGAUGUCUAUAUUACCUUCAAUAUCAUCUUCCGGACGAAUAUCAAAGGUGAUAACCAUAUCAGGCUCAAAUGCAUAAGCCUUGCAUAGUGCUUGCCAAGUUUUGCAUUCAAAAUGGGUGUAUGUGCCUCCAUUAUAUAAUUUGACGUUGAAAGUAUACCCAUGCUCCGUCUUCAAGUAAACUCUCUUUACCUCCAUAUCAUCUAUAGCACUAAAACCUAUCUUAUAUAAUACAAAAAUUCUUGUAUGGCAGGGGAUGCGCUAGUAGAAUAGUGAAAAUUUAAAAUUAUAAGUUGAAGCAAAUGAAGCAUAAGUUUUGCAUUCAAAUAAUAAUUGACAAAGUGGCUUACUGUAUCAACUUCAAAUGUCUCAUCCAGCUUGAUGUUGAAGCGCCUACCAUCAACAAGGAAAUUUUGGUCGCACAGGCCGCGCUGGUCUUCACAGUGUUCGCACAUAAUAAAAUCUUUUUAGUUGUCAGAUGACAUUUCCUAUGUUCAUAUAGGUGAAACAUUAAACACCUAUAUCUAGCCAAAUAUAUAUUCAUCUAACAUUUGACAUUAAUAUAUCUAACUAUAUAUUCAAUUGACAUUACUAUAUAUUUAACUUUUCUAUCUAAUUCAUCUAACAUUCGACAUUAAUCUAACAUUUAUAUAAACUCAAAAUAUAUAAAAAAUUAAAUAAACAGAAAAACUCAUUAACAAAUAAUAUUUUAAUUAGAUCAUCAAAUCUCAUAUACCUAAAUUUUCUUACUAAAAAUAAACUAGUUAUAUUAAUUAUUCAACUAGUUCUAAUCUNNNNNNNNNNNNNNNNNNNNNNNNNNNNNNNNNNNNNNNNNNNNNNNNNNNNNNNNNNNNNNNNNNNNNNNNNNNNNNNNNNNNNNNNNNNNNNNNNNNNNNNNNNNNNNNNNNNNNNNNNNNNNNNNNNNNNNNNNNNNNNNNNNNNNNNNNNNNNNNNNNNNNNNNNNNNNNNNNNNNNNNNNNNNNNNNNNNNNNNNNNNNNNNNNNNNNNNNNNNNNNNNNNNNNNNNNNNNNNNNNNNNNNNNNNNNNNNNNNNNNNNNNNNNNNNNNNNNNNNNNNNNNNNNNNNNNNNNNNNNNNNNNNNNNNNNNNNNNNNNNNNNNNNNNNNNNNNNNNNNNNNNNNNNNNNNNNNNNNNNNNNNNNNNNNNNNNNNNNNNNNNNNNNNNNNNNNNNNNNNNNNNNNNNNNNNNNNNNNNNNNNNNNNNNNNNNNNNNNNNNNNNNNNNNNNNNNNNNNNNNNNNNNNNNNNNNNNNNNNNNNNNNNNNNNNNNNNNNNNNNNNNNNNNNNNNNNNNNNNNNNNNNNNNNNNNNNNNNNNNNNNNNNNNNNNNNNNNNNNNNNNNNNNNNNNNNNNNNNNNNNNNNNNNNNNNNNNNNNNNNNNNNNNNNNNNNNNNNNNNNNNNNNNNNNNNNNNNNNNNNNNNNNNNNNNNNNNNNNNNNNNNNNNNNNNNNNNNNNNNNNNNNNNNNNNNNNNNNNNNNNNNNNNNNNNNNNNNNNNNNNNNNNNNNNNNNNNNNNNNNNNNNNNNNNNNNNNNNNNNNNNNNNNNNNNNNNNNNNNNNNNNNNNNNNNNNNNNNNNNNNNNNNNNNNNNNNNNNNNNNNNNNNNNNNNNNNNNNNNNNNNNNNNNNNNNNNNNNNNNNNNNNNNNNNNNNNNNNNNNNNNNNNNNNNNNNNNNNNNNNNNNNNNNNNNNNNNNNCGGCGGCGGGGACAGCGACGAUGACGACGGACGACGGUACGGGCGACGGGCGGCGACGACGGGAUCGAGCGGUCCGCGCGGCGGAGGUGGGAGACGAAGUGGGGAGUUGAAACUGAAAUUUUCGUAAGUGCUAUAUAUAUAUAUAUAUAUAUAUAUAUAUAUAUAUAUAUAUAUAUAUAUAUAUGAUUGGCCUUUAGUACCGAAUCGUGGCUCCAACCGGUACUAAAGGCCUAUUUUCGCCAGGCCAAGCGGCGGGAAACGAAGGCUUUUAGUACCGGUUGGAGCCACCAACCGGUACUAAAGGGGGGCCUUUAGUACCGGUUGGAGCCACCAACCGGUACUAAAGGCCUUGCGCUGCCACCCCAAAAUUUAGUCCCACCUCGCCCGGCGAAGGGCAGCCGCACUGGUUUAUAAACCUAGCCGCGGCUACCUCUUCGAACUCCUCUAUAUAGCAGCCUUCUGGGCCUAAUUAAUUAGGGCGCGCUGCCAUGUGAGUCUGCUGGCCCUUCUGGGCCUGCAUUUGCACACCCUAGGUCUGGUAGACCCACAGGGCAGUGCGCCAACAAAUUUUUUAUAUAGUUUUAUCUUUUCUGCAUUACUUAUUUUCUUUUAUUUAUUUUUGAGUAGUUUUUUAUAUAGUUUUUGUUUUCUGCAUUAUUUAUUUUCUUCUAUUUAUUUUUGAGUAAUUUUUUUGUAUAGUUUUUUUAUUUUCUGCAUUACUUAUUUUUGCAUAGUCCGAAACCCUGAUACUCGGAAAGAGUUUGUCCAGUUUGUACACGAAGUGCGUCCAGUUUUUGCCGUGACCCUCUCUACUCUUUCGCGCAUGCUAUGCGGGUGAUACGAUGAUACCAUGCCAAGUUUCAACAUUUUCAGGAUUCAUUUUGUAGUGAUUUUCAAUUUCACGGUCAUUUAGCUCUCUAAACAAUUAGGUAAAUGACUGAAAAACAACAAAUGAUGUCAGAACAUGUUGAAAAUUGAUGACGUCGCUUUAAAUGCUGCAUACUGAACACAAAAGAAGUCCGGAGUACAAAUAAGUUUAAAAAACAUUGAAGUGGCCAUGUAACAGAUGAGUUCUCGUCCGAAACCCUGAUACUCGGAAAGAGUAUGUCCAUUUUGUACACGAAGUGCGUCCAGUUUUUGCCGUGACCCUCUCUACUCUUUCGCGCAUGCUAUGCGGGUGAUAUGAUGAUACCAUGCCAAGUUUCAGCAUUUUCAGGAUUCAUUUUGUAGUGAUUUUCAAUUUCACGGUCAUUUAGCUCUCUAAACAAUUAGGUAAAUGACCGAAAAACAACAAAUGAUGUCAGAAUAGACUGCACUGCACAUAGCUCAGUGUAGACUACACUGCACAUAGCUCAGUGCAAUCUAUGUUAUUCCGCAAGGCUUGAAGCUAAUCAACAUGUAGAUGAGCAUUGCAAUUCUUCGUCAUUGUCUGUGCACUCACGGCUUAUAAACCGCUCAUACUGCCUCUCUCUUGGCGAGGUGGGACUAAAAACAACUUGCCAUAACCUCAUCAAUUUCCUCUUGAAGCUUGUCCUUGCCUUUUUGCUUGUAUUCUUGUGGUGGAAGAUCAUCUUGAGCUUGUGUCCCCUUGAAGGAAGUAGGAUACUUCUCUUGUUGAGGAACAAACUUUGUCUUGGGGUAUUGAUCUUCUUCCCACUCAACUCCAUUGGCAUUGAACUUUCGUUCAAAACCAACACCUUGAUUCUUCCAGUGCCUUCCUUGCUUGCGCACAAUUUCCUCGAAUUGCUUACUCCCGGCAAGGCUUUUGUACAUUCCUUUCUCUAUAAUUCCCUUCAAUAAGCUAUUUUCUUGCUCAAGUGUAACUUGGCUAAGAGAAUCAUUAGUGGAAUCAAGAGAACUACUAGAAGCAACAAUGUUAGAUCUUAUGUCACAAAAAAGAAGUCGUAUCAAACCUUUUAUGUCGGAUCUAGAACAAACCAAUCGGUAUCGCCAUCAUACAGCCCUACCGUGGCUUGUGAUGCAUAUAUAUAUGCAUAUCAAAUGCACGGUUGGGCGUAUGAUGGCGAAUCCGAAUGAUUUGUAUUCAGUCGAUGAACUGGUAGAUGUAUGCAGUCGAUGAACUGGUAGAUGUAUGUAGUCGAUGAACUGAAAGACUUAUGCAGGGAAGGCGAGAGAUGGGCUAUAUAUAGGGUCGUCUGGCUCACAAAGUGAUUGUGGUAGUUUCGAUCCAACGACUCACAUGAGCUAGGAAGAAGCACACCCUUGAUCCAACGACUCGCAAGAGCUAUAAAGAAACACACGAUCCAUGUGAUUCUUCCUGAUUGGUGGGAUGCACAUUAGUAUCGGUUUGUGCCAUGAACUGGUGCUAAAGAUUGGCAAUGAACCGGUACUAAUGGUAGCAGCCCGCCUAGCCGUUGGAAUCGGCACUAAUGGUCACAUUUGUGCCGGCUCAAAUUCAAACCGGCACUAUAAUGUGCUUCACAUUUGACUGUUUUUCUACUAGUCAAUAGAGUUUGCCAAACUUGAGUUUCCCAAGUCACUUACACAAAAAGCUAUGAUUCAUGGUUGUCAAAUCCAUAAUUUACAAACCACAACAACCUUGAGGCAUAACAAGCUUUAAAUGCUGCAUACUGAACACAAAAGAAGUCCAGAGUUUAAAUAAGUUAUUAAAAAUAAAAAAGAGGUGCAAUGCUGGUUAAUUUGCUUCAAGCUAUUCGGAAUAGUGUAGAUUGCACUAAGCCACUGCACAUAGCUCAGUGCAAUCUAUGCUAUUCCGCAAGGCUUGAAGCUAAUCAACAUGUAGGUGAGCAUUGCAACUCUUCGUCAUUGUCUGUGCACUCACGGCUUAUAAACCGCUCAUACUACCUCUCUCUUGGCGAGGUGGGACUAAAAACAUCUUGCCAUAACCUCAUUAGUACUGGUUCAUGGUACGAACCGGCACUAAAUGGUGAUGGUGGGGCCAUAGCCUGACCGCAGGCUGACACAGCCUCUUUAGUACCGGUUCGUGGCAUGAACCGGUACUAAAGGUUCGCCACGAACCGGUACUAUUGAUCGCCGCCACGAACCGGCACUAAUGUACACAUUAGUGCCGGCUCUAAUUCAAACCGGCACUAAUGUGCUUCACAUUUGACCCUUUUUCUACUAGUGUAUGGCAUUUCCAUAGCCAUUCCGAGAUAUAUUGCCAUGCAACUUUCCAUCGUUCCAUUAUUAUGACACACUUCAUCAUUGUCAUAUUUGCUUGCAUGAUCAUGUAGUUGGCAUCGUAUUUGUGCAAAGCCACCAUUCAUAAUUCUUCAUACAUGUCACUCUUGAUUCACUGCAUAUCCCGGUACACCGCCGGAGGCAUUCACAUAGAGUCAUAUUUUGUUCUAAGUAUCGAGUUGUAAUUCUUGAGUUGUAAGUAAAUAAAAGUGUGAUGAUCAUCAUUAUUAGAGAAUUGUCCCAAGUGAGGAAAGGAUGGAGACUAUGAUUCCACAACAAGUCGGCAUGAGACUCCGGACGAAAAUAAAAAAAGAGGGAAAAAAGAGAAAGGCCAUAAAAAAGAAGGCCCAAAAAAUGAGAGAAAAAGAGAGAAGGGGCAAUGUUACUAUCCUUUUUCCACACUUGUGCUUCAAAGUAGCACCAUCAUCUUCAUGAUAGAGAGUCUCCUAUGAUAUCACUUUCAUAUACUAGUGGGAAUUUUUCAUUAUAGAACUUGGCUUGUAUAUUCCAAUGAUGGGCUUCCUCAAAUUGCCCUAGGUCUUCGUGAGCAAGCAAGUUGGAUGCACACCCACUUAGUUUCUUUUGUUGAGCUUUCAUACACUUAUAGCUCUAGUGCAUCCGUUGCAUGGCAAUCCCUACUCAAUCACAUUGAUAUCUAUUAAUGGGCAUCUCCAUAGCCCGUUGAUACGCCUGUUCUGGAGCUCCGCCAGAGGGGGCAUCGAUCACGGAGGGCUUCUACAUCAACAGCAUAGCCUCUCCGAUGAAGUGUGAGUAGUUGACCUCAGACCUACGGGUCCAUAGUUAUUACCUAGAUGGCUUCUUCUCUCUUUUUGGAUCUCAAUACAAUGUUCUCCCCCUCUCUUGUGGAGAACUAUUCGAUGUAAUCUUCUUUUUGCGGUGUGUUUAUUGAGAUCGAUGAAUUGUGGGUUUAUGAUCAAGUCUAUCUAUGAAUAAUAUUUGAAUCUUCUCUGAAUUCUUUUAUGUAUGAUUGUUUAUCUUUGCAAGUCUCCUCGAAUUAUCAGUUUGGUUUGGCCUACUAGAUUGAUCUUUCUUACAAUGGGAGAAGUGCUUAGCUUUGGGUUCAAUCUUGCGGUGUCCUUUCCCAGUGACAGCAGGGGCAGCAAGGCAUGUAUUGUAUUGUUGCUAUCGAGGACAACAAGAUGAGGUUUUCAUCAUAUUGCAUGAGUCUAUCCCUCUACAUCAUGUCAUCUAGCUUAAGGCGUUACUCUGUUUUUAACUUAAUACUCUAGAUGCAUGCUGGAUAGCGGUCGAUGAGUGGAGUAAUAGUAGUAGAUGCAGGCAGGAGUCGGUCUACUUGUCUCGGACGUGAUGCCUAUAUACAUGAUCAUACCUAGAUAUUCUCAUAAAUAUGCUCAAUUAUGUCAAUUGCUCAACAGUAAUUUGUUCACCCACCAUAGAAUUAUUAUGCUCUCGAGAGAAUCUACUAGUGAAACCUAUGGCCCCCGGGUCUAUCUUUAUCAUAUUAAUCUCCUACUACUUAGUUAUUUCCUUUGCUUUUUCCUUUGCCUUUAUUUUACUUUUCAUCUUUAUCACAAAAAUACCAAACAUAUUAUCUUUAUCAUAUCUAUCAGAUCUCACUCUCAUAAGUGGCCGUGUAGGGAUUGACAACCCCUAUUCGCGUUGGUUGCGAGGAUUUAUUUGUUUUGUGCAAGUACGAGGGACUCGCGCGUAGCCUCCUACUGGAUUGAUACCCUUGGUUCUCAAACUGAGGGAAAUACUUACGCUACUUUGCUACAUCAUCCCUUCCUCUUCGGGGAAAACCAACGCAGUGCUCAAGAGGUAGCAAGAAGGAUUUCUGGUGCCAAUGCCGGGGAGGUCUACGCAAAAGUCAACAUACCAAGUACCCGUCACAUACCCUUAUCUCCCGCAUUACAUUAUUUGCCAUUUGCCUCUCGUUUUCACCUCCCCCACUUCACCCUUGCCAUUUUAUUCGCCCUCUCUCUCUCUCUAUCCUCCCUCUCUUUCUCUAUUUGCCUCUUUUUUCCCGCUUGCUUUCUGUUUGCUUGUGUGUUAGUUGCUUGCUUGUCACGAUGGCUCAAGAUAAUACUAAAUUAUGUGACUUCACCAAUACCAACAACAAUCAUUUUAUUAGCACUCCGAUUGCUCCUCUUACCGAUGCUGAAUCUUGUGAAAUUAAUACUGCUUUGCUGAAUCUUGUCAUGAAAGAUCUGUUUUCCGGCCUUCCUAGUGAACAUGCCGGUACCCACCUAAAUAGAUUCAUUGAUUUGUGUGACAUGCAAAAAAAAGAAAGGUGUGGAUAAUGAUAUUGUUAAAUUGAAGCUAUUUCCUUUUUUGCUUAGAGAUCGUGCUAAAGCUUGGUUUUCGUCUUUGCCUAAAAAUAGUAUUGAUUCAUGGAAUAAGUGCAAAGAUGCUAUUAUCUCUAAGUAUUUUCCUCCUACUAAGAUCAUCUCUCUUAGAAACAAUAUUAUGAAUUUUAAGCAACUUGAUCAUGAACAUGUUGCACAAGCUUGGGAGAGAAUGAAACUAAUGGUACGUAAUUGCCCUGCCCAUGAUUUAAAUUUGUGGAUGAUUAUACAAAAAUGUUAUGCCGGAUUGAAUUUUGCUUCUAGAAAUCUUUUAGAUUCGGCCGCGGGAGGCACUUUUAUGGAAAUCACUUUAGAAGAAUCUACUAAACUCCUAGAUAAUAUUAUGGUUAAUUAUGCUCAACGGCAUAGUAAAAUAUCUAAUAAUAAAAAGGUGCAUGCGAUACAAGAAAUUAAUGUUUUGAGUGGAAAGAUGGAUGAACUUCUGAAAUUAUUUGCUAAUAAGAGUGUUUCUUCUGAUCCUAAUGAUAUACCCUUGUCUACUUUGAUUGAGAAUAGUAAUGAAUCUAUGGAUGUGGAUUUUGUUGGUAGGAACAAUUUUGGUAACAACGCGUAUAGAGGAAAUUUCAACCCUAGGCCUUAUCCUAGUAAUCUCUCUAAUAAUUAUGGUAAUUCCUACAACAAUUCUUAUGGAAAUUAUAAUAAGAUGCCCUCUAAUUUUGAAUCUAAUAUUAAAGAAUUUAUUACUUUGCAAAAGAAUUUCAAUACCUUGAUUGAAGAAGAACCGCUAGGAUGCGUGCUAAGAAAGAUGCCUUUAUAAGAGCGUGUUCUUCUAGUUCCUAUGAAAAUAAUGAUGAAGAUCUAAAAGUUAUUGAUGUGUUCCCUAUUAAAUCUUUGUUUUUCAACAUGGAUCUUGAUAAUGAUGGGAUUGAAUAUGAUCCACCUUUACCUAUAAGGCGUUCCAAGAAUUCAGAAUUUGUUGAUCUUGAUGCUAAAAUUGAUAAAGGUGGGAUUGAAGAAAUUAAAACCCUAGAUGUUGCUAAACCCACUAUUAUGGAUUUCAAGGAAUUUAACUAUGAAAAUUGCUCUUUUAUUGAUUGUAUAUCCUUUUUACAAUCCGUGCUAAAUUCUCCUCAUGCUUAUAGUCAAAAUAAAGCGUUUACUAAACAUAUCGUUGAUGCCUUGAUGCAAUCUUAUGAAGAAAAACUUGAAUUGGAAGUUUCUAUCCCUAGAAAGCUUUAUGAUGAGUGGGAACCAACUAUUAAAAUUAAAAUUAAAUAUCAUUAAUGCUAUGCUUUAUGUGAUUUGGGUGCUAGUGUUUCCACGAUUUCAAAGACUUUGUGUGAUUUGUUAGGUUUCCGUGAUUUUGAUGAUUGCUCUUUAAACUUGCGCCUUGUGGAUUCCACUAUUAAGAAACCUAUGGGAAGAAUUAAUGAUGUUCUUAUUGAUGCAAAUAGGAAUUAUGUGCCUGUAGAUUUUAUUGUUCUUGACAUAGAUUGCAAUCUUUCAUGUCCUAUUAUUCUUGGUAGACCUUUCCUUAGAACGAUUGGUGCAAUUAUUGAUAUGAAGGAAGGAAAUAUUAGAUUCCAAUUUCCAUUAAGGAAAGUCAUGGAACACUUUACUAGAAAGUAAAUUAAAUUACCUUAUGAAUCUAUUAUGAUAGCCACUUAUGGAUUGCCUACCAAAGAUGGCAAUACCUAGAUCUAUCCUUGCUUGUUAUGCCUAGCUAGGGGCGUUAAACGAUAGCGCUUGUUGGGAGGCAACGCAAUUUUGUUUUUAUUCCUUGAUUUUUGCUCCUGUUUAGUAAUAAAUAAUUUAUCUAGCCUCUGUUUUGGUUGUGUCCUUUGUGUUUAAUUAGUGUUGGUGCCAAGUAGAACCGUUAGGAAGACUUGGGGAAAGUCUUGUUACACUUGCUGUAAAAAACAGAAACUUCAGCGCUCACGAGAACUACUGCCAUUUUUAUUUGGAAAGUUCUAUUUAGUUAAUUAUUUCUGCAGAUGAUUAAUAGAUAAAUUCCUCACGUCCAGAAAUUUAUUUUAGAAUUUUUGGGGUUCCAGCUCUUGAGCUAGGUACAGAUUACUACAGACUGUUCUGUUUUUGAAAGAUUUUGUUUUUCAUGUGUUGUUUGCUUAUUUUGAUGAACCUAUGGCUAGUAAAAUAGUUGAUAGACCAUAGAUAAGUUGGAAUACAGUAGGUAUAACACCAAUAUAAAUAAAUAAUGAGUUCAUUAUAGUACCUUGAAGUGGUCUUUUAUUUUCUUUCGCUAACGGAGCUCACGAGAUUUUCUACUUUAAGUUUUGUGUUGUGAAGUUUUCGAGUUUUGGGUAAAGAUUUGAUGGUUUAUGGAACAAGGAGUGACAAGAGCCUAAGCUUGGGGAUGCCCAUGGCACCCCCAAGAUAAUCUAAGUACACCUAAAAGCCAAAGCUUGGGGAUGCCCCGGAAGUCAUCCCCUCUUUCGUCUACUUCUAUCGGUAACUUUACUUGGAGCUAUAUUUUUAUUCGCCACAUGAUAUGUGUUUUGCUUGGAGCAUCUUGUAUUAUUUGACUCUUUAUUUGUUAGUUUACCACAAUCAUCCUUCCUGUACACACCUUUUUUAGAAUACUCUAUGUGCUUCGCUUAUAUCUUUUGAGUUAUAUAGUUUUGCUCUAGUACUUCACUUAUAUCUUUUAGAGCACGGUGGUGGAUUUGUUUUAUAAAAACUAUUGAUCUCUCAUGCUUCACUUAGAUUAUUUUGAGAUGCUUAAUAGCAUGGUAAUUUGCUUAAAAUCCUAAUAUGCUAGGUAUUCAAAGUUAGUAUAAUUUUCUUAAGAGUGUUUUGAAUACUAAGAGAAGUUUGAUGCUUGAUGAUUGUUUUGAGAUAUGGAGGUAAUAAUAUCAAAGUCGUGCUAGUUGAGUAGUUGUGAAAUUGAGAAAUACUUGUGUUGAAAUUUGCAUGUCCCGUAGCAUGCACAUAUGGUAAACGUUGUGUAACAAAUUUGAAACAUCAGGUGUUAUUUGAUUGUCUUCCUUAUGAGUGGCGGUCGGGGACGAGCGAUGGUCUUUUCCUACCAAUCUAUCCCCCUAGGAGCAUGCGCGUAGUACCGAGGUUUUUGAUCACUUGUAGAUUUUUGCAAUAAGUAUGUGAGUUCUUUAUGACUAAUGUUGAGUCCAUGAAUUAUACGCACUCUCACCCUUCCAUCCUUGCUAGCCUCUUCGGUACCGUGCAUUGCCCUUUCCCACAUUGAGUGUUGGAGCAAACUUCGCCGGUGCAUCCAAACCCCGUGAUAUGAUACGCUCUUUCACACAUAAACCUCCUUAUAUCUUCCUCAAAACAGCCACCAUACCUACCUAUUAUGGCAUUUCCAUAGCCAUUCCGACAUAUAUUGCCAUGCAACUUUCCACCAUUCCGUUCAUCAUGACACAUUCAUCAUUGUCAUAUUGCUUAGCAUAAUCAUGUUGUUGACAUAGUAUUUGUGGCAAGGCCACUGUUCAUAAUUCUUUCAUACAUGUCACUCUUGGUCCAUUGCAUAUCCCGGUACACCGCUGGAGGCAUUCAUAUAGAGUCAUACUUUGUUCUAGUAUCGAGUAGUAAUUAUUGAGUUGUAAAUAAAUAGAAGUGUGAUGAUCAUCAUUAAUAGAGCAUGGUCCCAAAGAGAGAAAAAAGGAAGGGCCAAAAAAGGCCAAAUAAAAAAUAUAAAAAAGGGGGGCAAUGCUACUAUCCUUUUUUCCACACUUGUGAUUCAAAGUAGCACUGUAAUCUUCAUGAUAGAGAGUAUCUUGAUUUGUCACUUUCAUAUACUAGUGGGAAUUUUUCAUUAUAGAACUUGGCUUGUAUAUUCCAACAAUGGGCCUCCUUAAGUGCCCUAGGUCUUCGUGAGCAAGCAAGUUGGAUGCACACCCACUUAGUUUCUUUUGUUGAGCUUUCAUACAUUUAUAGCUCUAGUGCAUCCGUUGCAUGGCAAUCCCUACUCCUUGCAUUAACAUCAAUCGAUGGGCAUCUCCAUAGCCCAUUGAUUAGCCUCGUUGAUGUGAGACUUUCUCCUUUUUGUCUUCUCCACAUAACUCCACUCAUUAUAUUCUAUUCCACCCAUAGUGUUAUGUCCAUGGCUUGCAAUCAUAUAUUGCGUGGAAGUUUAUAGGUUUGAGAUCACUAAAGUAUGAAACAAUUGCUUAGCUUGUCAUCGGGGUUGUGCAUGAUGAGAGCGUUGUUGUGUGACAAAAAUGAAGCAUGACUAAACUAUAUGAUUUUGUAGGGAUGAACUUUCUUUGGCCAUGUUAUUUUGAGAAGACAUAAUUGCUCAGUUAGUAUGCUUGAAGUAUUAUUAUUUUUAUGUCAAUAUGAACUUUUGUCUUGAAUCUUUCGGAUCUGAAUAUUCAUAUCACAAUUAAGAAGAAUUACAUUAAAAUCAUGCUAAGUAGCACUCUGCAUCAAAAAUUCUGUUUUUAUCAUUUACCUACUCGAGGACGAGCAGGAAUUAAGCUUGGGGAUGCUUGAUACGUCUCCAACGUAUCUAUAAUUUUUGAUUGCUCCAUGCUAUAUUAUCUACUGUUUUGGACAAUAUUGGGCUUUAUUAUCCACUUUUAUAUUAUUUUUGGGACUAACCUAUUAACCGGAGGCCCAGCCCAGGAUUGCUGUUUUUUGCCUAUUUUAGGGUUUCGAAGAAAAGGAAUAUCAAACGGAGUCCAAACGGAAUGAAACCUUCGGGAACGUGAUUUUCUCAACGAACAAGACCCAGGAGACUUGGACCCUCCGUCAAGACACAAAAGAGGAGGCCACGAGGUAGGGGGCGUGCCUACCCCCCGGGCGCGCCCUCCACCCUCGUGGGCCCCCUGUUGCUCCACCGACGUACUCCUUCCUCCUAUAUAUACCUACGUACCCCCAAAUGAUCAUAUACGGAGCCAAAACCCUAAUUACACCGCCGCAACAUUUUGUAUCCACGAGAUCCCAUCUUGGCGCCUGUUCCGGAGCUCCGCCGGAGGGGGCAUCGAUCAUGGAGGGCUUCUACAUCAACACCAUAGCCUCUCCGAUGAAGUGUGAGUAGUUGACCUCAGACCUACGGGUCCAUAGUUAUUACCUAGAUGGCUUCUUCUCUCUUUUUGGAUCUCAAUACAAUGUGCUCCCCCUCUCUUGUGGAGAACUAUUCGAUGUAAUCUUCUUUUUGUGGUGUGUUUGUUGAGACCGAUGAAUUUUGGGUUUAUGAUCAAGUCUAUCUAUGAAUAAUAUUUGAAUCUUCUCUGAAUUCUUUUAUGUAUGAUUGGUUAUCUUUGCAAGUCUCUUCGAAUUACCCGUUUGGUUUGGCCUACUAGAUUGAUCUUUCUUGCAAUGGGAGAAGUGCUUAGCUUUGGGUUCAAUCUUGCGGUGUCCUUUCCCAGUGACAGUAGGGGCAGCAAGGUACGUAUUGUAUUGUUGCCAUCGAGGACAACAAGAUGGGGUUUUCAUCAUAUUUUAUGAGUCUAUCCCUCUACAUCAUGUCAUCUUACUUAAGGCAUUAAUCUGUUUUUAACUUAAUACUCUAGAUGCAUGCUGGAUAGCGGUCGAUGAGUGGAGUAAUAGUAGUAGAUGCAGGCAGGAGUCGGUCUACUUGUCUCGGACGUGAUGCCUAUAUACAUGAUCAUACCUAGAUAAUCUCAUAACUAUGCUCAGUUCUGUCAAUUGCUCAAUAGUAAUUUGUUCACCCACCGUAGAAUACUUAUGCUCUUGAGAGAAGCCACUAGUGAAACCUAUGGCCCCCGGGUCUAUCUUUAUCAUAUUAAUCUCCUACUACUUAGUUAUUUCCUUUGCUUUUUUACUUUGCCUUUAUUUUACUUUGCAUCUUUAUCACAAAAAUAAAAAUAUCUUUAUCAUAUCUAUCAAAUCUCACUCUCGUAAGUGGCCGUGUAGGGAUUGACAACCCCUAUUCACGUUGGUUGCGAGGAUUUAUUUGUUUUGUGCAGGUACGAGGGACUGGCGCAUAGCCUCCUACUGGAUUGAUACCUUGGUUCUCAAAACCUAAGGGAAAUACUUACGCUACAUUGCUGCAUCAUCCCUCACUCUUCGGGGAAAACCAACGCAGUGCGCAAGAGGUAGCAAGGGUUCCUUUUUGUCGACGAUCUGAUGUUUCAACCUUGUUUUCCAGGCGGCCAACGCAUCGCUCAACUUGGUCAUGGCGUGUUUGUUUAUCUUCGUCAUUGCCAGGUCCUUAUCUGGAUCUUUAUUAUCCUUUUCAUUACGGUCCGGGAACAAGAAUAUCUGGUGCAGCUUCUUUAGGAGGGAGGGCCUCUGGUGCAGCUUCUAUAGUUUCCCAUCGUUGAUCAUGGCAGUUGUCCGUACAAUGCAACCUAUUUGAUUGCCGUAGCACGAUUGCGCUUCCUCGGGUGCUAUUGUCUCAAAAAUACCGUCGUCCAUCUCCGUGACCACCAGUCUAGUACUCAUGAGCUGGUUUAGGCGUCGUGGCCUCUUUGCUUUCGGUUCUAGACUAACUCCGCUAGUCUCGGCGCUGGUCUCAGUCUCAUCGCCGGUCUGCAUGUCGGUAUCAGUCCCUGAUGCGACAACACAGUCGCUGCAACAUGGGUAAGGGAGACCACAUCAGUGCUGGGGGGUCCGAAAAUCGGGACACACUUUCGCGCGUCGCGGGCCGCCUCUCAGACAGCUACUGGGGAGGCGGCGGAGUACCUGGGUGCGCCGCGAAUCCCCGGGAACUCGGUGACCAACUUCCUUCCCGUGUGGCGCAUGGAGACGACAGCGACCCCGGCGAAGAGUAGCUUAGCCGCGAGCUGCACAGCCUCGUCCACCUCCUAAGUUGGGACCUCCGCGCAAGCGUUGCGGGGCCGCCGCUCGGGUGGCUUCUGGAAGGCGGUUGUACAUGGGCACAGGGUGAAUCCCGACUAGAGCUGGCCAUUGGCGCGCGCAAGUAGACGACGACGUCCCCGACGAAGAGCUGCCCGGCCAGCUCGCCUCACUCUCCUUUGAUUAGAAAUGAAAGAUUGGGAAGAAGCAGACUUGAGCCUGCAGAGAAAGGAUAAGGUGACGAUGCAGUCUCCACUCGUUCGGGGCGACACGCGUACUGAAUGUAUGAGAAACGUGACGUGGCAGAGACCCCAAGAUACUCCCUCCAUUUAUUUUUAGUCUGCAUAUAAAGUUUGGUCAAAGUCAAGAUUUGUAAAUUUUAACUAACUUUAUAAUAAAAAAAUAUCAAUAUUCACAAUAUGAAAUCAAUAUUACCAGAUGCGUCAUGAAAUGUAUUUCCAUACUAUAAAGUUUUGGUAUUGUAGAGGCACUCUUCCAUAUAAUGAAGUUUAUAAUAUAUGUGCUUAUAUUGUACUACAAUUGUUUGAAUAGCUUAGCAUAUGUUCAGAUGUAUGAUAUCUGUAAUUUAAGCGCUUGAAUUUUACAUAUAAAUAUUUAUUAAUAAAUAUGUACCCCUAUAAUAGCUAGGCCGUGCAGUUGCACGGGUAGAUGACUAGUGAUUACAAUCUUGUUUGUGUGCAAGUCAAGCUUAUCUAGUUUACACGUAACAACUUGUAGAACAUUACAAAAUUUAUGCUUGCUAAUAACUUCUAGAACACUACAACACUUGACAUGUAAAAGGAAUUUGACGAGUCAUGGCCUACUAAAGCAAGUUACAUUACUAGUCUUAUCUAUCUUAACAGACCACACAAGAUUACAAACUAAGUACCGUGACAGCCAUACUUAUCUAGUUUAUGCGUAACAAUUUGCAGAAAAUUAGAAACUUAGUUUCAGAAAAAUACGCAAUCUAGAUUAGUGUUUGAGCUGUAAAGUGAAUAAGAUGAGUCAUGCAUGUUAUCACACCUUUUUGGUGGUGGAAUGAUAGUGCAACAACAAGGAACUUUAAUGACCAGUCCAAGAAUACACUUGUAAGUAGUGCCACCAAACAGAACAUUCCAAAUGAUGAUUUUUAGAAGCAUCCAAGCACUUUCCACACAAACAAAUGCCAAUUGUGAAAGAGAUCAUUCCAUGGCAGCUAUAAAUAGCCCCAUAGCAUGACGAUCAUCCUUCCUCAUCCAUCAUUCUCAUUAGUAGAGCGCAUCAUUUAAGCCAAGCAAGCUGUGGUCAAUACAAAUCCACCAUGAAGACCUUUCUCAUCCUUGCCCUCCUUGCUAUCGUGGCGACCACCGCCACAACUGCAGUUAGAGUUCCAGUGCCACAAUUGCAGCCACAAAAUCCAUCUCAGCAACAGCCACAAGAGCAAGUUCCAUUGGUACAACAACAACAAUUUCUAGGGCAGCAACAACCAUUUCCAC
rnacentral:lncRNA from 1 species